rnacentral:lncRNA from 1 species
GGAGUUUCACCUAAUAGUUACAAUCUUAUAAUCACAAGUAGUGAAGAUCGCUUGAAAACGAUCGCGUUGAAUGAAUUCUUAGCAUAAGUUUCAUGCAAUUCAUAGUAACGAAUGCUUCGUUAAUGCUUAUGUUUUUCAUAGAACGUAAUGAUUCUUGCUUGUUUCUCUAUUAUGCAAUUCAUGUAGGGAACUCGUAGGGAAUGUUUUAGGUUGUCGUAUGCAAUCAUCCAACUUAAUAACUUGUGGAAAAACUGAGAGUUAAUUAGUGCAAUUCACGGUUAAUUUGGGGCGUUGAGUAUUCAUAAUUUAUUGGAAGAACAACUGAAAAUCGUUUUGUUGCAAGUGUGUCAUGUGUGGAGAAGAACCUCCUAACUAGCAUUCUACCCAUCUCUUUCACUAAAAUCGUUUUUACAAUCUGCCCUAUUUCCAAUCUGUUUUCUUUAUUUUAAUUUUCGUCAAAACAAAAUCCCCCUUUAAUUUGAAGUCUUAGAUUAGUUAGAAAGUGUUUUGAUUUGUGUUUCUAAGUAUUUUGAUUCAAGUUUUUCAUCAAAUUUCGUCCAAAUUAGUGUAGGUGCUCAAAACUGCCCAGAAAGUGGUUUUUAGGCAGUUUUGAGCCUUCUAGUUGCUGUUUUGAGUUUUAGGUUUGUUUAAGUGUUUUAACCUUUACUUUUGCAUUCUUUGAGUCUAGUUUAGUGUUUUAAACUUUGUUUUUGAGUUUUUAAGUCAGUUUCCAAGUGUUUAGCAAUCCCUCCUAAUCCCCGGUUUAGAACGAUCCCUACUUACAUCUUUGCUACAAUUUGACAAAAAGAGGGUUUAAUUUGUGUGCUUAUCUAUUUCGCAUCAAAUUUUGGCGCCGUUGCCGGGAUUAGCAAAAUUGCUAAUCCUUGGAUUGUUUUUGUUUCUUUUAUUUCACUUUGUUUCUGACUUUGUUUAAGUUUCUGACCUAAUUUUGUUUCUUGUUUCUUAGGUACUAAUGUAUGACUAGAAGCUCUCAACCGAUUCGUACAAACAUCUUGGAUUUUGACGACGAUUUUGAGAGAAAGUUAAGAAGAGCUAGAAACCAGCAAGAACACCAUCCACCCAAUUCCGAAUCUGAACUUGAAGAAAACGUACAAGAAGAGGGGGAGGAAGCCACGGCAGGGAUAUUUGAAGAAGUCCAAGGCAUGGCCAUGGACAAUCGUACACUCAAGGAGCUUUCCGCCACGGGUUUGGAUAAUGCCGCACCCUUGUGCAUUCAAUACCCCAUGGCUGCCCAAGGUAAGACAGAUGAGUUUGAAUUAAAGUCAAGUUUGCUUCAUCAUAUUCCUAAAUACCAUGGCUUGUCCAUGGAAGAUCCUAACAAACAUUUGAAAGAAUUUGAAGUAGUUUGCUCUAGUAUGACUCCCAUCAAUGUUGACGGAAAUAUCUUGAAGAUGAAGGCUUUUCCAUUCUCUUUGAUGGAUAAAGCCAAGGAUUGGUUAUAUGAGUUAGCUCCCGGCACUGUCACUUCUUGGGAGAGUAUGAAGAGAGCGUUCUUGGAGAAGUUCUUUCCAACUUCUCGCAUCAUCCUCCUACGCAAAAAGAUAAGCGGAAUUCAGCAAGAAGAAAGUGAGUCUUUUCCUACAUAUUAUGAAUGAUUUAAAUCACUUGUUGCUUCUUGUCCACAGCAUCAGAUGAAGGAGGAAUUGCUCUUGCAAUAUUUCUACGAGGGCCUCCUACCUCUAGAACGUCAAAUGCUUGAUGCUUCAUGAUAAGAGCAUAUUUAUGCUACUUAAUUGGCUUGUUCUCAUGCAUUUAGGUUGUGUUUACUUAGCUAUUUUAGUGUUUAAAGUCACUUUUGUGUGUUUUCAGGUUCUAAGGUCAAAGUGUGCAAAAAGAAGCAAAAUGGAGUUUGGAAUGCAUGUCACAUAUUUGGAGCCAAGGUUUGGACGAAUUUGAAGGCUUGAAGAUGAUGAUUCCUACUUGAACAAGGUUUCCUAGUUGAAGUAGGAAAGUGCUUACAUGAAGGAGGAUUCCUAAUCAACGAAGGAUUCCUAAUUGACGAAGGAUUCCUAAUCGAAGAUGGAUUCCUAAUCACAUGAGGAUUCCUAGAAGAACAAGGUUUCCUACUCCAACAAGGAUUCCUACUUGAAGUAGGAAAGUUAAGCCAAGGUUUCCUACUUUGGUUUGAUUUUUCCUAAUUGUCCCUAAAAGUUCCAGCAAUUAUGAAGAUUUUCUAAGCAUUCUAGGACACAAAACAAAAGCCUAGAACCCUUAUGGACCCCUUGCCACACUCCCUUGCCCUUUCCUCUUCCUUGCCGUGCAAGGGAGAGGGCUCUUUCCUGUUUUGGAGCAUUAAAACACCUUCCUUUUUAUGCUUUAAACCCUGGCCGAAUUUCCUUGACCUUUCCUUUUAAUUUUCUGAUUUGUUUCCUUAAUUCUAGAAGCUUUAAACUUAAUUCCUGAUUACCUAAUUAGCCUAGGGUUUUUAAUUUCCUAAUCCCUUUAAAUAAACAGGUUUGUGCAGCCACAAACAUCUCCAUUCAGCCACAAACAUCUCCAUUCAGCCACACACUCUCCCAAAUUCGUCAAACCCCAUCCACAACCUCAGAAACCAUUCCUCCUCCAUCUCUGCCGAUUUCCACCACCAUUCUUCAUCUCCACACCUUCCACACAACACCCAUACACUACCCCCAAGCCUUGCCGUGCCCCUACACCAUCCAUAAUCCAUUCUACAUCACACAAACCCCCCAGAAAUCAUCCUCACCCAAUCUGCCGCAAGGAGAAGAGAAGGAGACAGUUCAUGAAAAUUGUUUGGCUCUUCAAUCUGAGUUGUUGAACAAUUUUAGGUGUAUUCUAUCUUAUAUUUCAAUGUCUACUUCUUGUAAUCUUUGUUUUUCAUUGAGUAUGAUUGGCUAAAUUCGUUUUGGCUAAGGGUGUAUUCGAAACCAUGUUUAUUUAUGUGAAAUAAGUUGAUUACUUCCAGUUAUCGUUGCAUAAGUCGUGAAUACAAUUUGCUUAACCGUUUAAUUCAAAACUUAUUCUUGUAUGUUGAUAGAGAGUGCACGCUUGAUUUGCAUGCUGGAAUUUGGUGCUAGAAUAUAAGUUUGUUACACCUAAUCGUUAUGAAUUUAUAUUCGCAAGUAGUGAAGAUCGCUAGUCACGAUCGUGUUAAGUAGAUUCAUGGCAGGAGUAUCAUGCUUUUCAUAGUUACAAUUGGCUUGUCGAUGCUUAUGAUUUCCAAAGAACUUAAUGAUUCUAACUUGUAUCUUUAUCAUGCUGUUCAUAUAGAGAACUUGUUAGGAAUAAUUUGUUUGCGAUGCAUAUUCAUCCAAUUCAAUGAUUCUAGGGAAAUCUGAAAGUUAAUUUAAGCGGACCUAAUUAACUUGGAGUGUCGAGGUUCAUAACUUAUUGAAUUGAUAACUGGAAAUCGAUUACGUUGCAUAAAUUUCAUGUGUGGAGAAGAACCCCUUAGCCAUUCCAUCACCCAUUGAUUCAUCACAUUAGUUUACAAUCUGUUUUAAUUUACAAUCUGUGCAUUUAGUUCAAAUUCGUCCAAACACAAUUCCCCCAUAUUUUGUUAAGUUUGAGUCUUCAUAAUCUGUCCUCUUUGGUGUUUUUAAGUAUUUUGAGUCAUAAGUUUUGUCAAAUUCGUCCAAAUCUUGUCUUAGUUGCUGUUUGAGUCAAUUAACUUGUUUUAAUCAGUUUUGGGCAGAUUUGAGUGUUUCAAAUCUGUUUUGAAUCUUAGUAGUCUAAUUAGAGUCUUUAAGUUUAGUUUUUGUGUUUCUAAGUAGAUUUGUAUUAGAUUAGCACCCCUAGUCAAUGCAAAGUGUCCCUACAUUUGGUGCGUCUUAUGGGCAAGGAUAUCAAGCCAAUCAAUGUCCACAAAGAGAUUGGAGUGAUCAUUCAACUUCUAUGUGGUGGGAAUCUCAACAAGCUCAACACGAUGGAUAUUGGCAGCCAUAUGAGGAGUUCUAUUCAAGACCUAUGCACUAUGCUCAAUCAAACUCAGGUUCGUCAAUAGAUUAUAAUCAAAUUCUUAACGAAUUAAAUUCUUUGGUGCAGGGCUCACAAAAUCAAGCCAAGGAGGCUCAACAAGAUGCAUAUUGGCAGCCAUAUGAGGAGUUUUACACCACGCCUAUGCAGCCACCACCGCCUCCCCCACAACAAAUCCAAUCGAAUUCAAGUAUGUGAUGCGUAAAAUAACUAAACACACAAAUUAAACCCUCUUGUUGACAAUUGUAGUAUGGAUAAGUAGGGAUCGUUCUUAAACCGGGGAUUAGGAGGGAUUGCUAAAACACUCUAAACUGACUCAAAUAUGUAAAACUAGGUUUAAAACACUCAACUAGACUCAAAGAAUGCAAAACUAAACUCUAAAACACUAAAACAAAUCAAAAGACUCAAAACAGCACCAAAAACACUCAAAACUGCCUUAAAACACUUUCUGGGCAGUUUUGGGACUCUAAUGCAAACUUGGACGAAUUUUGGUUUUCUAAUGACCUAAAACACUUAAAACAUAAUCUAAGACCAGUUCUAACUAAUAUAACUCAAAGAAAUAAAGUGGGGUUGAUUUUGGACGAAUUUAAAUUAAAUGGCAGAUUGUAAAGAAAACAGUAGACAAAAUUGUGAUGAAUUAAUGAAUGAUGGAAGAGCUAAGGGGUUCUUCUCCACACAUGAAAUAUAUGCAACGUAAAUCAAUUUCCAGUUAUCAAUUCAAUAAGUUGUGAACCUCGACACUCCAAGUUAAUUAGGUCCGCUUAAAUUAACCUUCAGAUUUCCCUAGAAUCAUUGAAUUGGAUGAAUAUGCAUCGCAAACAAAUUAUUCCUAACAAGUUCUCUAUAUGAACAGCAUGAUAAAGAUACAAGUUAGAAUCAUUACGUUCUUUGGAAAUCAUAAGCAUCGACAAGGCAUUCGUAACUAUGAAAAGCAUGAUACUCUUGCCAGGAAUCUACUUAACACGAUCGUGACUAGCGACCUUCACUACUUGCGAAUAUAAAUUCAUAACGAUUAGGUGAAAUAAACUUAUAUCCUAGCACCAAAUUCAAGCAUGCAAAUUAAGCGUGCACUCUCAAUCAACAUACAAGAAUAAGUUUUGAAUUAAACGGUUAAGCAAAUUGUAUUCACGACUUAUGCAACGAUAACUGGAAGUAAUCAACUUAUUUCACAUAAAUAAACAUGGUUUCGAAUACACCCUUAGCCAAAACGAAUUUAGCCAAUCAUACUCAAUGAAAAACAAAGAUUACAAGAAGUAGACAUUGAAAUAUAAGAUAGAAUACACCUAAAAUUGUUCAACAACUCAGAUUGAAGAGCCAAACAAUUUUCAUGAACUGUCUCCUUCUCUUCUCCUUGCGGCAGAUUGGGUGAGGAUGAUUUCUGGGGGGUUUGUGUGAUGUAGAAUGGAUUAUGGAUGGUGUAGGGGCACGGCAAGGCUUGGGGGUAGUGUAUGGGUGUUGUGUGGAAGGUGUGGAGAUGAAGAAUGGUGGUGGAAAUCGGCAGAGAUGGAGGAGGAAUGGUUUCUGAGGUUGUGGAUGGGGUUUGACGAAUUUUGGGAGAGUGUGUGGCUGAAUGGUCAUGUUUGUGGCUGCGCAAACCUGUUUAUUUAAAGGGAUUAGGAAAUUAAAAACCCUAGGCUAAUUAGGUAAUCAGGAAUUAAGUUUAAAGCUUCUAGAAUUAAGGAAACAAAUCAGAAAAUUAAAAGGAAAGGUCAAGGAAAUUCGGCCAGGGUUUAAAGCAUAAAAAGGAAGGUGUUUUAAUGCUCCAAAACAGGAAAGAGCCCUCUCCCUUGCACGGCAAGGAAGAGGAAAGGGCAAGGGAGUGUGGCAAGGGGUCCAUAAGGGUUCUAGGCUUUUUGUUUUGUGUCCUAGAAUGCUUAGAAAAUCUUCAUAAUUGCUGGAACUUUUAGGGACAAUUAGGAAAAAUCAAACCAAAGUAGGAAACCUUGGCUUAACUUUCCUACUUCAAGUAGGAAUCCUUGUUGGAGUAGGAAUCCUUGUUCUCCUAGGAAUCCUCAUGUGAUUAGGAAUCCAUCUUCAAUUAGGAAUCCUUCGUCAAUUAGGAAUCCUUCGUUGAUUAGGAAUCCUCCUUCAUGUAAGCACUUUCCUACUUCAACUAGGAAACCUUGUUCAAGUAGGAAUCAUCAUCUUCAAGCCUUCAAAUUCGUCCAAACCUUGGCUCCAAAUAUGUGACAUGCAUUCCAAACUCCAUUUUGCUUCUUUUUGCACACUUUGACCUUAGAACCUGAAAACACACAAAAGUGACUUUAAACACUAAAAUAGCUAAGUAAACACAACCCAAAUGCAUGAGAACAAGCCAAUUAAGUAGCAUAAAUAUGCUCCUAUCAGUAUGCCCAUGAGUUAUGAUGAAAUUCUUGAUGUACUAACCUCUUUGACGCAGGGCUCACAACAAGAAGAAUGCUCGCAGCCAUCUGAGGAGUUUUAUCAGUGGCCAUAUGCACCACCACAAUCUUCCCAAACAAAUUCAGGUACGUCAAUGGAUAAUGACCAAAUUGUUCAAUUACUCACCUCUUUGACACAUGAAGCAGAAAAUCAAGCCAACAAGAUGGAUGAAUUAGAGAAGCACACCUACACAACCUCAGGAUCAUCCCCAAAUUUUUAGAAUAUUUUUCCUAUCUCCCACACGCCUCCACGCGCCGGCCAAGACACGACCAGACACGCCUCCCACGCGCAGCCAUAUGCCAGGCACAUUGACGGUAUCAACUAACGCCGUCAGGUAUAUUCUGGAAUAUUCCUUUUAUUCGUUAACAAAACUUAACAACGUGACCUAACGUCGUUAGAAUAUUCCGUUAAACUUAACGGAAUAUCCUCUCGUCUUCUACCUUCAGCUUCGGCGACUGUCGCCGGAAACUGGGAAAUUUUCAUUUCCUUAUAUCUUCUUCAUUUUUAACCCAAAAUUUAUGAAACUUGAACCAUUUUAAAGAUCUCACAACGAUGAACAAAACUAUACCUGAUUUGAGCUAUGAAACCACCGGAAUCCCACCGAAAAAAGCUUCGAUAAUCUGAGAAACCUUAAAACUCGUCGUUCUCACGAUUCCGACGUCCAAUUUCUUCAAACAAAGUACUCCGAGCUUCGUAAGGACCUCCUUAAGCUCCCUAUGUCCUUUAAAUUCCCUAAAAAUCAACAUUUUACGUGAGCAUGAAUAGUACCCCAAAUCGGGUUUUGUGGUUCAACGUGAAAUCGAAGGUAAUCUUACCUGUAAUUGGUACCUUUGAACUCGUGAGGACCUUAGGAACACAAUGGUACCAUUUUUCUUCUUCGAUCUGUCACGUUUACAAGGGUUUCUGGUUGUCCGUACAAGAGAGAAAAAGAGGGAGAGUGUGAGUCUGAGAGAAAGAGGGCACGGGAGUGAGAGAGAGAAAGUGAGGUGUAGUGUGUGGACCAAAUCUCUCCAACCAAUCAAAAUUUAGUCUUUCUUAGUUCCUAAGUGCUUCCAAAAACUUAGGAAAUCAUAAUUAAAUCCAACUUAAAUACAAGUCAUGCACCACACAACUUAACGUCCAAGGGUAAACUAGUAAUUUCACGUCAACGGAAAUUAUUUUUCGGAACGGGCUGUCACAUUUAUUAUAUUAAUUGAGCAAAAAAAAUUAUUAUAUUAAUAUUCAAAUAUUAAACACAUUUAUUUAAUUAAAGUAAAUGGUCUGGAGAAUAUUAAUGAAAGUAAAAAAAGACAACAUUUAUAAAUUCUGAAAAUACCUGCAUAACCACUUUGACUAGUCCCUCCUAUGCUGAAAUUGAUAAGGCAGAUGGUUCAGAGCUUCUUCAUGACUUUCAUAAUCAAAAUAACAGGUGCGUAGCUCGAAAAGCCACUCUUUGAAUUGUAUCGUCCACAUCCGAUCAAUGUAGUAAAACAUAAGCAGUUCAUCAACGUCAAUAUUGAACUCGGUUUAAAAAAGGCAAAAAAACAAAUGUUAGUUAUAAAAAAACAAUAAAUUAGUAAUUAUAUAUAAUAAUUAAAAUUAAUAAGAAUAUUAAACUAAAAAAUAAAAUACUUAUCAAGAGGUCUUCCAUUAGGUCAUGCUUUGCACUGCGAAAGACAUACUUCCAUUUGUGGUUAGUCAUAAGGCACUUAGUACAGAUGAGUACACCUGUUAUGUGAUUCAACAAUGUCUAAACUUGGAUGACGGACGCCCACGUCAUUUGUCCUAUUCAACCCUUACUCGCCUAGGGUAAGGAGUGUUGCGCCUAGGCAUUCAUUUUAAAAAAUUUAAAAUUGCCAACUUUGCUAAAUAUAUAUCAUAUGUUUAUGACAACAAUUUAUCGUUAAUGCAUCAAAAAUAAUUUAUAUUCCCCCUUCCUCGUACCGUCCACCUCCUGAAACCCAUCUCAUCCCCUCCCCUUCUUCGUCCCCUCCCCCACCCAUCCCCUCCCCUUGUUUGUCCCCUCCCCCACCCAUCCCCUCCUCUUGUUUGUCCCCUCCCCCACCCAUCCCCUCUCCAAUUGUACCCGUCCUCACCCGUCCCUCACCACAAACCCAUACCCAUCCCCACAUUCCCCUUCCCCAAACUAUUCCUCUCCCUAAACUGGUCUCCCUACCCACCCAUCCCGACAUAGCAAAACCCGUUCGUUCAACCCAUCUCAUUUGUACCCAGCACACCCAUACCAUCGAAAUCUCUCAAGUGGUGAAACAAAAUUAUUUGAAACCAUAUUAACGAGGAACAAAUUAACAAUAUAUAUAUAUAUAUAACAAAUAUGAAAUAUACAAUCUAAACAACAGACUUAGCAUAUUUCGCCAUAAAUUUAGUUCGUCGACCAAAGUAAUUAAUUUUAAUAAAAAAAGCUUUGUAUAUUUUAUUGUAACCGUUAAUCGAUAAUAACCGUCAAUUGAUAAUCAAAUUUGAAGAUCAGGUGUAUUCAAUGUGUGUUUCAACCUUCAAAUAGCAUAUUCUGAAAAAGUAACCGAAUCUAAGAGUAAUAUAGCAGUUUGAUCAUGAUUCUAAGUUUGUAACCAUCCAACAUUUUUAACUGACCCCUAGUCCUUGCAAGUUUAUUUGUGAUAUUUUUCGAGAUAUACUAUCCCGUACUAUGACAGUUGGAUCGUCGAAAAAAUGUUUGUGGAGUUUGACUCCCUGCAAUGCAAUUGACUCAACUAACUGUUGACCCUAAAAACUACCAAGCCUACGUGGCGUGCAGGCCGAGUAAUCUAUGAGCUAACUACGUUCUUCGGUGAAUACGGGGCAUGCCAACUCGUCGGUCGAGCUUGGCCGAGAAGUAAAAUUUGUUGAUGUUGCGUUUGGUGCGCGGCUGACUUCUGCGUCUUAUGAUUGCGGCCGAGGAAGGAACACGUCUCGACCUCUUGGGUUCUCGAACCUGAAAAUAAGGCUACUAUUCUUACGAAGUUCACGAAUCGUCGUCGUCGGAUUCGGUCACAGUGAUGGUAUUCAUCAGAGUAAACUCACGCCGAAUCGAUACCAAAGUGUAAGGGCACAAAUACUCAAAGCGGAUAUAAGUCUUAAUAGUGAACGUGGUUCGGCCAUCUGAAUACCGAACUCUAAAUCCCACUUGAGAGUAUCCAAUCAUAAAAUAACUCGGUGUGCAAUGCACUGAGCUCAGUAAGUUGUAACACCUCACUUCACCGAGAAGGCUAAUGAGAUGACCUCAAUCAAUAAGGAUUUGGAAAACCUUCUCGACUGAGACUUGGAUAGGUAACCAACCAUCAUCGCCGUAGUGCUGUUGAUGCCAACGGAAGAUGUUGCGAGAUCGGCUGAUUCUACAGCGACAAAGCUAUCUUUGCGACUGAAGAUAUCAUCAGUUGCUUUCACAGUGUUGUUGAUGCCAAUGGAAGAUGUGUCAGCGAAAAGAGAAAAUAAAAAAUCUCAAAGUUGUUGAGAGAGUUUGCGCAGGGCAGUUGUGUGUUGAAUUGGAGGGGGUUGAACAAUGCACAGCCUCCUCUAUUUAUGGCAUCAGAUACUUCCUAAGUAGAGUUAAUCCGAGUAGUUAAACCCUACUCGGAUUAGGACUUCUUCUUCUAAUCAAACACCAUCUCGAGUACUCCUACUCCCAUCAGGAGUUUGGACCUAACCUUUCUAUCAGGCCGUAUUCAAAAUAUGUCUCGACCUCCUCAUCUCACCGGGACUCCUUAUCACACCAGGAUUUCUGUUAACCACAGAACUUCCCCCUCCUCUUCCUUAUCCAGGCCGUUCCUUUUCCUACUAGGAUUCAAAUGACCCUAACCAUGCGGCCCUUGAACAAGACAACCCCUAGUAGUUUUUAAAUAAAUCCUUCCGGGUCGAGAAUGAUUCUACACUCGGCCCAAACCAAUAUUUUGGGCCUAAACACUAACACUUAGUGUUUUCAUCAUUAACCCUAUUAGGUGUAAUGUAUCAUUUUGUUGUAAUCACAAUUAUAAGUAUUUUUAUUUAAUGAUCGGGUCCAUUCGCUGUAUUGUUUUGGGGUCGGUAUUUGUUGUUGUAAAAAAUAGGAAAUCUGGAAGAUAAAAUGACCACUGAAUUGCAUUUUAGUUUCUAACCGUUGAAGGAAUUCAUGACAUUAGCUAGUGUCGAAAUGUUUAUUUUGUCUAAUUUUUGGCGUAUAGAAUCUCAUAGUUUAUAUGAACAAUAUUGAUGGUUGGAUUGUCAAAAUUAAUUUUAAUAAGUAAAAAAAUCAUACAUAGAGUUGGAUAUGUGAAAGAAGCCCAUAUACUUAACCGAGGGAGAUUCCGGCGGGCAACAAUCAUUAAUGUUUGCCCAACAAAUAGCCUAAACCCUAAACAAUAAUGAAAACUAUACCGAUGGAGUUUCUGCCGAACACUAUAUGAUUAACAGAUGGAAUCACGUUCCAUCACGUAAACAUCUGAUGUGAAAUUUCCAUAACGAUUAGGUGAAAUUUCCUUAUAUCCUAGCAUUCAAUUUAUGCAUGAUAAUUAAGCGUGCACUCUCAACCAACACACACAAAUCAAUGUAAUGCACAUAGAUAAGUAAAUUGAAUUCACAACUUAUGAAACGCAAUUAGAAGUAAUCAAAUCAUAACACAAGCAUAAACAUGUAUUUCGAAUCCCCCCCCAGCCAAGGGGGGUUUAGUUCCUCAUACGCACAAAACAAAGAGAAUUGAAUUUAAACAUUGAAAUCAAAGGAAAAGAAACACCUAGAAAUUCCAGCGACGCGAACUUGAAUUGCAUGAACUUCCGAGCUUCCUUCUCCUCCUCCUUGGUGCGGCAAAGGACUUUAGGGACAGGUUGGGACUUUAGGUGUAUGGAUGCAUGGUUAUGGAUGGAUGUAGUAGUGUUUAGGGGAUGGGGAUGGUGCGGCAAGACUUAGAACUAGGGGGAAUGGUGUUUGGUGGGUGCGGCAAGAGUGUGGAGAAGGUUGGACGAAUUUCUGGAGUGAAUUGUGAAUUGUGGUGAGUGGUGAUCUGAUUUAGGGGUUAAUAGGAGUAUAUAUAGGCACUUAAAACCCUAGGGUAAUCAGAUAUGGACUUGGAUAACCCAAAUCCACAAGGAAAUAGGUCUAAACAAUCAGAUUUUGCAAAGGAAAAGGGAUAAGGGUGCGGCAGCAAUGGGAUAAGGUUUCUAGAAUGCCUUGCAAGGCAAGGAAUUAGGGUAUCUAGAAAGCCUAGGGUGCGGCACUAAAGGAUAGGGCAGAUUAGGGCUUCUAGAAACCCUCUAAUGCAAGGAAAACUCACGGCAAGGAUAGAUAAGGUUUCUAGAACAAGGAUGAGGUAUCCUAAAUGGAUAAGGUGCCCUAAAUGGAUAAGGAUUCCUCAUUGCACUUGGAAACUUUGCCUAUUAGGAUUAGGAAACCUUGUCUUUGUCAUUCCUUCUUCAUCUUGGACUCCUUUUCCUUCUUGGACUUGGAAAACUUCUUUGUUGCUUCACUUGAGACCAUUUGGAUUUUGACUUUCCUACAUCAAGUAGGAAACCUUGUUUGAGUAGGAAUCUUCAUCUUCAAGGAAUCCUAAUUCAACUAGGAAACCCAUUUUGACUAGGAAUCCUAAUUCAACUAGGAUUCCAUCUUCACUUAGGCGCUUUCCUACUUCGACUAGGAAACCUUGUUCAAGUAGGAAACAUCAUCUUCAAAUCUUCAAUUUCGUCCCUCCUCUUGGCUCCAAGCAUAUGACAUCCAUUCCAAGCUCUAAAUUGCUCCAAAAGGCUCCAAAAUGCAUCCUUUUGCAUACUUUGCCCUUAGAACCUGAAAACACAUAAAACUAGCUUAAAAGACUACUUUACUAAGGAAAAACACUAUAAAUGCACAAGAACAAGCUAAACUAAGGCGCAUAAAUAUGCUCCUAUCAACAUCUCAAUUUCUUUCUAAAUAUUUACAUUAAGUUUUAUCACAAUAAUUUUACAUCGAUGCCAGAAAAUCAUUGAUCGGAGUUCAAUCAAGACCAUAUGUUUUGAAAAUGACAUGAGCACCCCUCACCAAAUUCUUGGUCCUCUUUUCAAAGCGGUGGCGCCACUAACUUUCACUAGACUUCUCAAAGAACACUGCCUAUCAUCCCUGCUGCAAGGAUUUGAAUGGACGAAGUGGGAUUUGGCAAGGCCUCAAGGCUCUUGGCCCUCGACCACUACAACCUGGGCAGCCUGGGUUGUACGAAUGGAAAAACUCUUCGGCGAGCAAUGGAAAGCCCUAGGCAUUUAUGACAUCAUUCAUCUUUCAUCUAUGGAUGUCGUCCUGGACAAGGAGCUCCUCCUAGCAGCCUUAUGCUUCUGGUGUUCGACCACCAACACCAUAGUCCUUCCUCUCGGUCUCGUUGGUCCCACCAUUCUCGAUAUUACCGCUAGAGAUUCAAAGCCUCCUUUCGGAUUUGCAAUGGUUGAACUAGGCAAUCUUCCUUGCUCUCGAAACUGCCCCAUGAACUCGGCAAUUUGCCCUACUUGUUUCUCCAACUCGUCCACCUUUUUGUCCCUAUUUUGCAUUCCCUGCGCCAUAGAAGUUAGUAAAUUAAAAAUUUGGUGAUUAUCAAUAGACGAACCUGAUUUUUGGGUGGGUUGUGCUUGGGGUUGAGUUGGUGCAAAUGGCUUUUGAUAGAAACCCGGGGGUUGUUGCCUAAAUGUGCUUUGUUGUUGGCCUUGUUGGGGUUCUCGCCAUUUGAAGUUUGGAUGAUCACGCCAACCGGGAUUGUAGGUGUUAGAAAAGGGAUCAUUCCUUUGUUGGUAUUGCUGCCCAAAACCCACGGCAUUUAGGGUCUCCCACCCUCCGUUCUCAAUCAGUUGUGGGCACUUGUCCGUAGGGUGUCCUUGCAUGGAACAUACGCCACACGCACUUACAUUUUGAACUUUUGGCCCUUCCACAACUUGAGAAAGCAAAGUAGUAAGGUUAGCCAUUUGAUUUUGAAGUUCGUUUAUGGCACUUACCUCAUUCACUUGGUGUUGCCGUGUGGUGCCUCUUUGUCCAACACCUUCAUAUUGUUGAGCGUUCAACGCUCGAUUGGCAAUCAAAGUCUUUGCUGCCGUGGGGGUCUUAUCUACCAAUGCUCCUCCCGCCGAGGCAUCUAGCAUUUGUCGUUCGAUUGGUAGAAGUCCCUCGUAGAAGUAUUGCAGAAGAAGCUCCUCUUUCAUUUGAUGCUGUGGACAAGAAGCAACAAGAGAUUUAAAACGUUCAUAAUAUGUAGGAAAAGACUCACCUUCUUCUUGUUGAAUUCCACUUAUCCUUUUUCGUAGGAGAAUGACUCGAGAGGUUGGAAAAAACUUCUCUAAGAAAGCCCGUUUCAUGCUCUCCCAAGAUGUGACCGUUCCGGGAGCUAAUUCAUAUAACCAAUCCUUCGCCUUUUCCAUAAAGAGAAAAGGGGAAAGCCUUCAUCUUCAAUAUACUCCCGUCCACGUUUACCGGAGUCAUGCUUGAGCAAACGACUUCAAACUCCUUCAAGUGCUUGUUUGGAUCUUCCAUGGACAGCCCAUGGUACUUCGGAAUGUGAUGUAACAAGCUUGACUUUAAUUCGAACUCGGCAGUUUUGUCCUGAGCCGCCCUAGGGUACUGGAUACAUAGAGGUGCGGCAUUAUCCAAUCCCGAAGCGGAAAGCUCCCUUGAUCGUUUGGUUGUCCGCUGCCAUGUCUUCCACUUCCUCUUCAACUUCAGAAACGGACUCGGAACUUGCACUUGAUUCACUAGGUUCCGGGUUCUUCCUCUUUCGUCUCAACUCACGCUCAAAAUCGUCGUCAAAGUCUAAAAUAUGUUCUUGAAACCGGAUUAGAACUCCGAGUCAUAAACAAGUACCUAAAACAAGAAACAAAAAUAACAUAAGAAUCUGAUCUAAUAAGAAAAACGAAAAUAACAAUCCAAGGGAUUAGCAAAGUUGCUAAUCCCCGGCAACGGCGCCAAAAUUUGAUGUGAAAAUUAUGUUGACACUCAAAUUAACCCUCUUUUUAUCAAUUGUAGCAAAGUAUGUAAGUAGGGAUCGUUCUAAACCGGGGAUUAGGAGGGAUUGCAAAAUCACUUGAAAACUGACUCAAAUAUGUAAAAACAAGUUUAAAACACUAAACUAGACUCAAAGAAUGCAAAACUAAACUUUAAAACACCAAAACAAACCAAAAGACUCAAAACAGCACCAAAACACUCAAAACUGCCUUAAAAACACAAUCUGGGCAGUUUUGGACACUAAGCACCAAAUUGGACGAAUUUGGGUUUUAACUUGAAUCAAAACACUUAAAACACAAAGUAAAACACUUACUAACUAAUUUGACACUUUUAAAACAAAGGGGGAUUGGUUUUGGACGAAUUUAAAAAAAACAAAACAAACUUUGUAAAUUAGAAACAGAUUAUAAAAACGAAUUUGAUUUAAAUGGGUGAAUGGAAGGCUAGCUAAGGGGUUCAUCUCCACACAUGUUAUACUUGCAUACAAAACGAUUUCCAAUUUCUUUUCAAUAAACCAUGAAUUCUCAAUGCCCCAAGUUAAUUAGUUCCGCUUAAAUUAACCCUCAGAUUUUCCUAACGUUAUUGAAUUGGAUGAUUGCAUACGACAACCCAAAACAUUCCCCACGAGUCCCCUACAUGAUUGCAUAAUAGAGAUACAAGCAAGAAUCAUUAAGUUCUAUGAAAACCACAAGCAUUGACGAAGCACUUGUUACUAUGAUUGCAUGAAACUUAUGCCAAGAAUUUACUUAACGCGAUUGAGAUCAUCAACCUUUACUACUUGUGAAUAUAAUUCCAUAACGAUUAGGUGAAAUUUCCUUAUAUCCUAGCAUUCAAUUUAUGCAUGAUAAUUAAGCGUGCACUCUCAACCAACACACACAAAUCAAUGUAAUCCACAUAGAUAAGUAAAUUGAAUUCACAACUUAUGAAAACGCAAUUAGAAGUAAUCAAAUCAUAACGCAAGCAUAAACAUGUAUUUCGAAUCCCCCCCUAGCCAAGGGGGUUUAGUUCCUCAUAUGCACAAAACAAAGAGAAUUGAAUUUAAACAUUGAAAUCAAAGGAAAAGAAACACCUAGAAAUUCCAGCGACGCGAACUUGAAUUGCAUGAACUUCCGAGCUUCCUUCUCCUCCUCCUUGGUGCGGCAAAGGUCUAGGGACUAGUUUAGGACCUUAGGUGUAUGGAUGCAUGGUUAUGGAUGGAUGUAGUAGUGUUUAGGGGAAGGGAAUGGUGCGGCAAAGGUGUGGAGAGAGUUUGGACGAAUUUCUGGAGUGAAUUCUGAAUUGUGGUGAGUGGGUGAUCUGAUUUAGGGGUUAAUAGGAGUAUAUAUAGGCACUUAAAACCUAGGGUAAUCAGAUAUGGACUUGGAUAACCCAAAUCCACAAGGAAAUAGGUCUAACAAUCAGAUUUUGCAAGGGAAAAGGGGUCCUAGGUGCGGCUGGAUAGGGAUAAGGUGGAUAAGGCUUCUAGAUGGCCUUGCAAGGCAAGGAAAUCAGGUUUCUAGAAGGGAUAGGUGCGGCACUUUAAAGGAUAGGGCAGAUUAGGGCUUCUAGAAACCCUCUAAUGCAAGGAAAACUCACGGCAAAGGAUAAGGGUUUCUAGAACAAGGAUAAGGUAUCCUAAAUGGAUAAGGACUCCUCAUUGCAUUUGGAAACUUUGCCUAUUAGGAUUAGGAAACCUUGUCUUUGUCAUUUCCUUCUUCAUUCUGGAUUCCUUCUCCUUCUUGGACUUGGAAAUCUUCUUUGUAGCUGCAACUUGUUGCCAUUUGGAUUUAACUUUCCUACUUCAAGUAGGAAACCUUGUUUAAGUAGGAAUCUUCAUCUUCAAGGAAUCCUAAUUCAACUAGGAAACCCAUUUUGACUAGGAAUCCUAAUUCAACUAGGAUUCCAUCUUCACUUAGGCACUUUCCUACUUCGACUAGGAAACCUUGUUCAAGUAGGAAACAUCAUCUUCAAAUCUUCAAUUUCGUCCAUCCUCUUGACUCCAAGCAUAUGACAUCCAUUCCAAGCUCAACUUUGCUCCAAAAGGCUCCAAAAUGCAUUCUUUUGCAUACUUUGCCCUUAGAACCUGAAAACACAUAAAACUAGCUUAAAAGACUACUUUACUAAGCAAAAACACUAUAAAUGCACAAGAACAAGCUAAACUAAGGCGCAUAAAUAUGCUCCUAUCAGGGGGGAGCAUAAUUGACUCUUUGGCGCAGGGAUAUCUCGACGAUUUGAAUGACGAUGCGCUUGAAAUAGUCAUUACACAAGGCAUGGAACUCAAAACAAAGGGGGCUGAUUGCAUGCAUGCCCACGGCAUACAUGAGUUAUCCCAUGCCGUGCCCCCUAGUGAGGAAUUACUUGAAGUUGUGGCUGCCCUUGAGUCCUCACCUAAGCUUGAUGGUAAGUUUACUAACCGUGAGUCCAUUCCCAUUUCGACUAACAAAUUGCUUCCAUCUAUAAUUCAGGCACCUAUCCUUGAACUCAAGCCUUUGCCAAGCCAUCUGAAGUACAUUUUCUUGGGAGAAAAUGAAACACUACCUGCCAUCAUUUCCUCCUCCCUCACGGCACAAGAAGAGGAGAAGUUGCUUCGAGUUUUGAAGGAGUUCAAAUCUGCCCUAGGUUGGACAUUGGCCGAUAUUAAAGGUAUAAGCCCUACGACUUGUAUGCAUCACAUAUUUCUUGAGGAGGGGGCCAAACCAACUAGAGAGGCUUAACGCCGUCUUAACCCUCCGAUGAUGGAAGUAGUGAAAAAGGAGAUCAUAAAGCUUUUAGAUUGCGGGUUAUCUAUCCAAUCUCGGAUAGUAAGUGGGUUUCGCCCGUUCAAUGCGUGCCAAAGAAAUCCGGAGUGACGGUGGUAGCUAAUGCCGAGAAUGAGCUUGUUCCUCAACGUAUUCAAACCGGUUGGAGGGUGUGCAUUGACUAUAGGAAGCUAAACACCACCACGAGGAAGGACCACUUCCCAUUGCCAUUCAUUGACCAAAUGCUUGAGAGGUUAGCGGGUUAUGCUUUUUAUUGUUUUCUUGAUGGUUAUUCUGGUUAUAAUCAAAUUGUCAUUUCACCCGAGGACCAAGAAAAAACCACUUUUACAUGCCCGUUUGGUACCUUUGCAUAUCGUCGCAUGCCUUUUGGUUUAUGUAAUGGACCUGCUACAUUUCAAAGAUGCAUGGUGAGCAUAUUUUCUGAUCAGUAGAAAAGAUAAUUGAAGUGUUUUAUGGAUGAUUUUUAGCGUAUUUGGUGAUUUUUUUGAUAGUUGCUUGCAUAAUCUAAGUUUGAUCCUAAAACGUGUGUGUUGAAACUAACCUUGUACUUAAUUGGGAAAAGUGUCAUUUUAUGGUUAAACAAGGUAUCGUUUUAGGUCAUAUAAUCUCUGAAAAGGGUAUUGAGGUUGAUAAGUCGAAAAUAGAUCUUGUACGUCACUUACCCUCUCCGACUUCGGUUAGAGAGGUUCGUUCGUUUCUUGGCCAUGCAGGAUUUUAUCGUAGGUUUAUCAAAGAUUUCUCGAAGGUAGCACAACCUCUUUGCCGGCUCCUACAAAAAGAAGUGGCGUUUGAAUUCACCAAGGAGUGCACGGCAUCAUUCAACCAACUCAAGGAGUUGUUGACCACGGCACCCAUCAUUGUUCCACCGGAUUGGAGUCUACCGUUCGAGCUCAUGUGUGAUGCGUCCGACUAUGCUUUAGGAGCUGUUUUAGGACAAAGAAAGGACAAGAGGCCGCAUGUCAUUUACUACGCCUCACAGACGUUGAACGAUGCACAAUUGAACUACUCCACUACGGAAAAAGAACUUCUUGCCGUUGUCUUUGCUUUAGAUAAAUUUUGAUCAUAUCUAAUUGGAACUAAAGUAAUUGUUUUCAGUGAUCAUGCAGCUCUGAAGUACUUGCUCACCAAAAAGGAGGCCAAGCCACGGCUAAUUCGAUGGAUAUUGCUACUUCAAGAGUUCGACAUAGAGAUUCGGGACAAGAAGGGAGUGAGAACGUGGUGGCUGACCACCUAAGCCGAAUGGUGCAUAAUGAGGAGUCUUUGCCGAUUUUGGAGACAUUCCCCGAUGAACAAUUGCUGUCCAUUAAGGUUAGUGCACCUUGGUAUGCCGAUAUUGUUAAUUUUUUGGUGUCGAAAGGUAUUCCAAGUGAGUUCACUAGGCACCAACGUGAUAAACUUAGGCAUGAUGCACGGUUUUAUGUGUGGGAUGAUCCGUACUUAUGGAAAUUUUGCCCCGAUCAGAUUAUACGUCGUUGUGUGCACGAUUCUGAAUGUCAUUCCAUUUUGAGUUUUUGUCAUACAUAUGCAUGUGGAGGGCACUUUGGCACACAACGCACUGCCCUUAAGGUGUUACAAUGUGGAUUUUAUUGGCCUAGUAUUUUUAAAGAUGCUAAAACUUUUUGCUUAACAUGUGAUAAAUGCCAACGAAUGGGCGGUAUUAGUGCUAGGGACCAAAUGCCGCAGGUUUCUAUCCUAAAUGUUGAAAUUUUUGAUGUUUGGGGUAUUGAUUUUAUGGGUCCUUUUCCUUCUUCGUAUGGUUUUACAUAUAUUUUGCUUGCGGUUGAUUAUGUGUCGAAGUGGGUGGAAGCCAAGGCCACCCGGACUAAUGAUUCUAAAGUGGUUGCAGAUUUUAUUAGAACUAACAUUUUUGCAAGGUUCGGAAUGCCACGAGUGAUCAUUAGUGAUGGAGGGUCACACUUUUGCAAUCGGACCAUUGAAGCGUUGUUGAGGAAAUACAGUGUCACCCAUAAGGUUUCUACACCUUACCAUCCUCAAACUAAUGGGCAAGCCGAGGUUUCCAACCGUGAGAUCAAGCAAAUCUUAGAGAAGACCGUUGGGCCAAUGAGGAAGGAUUGGAGCUUACGGUUAGAUGAUGCACUUUGGGCGUAUCGUACGGCGUACAAAACCCCCAUUGGGAUGUCCCCCUUCUGACUUGUCUAUGGCAAGGCGUGCCAUCUUCCUGUUGAAUUGGAGCACAAAGCACUUUGGGCCAUCAAGAAGUUUAACAUGAACCUCGAGGAAGCAGGAAGUCAAAGGAGAUUGCAAUUGAAUGAGCUUGAUGAGAUACGGCACGAGGCGUACGAUAAUGCAAGCAUUUACAAGCAAAAGACCAAAGCGUUCCAUGACAACAUGAUCCGUGGGAAAUCAUUCUCACUUGGGCAGAAAGUGCUAUUGUUCAAUUCCCGUUUACGUUUGUUUCCCGGUAAGUUACGUUCUAAGUGGAUUGGACCGUUUGUUAUUACUAACAUAUCUUCUUAUGGUGCCAUCCAGAUUCAAAGUCUCAAAACAGGUCAUGAAUUCCAAGUGAACGGACACCGUUUGAAGCCAUAUUAUGAGAACUUUGUUGAACAAACCGUGGAUGAUAUUUCUUUGGGUGCCGUGGGCACAAAUGGAGAAUAAAUGGGCUUUUCGUCCGGCUGUACGACGUUAAAGAAAGCGCUACUUGGGAGGCAACCCAUGCAAUGCAACAAAGGAAGACCACGGAAUCACUCCAAUUCCAGAUUUGCGUUCCUAAACUCUUCUCUUUGUUAUUUAUUUCGAAUCUGCCUAUUUAGUUGUUUUAGUUGCUGUUUGGGUGUUUCUUUUUGUUUAGUGUGAUUUUAUGCUUGAAACAUUGAGGACAAUGUUUGAUUUAAGUGUGGGGGGGUAACUAAGUGUUUUAGAUGCAAAUUCGUGGGAUUUUAUCACCCUAAACUUGAAGACUUGUUCCUUGCUGUUUUUAAGUGUUUUUGAGCAGUUUUGAUGUGUUUUAGUGUGUUUUGAAGUAAAAAUCCGAAAAUUACAUGAUCUCAUUAUUCCUUGCUUGGUUGCUACUUAGAAGGCGUUUCAUCAUUUAGUUCCAAAUGCUAGAACUCAUGCCCAUUUCAUUCAAAGCAUGUUAUUGAUUUGCAUAACACAUAUUCAAGAUGAAGUUGUGUAGUGACCACCACCUUAGCAAAAAGCCAUGAAUCCCCUAUGUCAUUAUGUUUUGUAGGUUUUAACCCCGUUGAGCCUUGUUUAGCCUAUGUUGUUGUUAACCCACAUUAUCCUCACCUAGCCUAGUUUAGGACCAUCCUGAUAGGAGCAUAUUUAUGCGACUUAGUUGGCUUGUUCUUAAGCAUUUAUGUUGUUUUUCUGUAGUUAUUUUAGUGUUUAAAGUCAUUUUUGUGCAAUUUCAGGUUUAGAGACGAAGUAUGCAAAAAAGUGUAAAAUGGAGCAUUUUAGAGCAAAAUUGAGCUAGAAUGGAGUGUAUGCUAAUGGAGCACAAGGAAUGGACGAGUUUGAAGGUCAAAGGAGCUUAAGAAAUGAAGAAAUGAAAGUGAAGAACAAAGAAUUCAGAUUUGGAAACCAAAGUUUCUAAAGUUGGAAGUUUCUAUUCUUGGAGGUUUCCAUUUUCGAGAGUUUCUAUUCUUGGUUUUGGGCUUUUAGAUGACCUAAACCCUAAUUCCUUGUGGACCCUAACCCUAGCCGCACCUAGGCCUCUAGAAUAUCUGAUUUCCUUGCCUUGCAAGGCAUUCUAGAAGGCCCAUCUCUAAACCCUAACCCUAGCCGCACCUUAGGCCUUAUUCCCACUAAAAAUCUGAUUGUUUUAACCUAAUUUCUGGUGGAUUUGGGCUUCUAGAAACCCUAAUCUGAUUACCCUAGGGUUUUGGAUGCCUAUAUAUACUCAUUAUAACCCCUAGAUCAGAUCACGACCUCUCAUACACAAUCAUUCACGCCAGAAAUCUGCCCUUGCAUUCUGCCGCACCUUCCCAUCACCAAAAUUCUGCCCAAAACUCAUCCCUAGCCGUACCCCCAUCAACCCUAAACCUUUCCCUACCCUUCCCCAUCCAUUCUACACCCUAAAUACUACCCAAAACCUGUUCUAAACUUCUCUGCCGCAGCAAGGAGGAAAGGGAAAUCAUUGAUGAUCUUGCUGCCAAGUUGGAGCCUUCUAGGUGUUUUCUUUCUUUGGGUUUUAAUUUCUAAAUUUAUGUAUCUUUGCUUUGCGAGUAUGAGGAACUAAACCCCCCUUGGCUAGGGGGGAUUCGAAACCAUGUUAUGCUUGCUAUAUGAUUUGAUUACUUCUAAUUGCGUUUCAUAAGUUGUGAUUUCAAUUUGCUUAUCUAUGUGAAUUAAAACUUAUUCUUGUAUGUUGAUUGAGGGUCGACACUUAGUUUGCAUGCAUGAAUUUGAUGCUAGGAUAUAAGGGAAUUUCACCUAAUCGUUAUGAACUUAUAUUCACAAGUAGUAAAGGUUGUUGAUCACAAUCGUGUUAAGUAAAUUCUUGGCAUAAGUUUCAUGCAAUUCAUAGUUACGAGUGCCUCGUCAAUGCUUAUGGUUUUCAUAGAACUUAAUGAUUCUUGCUUGUAUCUCUAUUAUGCAAUCAUGUAGGGAACUUGUAGGGAAUGUUUUGGGUUGUCGUAUGCAAUCAUCCAAUCCAAUAACUUGAGUCAAGUUAAAACCUAUUUUCGUCAAAAUCUUGUUUAGAGUUCAAAACUGCCCAGAAAGUGGUUUUAAGGCAGUUUUGAGUGUUUUGGUGCUGUUUUGAGUCUUUUGGUUUGUUUUGAUGUUUUAAAGUUUAGUUUUGCAUUCAUUGAAUUUAUUUUAGUGUUUUAAACUUGUUUUUACGUUUUUGAGUCAAUUCCAAGUGAUUUUGCAAUCCCUCCUAAUCCCCGGUCUAGAACGAUCCCUACUUACAUACAUUGCUACAAUUGAUAAAAAGAGGGUUUAAUUUGAGUGCUAGUUAAUAUCACAUCACAUCCAUACCCUUGUUCUUAAAGCAUAGUAAAGCAUGAUUCGAAUUGAAUUCCAUUUGAUCUAUGUUGGCAGAAACCAAGUGUGGGGGAAGUAUUUUUCAUGAGGAAUUGUGUGCCAUAGGCACGUGUGGAAAGAAAAGAAAAGAAAAAAUUCCGUGGAAAAAGAAAAAAUGAAGAAAAAAGUGUGAAAAGUAUGAAAAAAGAGUUGAAAAGAUGUGAAAAAGAGUUUCAAAGUAUUGUUUGUUGAAGUAAGGGUCCAAAGCAAUGAAUUUGGCCCUAAAAAGUUAUCUAAAUCUUUCCCUUGUGUUUUAAAGUUAAUUUCUGCAAUCUAAGUGAAUUCUAAGCCUCAAUUUCACUACUUUGCUUACUAAUGCUUGAAGAACAUUUGUUUUCCCUAUCCUUUCUUUGUUAACUGAUGUGAAAAUUAUGUUGACACUCAAAUUAACCCUCUUUUUAUCAAUUGUAGCAAAGUAUGUAAGUAGGGAUCGUUCUAAACCGGGGAUUAGGAGGGAUUGCAAAAUCACUUGAAAACUGACUCAAAUAUGUAAAAACAAGUUUAAAACACUAAACUAGACUCAAAGAAUGCAAAACUAAACUUUAAAACACCAAAACAAACCAAAAAGACUCAAAAACAGCACCAAAACACUCAAAACUGCCUUAAAAACACAAUCUGGGCAGUUUUGGACACUAAGCACCAAAUUGGACGAAUUUGGGUUUUAACUUGAAUCAAAACACUUAAAAACACAAAGUAAAACACUUACUAACUAAUUUGACACUUUAAAAACAAAGGGGGAUUGGUUUUGGACGAAUUUAAAAACAAACAAACUUUGUAAAUUAGAACAGAUUGUAAAAACGAAUUUGAUUUAAAUGGGUGAAUGGAAGGCUAGCUAAGGGGUUCAUCUCCACACAUGUUAUACUUGCAUACAAAACGAUUUCCAAUUGCUUUUCAAUAAACCAUGAAUUCUCAAUGCCCCAAGUUAAUUAGGUCCGCUUAAAUUAACCCUCAGAUUUUCCUAACGUUAUUGAAUUGGAUGAUUGCAUACGACAACCCAAACAUUCCCCACAAGUCCCCUACAUGAUUGCAUAAUAGAGAUACAAGCAAGAAUCAUUAAGUUCUAUGAAAACCAUAAGCAUUGACGAAGCACUUGUUACUAUGAUUGCAUGAAACUUAUGCCAAGAAUUUACUUAACGCGAUUGAGAUCAUCAACCUUUACUACUUGUGAAUAUAAUUCCAUAACGAUUAGGUGAAAUUUCCUUAUAUCCUAGCAUUCAAUUUAUGCAUGAUAAUUAAGCGUGCACUCUCAACCAACAUACACAAAUCAAUGUAAUCCACAUAGAUAAGUAAAUUGAAUUCACAACUUAUGAAACGCAAUUAGAAGUAAUCAAAUCAUAACGUAAGCAUAAACAUGUAUUUCGAAUCCCCCCCUAGCCAAGGGGGGGUUUAGUUCCUCAUACGCACAAAACAAAGAGAAUUGAAUUUAAACAUUGAAAUCAAAGGAAAAGAAACACCUAGAAAUUCCAGCGACGCGAACUUGAAUUGCAUGAACUUCCGAGCUUCCUUCUCCUCCUCCUUGGUGCGGCAAGGGUCUAGGGACAGGUUUAGGACCUUAGGUGUAUGGAUGCAUGGUUAUGGAGGGAUGUAGUAGUGUUUAGGGGAAGGGAAUGGUGCGGCAAAGAUGUGGAGAGAGUUUGGACGAAUUUCUGGAGUGAAUUCUGAAUUGUGGUGAGUGGUGAUCUGAUUUAGGGGUUAAUAGGAGUAUAUAUAGGCACUUAAAACCCUAAGGUAAUCAGAUAUGGACUUGGAUAACCCAAAUCCACAAGGAAAUAGGUCUAACAAUCAGAUUUUGCAAGGGAAAAGGGGUCCUAGGUGCGGCUGGAUAGGGAUAAGGUGGAUAAGGCUUCUAGAAGGGAUAGGUGCGGCACUUAAAGGAUAGGGCAGAUUAGGACUUCUAGAAACCCUCUAAUGCAAGGAAAACUCACGGCAAGGAUGGAUAAGGUUUCUAGAACAAGGAUAAGGUAUCCUAAAUGGAUAAGGACUCCUCAUUGCAUUUGGAAACUUUGCCUAUUAGGAUUAGGAAACCUUGUCUUUGUCAUUCCUUCUUCAUUCUGGAUUCCUUCUACUUCUUGGACUUGGAAAUCUUCUUUGUAGCUGCAACUUGAUGCCAUUUGGAUUUAACUUUCCUACUUCAAGUAGGAAACCUUGUUUGAGUAGGAAUCUUCAUCUUCAAGGAAUCCUAAUUCAACUUGGAAACCCAUUUUGACUAGGAAUCCUAAUUCAACUAGGAUUCCAUCUUCACUUAGGCACUUUCCUACUUCGACUAGGGAACCUUGUUCAAGUAGGAAACAUCAUCAUCAAAUCUUCAAUUUCGUCCAUCCUCUUGGCUCCAACCAUAUGACAUCCAUUCCAAGCUCAACUUUGCUCCAAAAGGCUCCAAAAUGCAUUCUUUUGCAUACUUUGCCCUUAGAACCUGAAAACACAUAAAACUAGCUUAAAAGACUACUUUACUAAGCAAAAACACUAUAAAUGCACAAGAACAAGCUAAACUAAGGCGCAUAAAUAUGCUCCUAUCAUUAACCAAUACCCCAAGCCCUGUUACAACCCUUAACUUCUAUCUUGAGUGUUAUGUGUUUCAAUUUGUGGAGUUUGAAUUUGGGAUGAGCAUAUGGUGUCACUGGUUCUCGCAUCUAAGUAGUAGUAUCCCAUUCAUGAGAUCAUAUCUAAACAUGCUUCUUAACUCUAGAAAUUGCGUUCUUUGUGAUACAUAUAUGUGAGCAUUCGUUUCAUUUCUACAUCAAUCUUCUCACAUAUGACUAGUGUAGGGUGUGGAGUUAGAAAAUCUGAGUGAAAAUAGAGUGUAUAUCUUGUAAGGAAUUGAGGGAAUUCUCUAAGGCAUGUUACUACAUUCAAAGCAUUGUUUUGAUUGAUUACUUGUGAAUUAGUAAGUGGUGGCUUUAAUUAAGUAUGUGCUUGUGUAAAGAUGACUCAAAUCUGUGGGGAUAACAAUCUUUAACAUGUCAUGUGCAUUGGAAAUCCCUGAGGCAAACGUUGGAAGGUUUAGGUUUUGUUUUGGUUAAGUUGGUUUCGUUUUGUUUCCUUUCUUUUGUUUGUUUUGCUCGAGGACUAGCAAAAGCUAAGUGUGGGGGAAUUUGAUAGGAGCAUAUUUAUGCGCCUUAGUUAGCUAGUUCUUAUGCAUCUUUGUUAUGUUUUCUUCGUUAAAGUAGUCUUUUAAGCUACUUUCAUGUGUUUUCAGGUUUAAAGGACAUAUUACAUGAAAUGAUGCAAGUUGGAGCUUUUGGAGCAAAAUGUGAGCUUGAAUUGAAAAGGACAUGCUUGGAACACAAGGAUGGGAUGGAAUUGAAGAGUUGAAGAUUUGAGGUUUCCUACUUGAAGUAGGAAAGCUAAGCCUAAAAGUUUCCAUUUUGGGUUGAUCUUUCCUAAAUCGGAAUUGGCAACCAAAGUUUCUAAAGUUGGAAGUUUCUAUUCUUGGAGGUUUCCAUUUUCGUGAGUUUCUAUUCUCGGCUUUGGGCUUUUGGAUGACCCAUCCUCACUUCUUGGACCUAUGCCGCACCUUAACCCUAAUCCUAGCCCAUUUAAUCAGCCACACCCUAGGGCCUAAUCAUUUAAAUUCUGCCAAGUUAAACCCUAAUCUAUCUACCCUAAGCCCAAGCCGCACCCUAGGCCUUUUCCCAUGCAAAAAUCUGAUUGUAAACCCUAAUUCCUUGUGGAUUUUCUAAACCCUAGCCGCACCUAAACCCUAGCCCAUUGUCUAACCUGAUUUCUUUAGGGUUUUAGGUGCCUAUAUAUAUGUGUUUUACAUCCUUUGGCCGAACAUCACCCUCUCCAUAAUUCAGAAAAUUCGUCCAGCCACUUCCCACUCUUUGCCGCAACCAUUCUACAACUCCAGCCACCAUUCUACACCUCCAUACACCAUUCUACACCUCCAUACACCACCCAUACCUCUUGCCGCACCACCAUAUCAUCCUAAUUCCCUUCUAAAACCAAAAUCACAUCCAAAAACACCCUAAACCCUCUCUGCCGCAGCAAGGAGAAGAAGAAAGAGGAGCUUGAAGUCAGAAAUUCAAAGUGGAAUUCUUGGGCGUUUUAGGUGUAAUCUUUCUUAUGUCUUCGAUGUUUCAAUUCAAUAAACUUUGUGUUGUGAGUAUGAGGAACUAAACCCCCUUAGUUGGGGGGUAAUUCGAAACCAUGUACAUGCUUGCAAUUUGAUUCGAUUACAUUCAGUUGUUAUUUCAUAAGUUGUGGAUUCAAUUCGUUCAUCUAUUUGAUUGAUAACUUAUUUGUGUAUGUUGAUUGAGAGUGCACGCUUAGUUUUCAUGCAUGAAUAUGAUGCUAGAUUAUGAGGGAGUUUCACCUAAUAGUUACAAUCUUAUAAUCACAAGUAGUGAAGAUCGCUUGAAAACGAUCGCGUUGAAUGAAUUCUUAGCAUAAGUUUCAUGCAAUUCAUAGUAACGAAUGCUUCGUCAAUGCUUAUGUUUUUCAUAGAACUUAAUGAUUCGUGCUUGUAUCUCUAUUAUGCAAUUCAUGUAGGGAACUUGUAGGGAAUGUUUUGGGUUGUCGUAUGCAAUCAUCCAACUUGAUAAAUUCUGGAAAAACUGAGGGUUAAUUAGUGCAAUUCACGGUUAAUUCGGGGCAUUGAGUCUUUAUAAUUUAUUGGAAGAACAACUGAAAAAUCGUUUUGUUUGCAAGUGUGACAUGUGUGGAGAAGAACCUCCUAACUAGCCUUUUAUCCAUCUAGUUCACCAAAAUCGUUUUUACAAUCUGUGCUAGUUAAAGUUUCUGUUUUGUGUUAAAUUUUCGUCCAAAACAAAUCCCCCUUUAAUUUGAAGUCUUAGAUUAGUUAGAAAGUGUUUUGAUUUGUGUUUCUAAGUAUUUUGAUUCAAGUUUUCAUCAAAUUUCGUCCAAAUUAGUGUAGGUGCUCAAAACUGCCCAGAAAGUGGUUUUUAGGCAGUUUUGAGCCUUCUAGUUGCUGUUUUGAGUUUUAGGUUUGUUUAAGUGUUUUAACCUUUAGUUUUGCAUUCUUUGAGUCUAGUUUAGUGUUUUAAACUUUGUUUUAUGUUUUUAAGUCAGUUUUCAAGUGUUUAGCAAUCCCUCCUAAUCCCCGGUUUAGAACGAUCCCUACUUACAUCUUUACUACAAUUUGACAAAAAGAGGGUUUAAUUGUGUGCUUAUCUAUUUCGCAUCAGGCUUCAAAUUCUCCACCUCUAUCACUAUUAAGGGUCUUUAUGGAUCUUCCUAAUUGGUUCUCUAAUUCUUCUUUAAACUCUUUAAAAUUGUCUAAGGCUUCAUUUUUAUGCUGUAAGAAGUAGACAUAUCCAUAACAGGAAUAAUCAUCGAUGAAAGUCACAAAAUAUUUCAUUCCUCUAUGGGUUUUAGUUCUCAUUGGUCCACAUAAAUCUGUAUGCACUAUCUCAAGUAAAUUUGUAGAAGUCCAAUGCUGAGAAAAUGAUUUUCUAGUCAUUUUUCCUUUAAUACAUGAUUCACAUGUAUCAAAAUCAUGUGCAUUUACUUGAGGCAACAUUCCAUUUUUACUCAUGCGUAUCAUUUUAUUUUUAUUUAUGUGAUCUAAGCCAUAAAUAUGACAAAUUUUGAACAAUAGAGACAAAGGCAUACUCGGAAGAAAUACUUUUAUUAAUACAAACUGAGUACAUAUCAUCGACUCUUAUUCCCUUUACAUAAAUAUCACCCUUUUUCCCAAUAGUGACAGCACCAUUCAUGAACCUUGUCUCAAAACCUUUCUUUUUCUAGGAUAGAGAUAGAGACAAGAUUCCUCCUUAUAUUUGGUGCAAACAUAACGUUUUUAAGUACAAUGGUGGAUUUACUAUUGUUGAUCUUGCAAUCUCCUUCACCCAAAACAUCGACAUAAGUAUUGAUGUGAAAAUUAUGUUGACACUCAAAUUAACCCUCUUUUUAUUAAUUGUAGCAAAAUAUGUAAGUAGGGAUCGUUCUAAACCGGGGAUUAGGAGGGAUUGCAAAAUCACUUGAAAACUGACUCAAAUAUGUAAAAACAAGUUUAAAACACUUAAACUAGACUCAAAGAAUGCAAAACUAAACUUUAAAACACCAAAACAAACCAAAAGACUCAAAACAGCCCAAAAACACUCAAAACUGCCUUAAAACCACAAUCUGGGCAGUUUUGAACACUAGACACAAACUUGGACGAAAAUUGGUUUUAACUUGACCUAAGACACUUAAAAACACAAACUAAAGUGAUUUCUAACUACUGUGACUCAACUAAGUAAAGGGGGAUUGAUUUUGGACGAAUUUAACUUUGAAAACAGAAACUUUGAAAACAAACUUUGACAAAAACGUUUUGAUGAAAAUUAAGAUGGUGAAAGGCUAGUUAGAAGGUUCCUUCUCCACACAUGAAACAUAUGCAUACGACUCGAUUUCCAAUUACUUUUUCAAUAAACCAUGAAUGACAAUGCCCCAAAUUAACUAGAUUGACCAAUUAAUUCUCAGAUUUCCCUAGAUUCAUUGAAUUGAAUGGGAUACGCAUUACAACCAAAUUAUUCUCAUCAAGGACCCUAACUAUGGAAUACGCAUGAUAGAGACACAUAUCAAAGAUCAUUAAGUUCAAUGGAAAUCAUAAGCAUUGACGAGGCAUUCAUAACUAUGGGAUACGCAUGUUACUCUUGCCUAGGGUUUACUUAACACAAUCGUGACUAGCGACUUUUACUACUUAUGAAUAUAAGUUAAUAACGAUUAGGUGAAAUUCCCUUAUACUCUAGCGUCAAAUUCAUGCAUGCGAACUAAGUAUGCAUCCUUAAUUAACACACAAUAACAAGUUAUCAAUCAAAUAGAUAAGUAAACCACAUUCACGAUUCAUGAAAUCAUAAUUGGAAGAAAUCAAGUCAUAUAAAACAUAUGAUCAUGGCUUUGAAUUCCCCUCUAACUAUAAAGAAAUUAGUUCCUCAUGUUCGCAAAUAAACAAAGAUAAAUAAAUUUAAACAUUGAAACAAAGAUAGAAAACACCUAGAAACGCUCCGACAAUCCAACGUCUUGAAUGGCAUGCACGGCUCCAAGUUGUCUUCCUUCUUCUCCUUGCAAAAUCACGGCACAAUGAGGGAUGAUUGGUGAAUGGUGUAGUGAAAAUCUGGUAGAGGGUGGUGAGUGAAAGGGUGCGGCAAUGGGUUGUAUAUAUAGGCUAACAUCUGGUAGAGGGUGGUGAGUGAAAGGGUGCGGCAAUGGGUUGUAUAUAUAGGCUGAAAAUCCCAUCUCCUAGGUAGCAAAGGACAAGGUUUUAAAGGCCUAAAUUGCAUAGGAUAAUAACAUCCAAUCCUAUAAGGAAAACAAGUCAAAAACCCAAAGGGAUUGGGAGAUAAGGUGCAGCACAAAGAGUGUGAAAUGAUAAGGCUUCUAGAAACCAAAAUCCUAAAGGAAAUAGGGUAGAAAAUUCGGCACAAAGUGUGGUUUCUAGAAGGAUAAUGCAAGGCAGAUUUUUAGGCUUCUAGAAAGGUUCUUAGGUGUCAUCUUGGUAGGAUAAGAUAAGGUCUUUUAGAAAUCCCAUUUUAAGCAUCCUAAUCUAAUUAGAAACCCUCCUAAGUGGCUGGAAUGUGGAUAGUUUAGGAUAAGGAUAAGAUAGGAUAGGAUAAGGUUUGAUUGGAUAAGAUAAGCUAAGAUAAGGUUAUGGAUGAGGUUUUGGAUAAGAUUCCUUAUCUUGAGCUGAUUCUUUGACUUUAAUUCUUCUUCUUCAUGUAGGAAUACUUGCUUGAGUAGGAAACUUCAUAUAUCUAGGAAUCCAUCUUCAAUUAGGACUCCUUUAGUGAUUACGAAUCCCAAUUCAUUUAGGUACCGUUUGGUACGUGGGACGGAACGGAACAGAACGGGACGAGCCGUUCCGUCCCACGUUUGGUGCGCCUAAAAACUAUGGAACGGAUUGUCCCAUGGGACGAAAUUUGGCUGAUUUUUCGUUCCACCUCUUCCUCCUGGAACGACCCGUUCCACAUCCGUGGAACACAAAUUUAUAACAUUUUAUGACAAAAUUUCUCCUUAUCUUUUUCAAUAUUUACAUCAUCUGUUCUGUCCUGUUCUGUCCCGUCAUGUUCCGUCCCGUCCCGUCCUGUCUGCGUACCAAACGGUACCUUAGGAAUCCUUCAUUCAAGCCAUUUCCUUCUUCAACUUGGAAACUUUGUAUCUUCAAUUCUUCAACUUUGAAACGCCUUCCUAGCUUCACCAAUUCCUCAAAUUCGACCAUCCCUUGUGCUUCAUGUGCAUGAACUCCAUUUUAGCCCAAUUUUGCUCCAAAAUGCUCCAAAUUGCAUCCUUUUGCUCACUUUGUCUCUAAAACCUGAAAACACAUGAAACUAGCUUAAAAGACUAACUUUAACUAAGAAAACACAACAUAAAUGCAUAAGAACUAACUAACUAAGGCGCAUAAAUAUGCUCCUAUCAAGUAUUGUUGCCCAUGUAGAGGCGAUGUUCUCCUAAUGAUUUCUCCUUGAAAUUGAUGAAGCAACUUUUGUCCUUGCAUACAUGACGAGUUGCUCCUGAGUUGUCCUUGAUCUUCAGCAAUGAGUGCUUCAGAGAUAGUCAAAAUUAGUUCUUUAGGAUUUUUGUUGUUCAUGCAUCAUUUUGGGCACUUAUACCUAUAAUGACCAGUCUCUCCACAAUUGUAACAUGCACUCUUCUUUCUUUUAAACUUGUUGUGCUUACGGUGUCCAAACUUUUUGAAGUUCGGGCGCUUGUUCCUACUAUGUGGCUUGUGCAUGUGUUGCUUGUUUUUUCUGAGAAUCUUCCGCUAUGAGGAGGUUGGCUCUGCCUUGUCCAGUUUCCUUUUUCCUAUAAUUUUUAUGAACUUCUUCAAUAGCCAACAUUGCAGGCAAUGUAUCCAUCGUUAAUUCAACUUGACCAUAAGUCAUGGAAGUAACUACAUUUUCCUAAGAAUUUGGGAGGCUACCAAGAAGAACACUAACUUGCAUUUUAUCAGAAACUGGAUGGCCAUCAUUGGCUAAGUCUUUCGUCAUUACUUCCAUCUUAGUAAUAUGAUCGACCAUAGAAUCAGUUUCCUCCAUUUUUGUUCCAUUGUAUUUCUCAAGCAAUAACUGAAUGUAAGUUUGAGAUUUAAGGCCAUACUUCUUUUCAAGUACAUUCAUGAUUUCUUUGGCUGAAUCAUAUUCUUCAUAGAGAGGUAUUAAUUUAUCUUCCAUGUAAUUGAGAAUUGUGGCCUUAGCCAACUCAUUAUCUUCCGCCCAUUUAUUAUAAGCUCGAGAGGGCCCAAGGGGUCUCUCGUCCUUGAUAGUGUACAAAGUAUUGUCAUAGGUUAAAAGAUAAGUGAUCCUUCUCUUUCAUAUUCGAUAGUUAACGUUAUUCAACCUCUCUAUUUUUAAAUCUUCGGAUUUGGAAGAUUUAGUUGCCAUAGCUUAGAAAAUUACAAAACAAGCAGAAUACUUAAUACAAAUUUAAAUACAAAUACAAAUACUAAUAGUGUACUUUUAAAUAUUACAAGCCACAAAUACUAACUACUAGUGUAGUUUUAAUUAUUACAAGUCACAAAUUGAUAGGAGCUUAUUUAUGCGCGUUAGUUAGCUAGUUCUUAUGCAUUUUUAUUAUGUUUUCUAAGUUAAAGUAGUCUUUUAAGCUAAUUUCAUGUGUUUUCAGGUUUUAAGGGCAUAUUACACAAAAAGAUGCAUUUUGGAGCUUUAUGGAGCAAAAUGAAGCUUGGAUUGAAUGGCGCAUGUUUGGAACAAAAGAAAUGGACGAAAUUGAAGAUCAAAGGAGGCUAGGAAUGAAUAAUGAAUGAAGAAAUGAAAAUGAAGAACAAAGAGUUCAGAAUUGGAAACCAAAGUUUCUAAAGUUGGAAGUUGCUAUUCUUGGAGGUUUCCAUUCUUGAAAGUUUCUAUUCUUGGAUUGGAAGUUUCCUAAUCCUCUCUCACCUAUGUUCUAAGCCCAAGCCGUGCCUUUCCUAAGCCAAUUACAUGUGGAUUCUGAUUUGGCUAGCCUUAUUCCUUGUGGAUUUGGGUUAUACAAAUCCUUUUCAUAAACAAAGUGGGCCAAAACCCUUUCCUUGGUGGAUUAAACCCUUUUGCCGCAAACCCUAGGGCUUAAGCCUUUUAUUUCUGCUAAGUUAAACCCUAAUUUAUCUCCCCUAGGGUUUGUGCCGCACCUAAUGUUCUAGAAGCCUAAAAAUCUGCAUAAAACCCUAGUUAUUUUCUCCUUUGGAUGGGCCAAGCCUUUUAUCUCCAAAAUCCUAACCCUUUCCCAUCAGAUUUUGUGAAAACCCUAGCCUAUAAAUACAAGUUUUCAGCCAUAAAUUCGAGACCACCCCUCAUACCAUUGAAAAACACCUUUACCACCUCCCAUAUACAUCAUUCACGUCAGAAACAAAGAGGCUCUCUUUGCCGCACCUUUCCACCACCAUAUUCCAUACUUUCUGCCAAAAAUCAUCCCUAGCCUCACCACCCAUCAACCCUAAACCUUUCCAUACCAUUCCCCAUCCAUUCUACACCACAAAUAACCCCAAAACCUGUUCUAAACUUCUCUGCCGUAGCAAGGAGGAAGGAGAAUUCUUGGAUGCGCUUGCUGCCAAGUUGGAGCGUUCUAGGUGUUUUCUUUCUUUGGAUUCUAAUUUCUAAAUUUAUGUAUCUUUGCUUUGCGAGUAUGAGGAACUAAACCCCCCUUGGCUAAGGGGGGAUUCGAAAUACAUGUUUAUGCUUGCGAUAUGAUUUGAUUACUUCUAAUUGCGUUUCAUAAGUUGUGAAUUCAAUUUACUUAUCUAUGCGAAUUACAUUGAUUUGUGUGUGUUGGUUGAGAGUGCACGCUUAAUUAUCAUGCAUAAAUUGAAUGCUAGGAUAUAAGGAAAUUUCACCUAAUCGUUAUGGACUUAUAUUCACAAGUAGUAAAGGUUGAUGAUCUCAAUCGCGUUAAGUAAAUUCUUGGCAUAAGUUUCAUGCAAUCAUAGUAACAAGUGCUUCGUCAAUGCUUAUGGUUUUCAUAGAACUUAAUGAUUCUUGCUUGUAUCUCUAUUAUGCAAUCAUGUAGGGGACUUGUGGGGAAUGCUUUGGGUUGUCGUAUGCAAUCAUCCAAUUCAAUCAUGUUAGGAAAAUCUGAAGGUUAAUUUAAGCGGACCUAAUUAACUUGGGGCGUUGAGAAUUCAUGGGUUAUUGAAAAGCAAUUGGAAAUCGUUUUGAAUGCAAGUAUAACAUGUAUGGAGAUGAACCCCUUAGCUAGCCUUCCAUCCAUUCAUUUAAACCAAAUUCGUUUUAAAAUCUGUUUUGAUUUACAAGUUUAUAUUUUGUUUUCAAUUUCGUAAAAACCAAAUCCCCCUUUGUUUUCAAGUGUCAAAUUAGUUAGAAAGUGUUUUAGUUGUGUUUUUAAGUGUUUUGAGUCAAGUUAAAACCUAUUUUCGUCAAAAUCUUGUUUAGAGUUCAAAACUGCCCAGAAAGUGGUUUUAAGGCAGUUUUGAGUGUUUUUGUGUUAUUUUGAGUCUUUUGGUUUGUUUUGGUGUUUUAAGUUAUAGUUUUAGAUUCUUUGAGUCUAGUUUAGUGUUUUAAACUUUGUUUUUACGUUUUUGAGUCAGUUUUCAAGUGAUUUAGCAAUCCCUCCUAAUCCCCGGCCUAGAACGAUCCCUACUUACAUACUUACUACAAUUGAUAAAAAGAGGGUUAAUUUGAGUGCUAGUUAAUAUCAUAUCAAAUUUUGGCGCCGUUGCCGGGGAUUAGCAACUUUGCUAAUCCCUUGGAUUGUUAUUUUCGUUUUUCUUAUUAGAUCAGAUUCUUAUGUUAUUUUGUUUCUUGUUUUAGGUACUUGUUUAUGACUCGGAGUUCUAAUCCGGUUCACGAACAUAUUUUAGACUUUGACGACGAUUUCGAGCGUGAGUUGAGACGAAAGAGGAAGAACCCGGAACCUAGUGAAUCAAGUGCAAGUUCCGAGUCCGUUUCUGAAUUUGAAGAGGAAGUGGAAGACAUGGCAGUGGACAACUGAACGAUCAAGGAGCUUUCAGCUUCGGGAUUGGAUAAUGCGGCACCUCUAUGUAUCCAAUACCCUAGGGCGGCUCCGGACAAAACUGCCGAGUUCGAAUUGAAGUCAAGCUUGUUACAUCACAUUCCGAAGUACCAUGGGCUGUCCAUGGAAGAUCCGAACAAGCACUUGAGGGAGUUUGAAGUCGUUUGCUCAAGCAUGACUCCAGUGAACGUGGAUGAGAGCAUCUUGAGGAUGAAGGCCUUUCCCUUUUCUCUCCUAGAGAAGGCGAAAGAUUGGUUGUACGAAUUGGCUCUCGGAACUGUCACAUCAUGGGAGAGCAUGAAACGAGCUUUCUUGGAGAAGUUUUUCCCAACUUCUCGAGUCAUCCUCCUACGUAAAAGGAUAAGUGGCAUUCAACAAGAUGAAGGUGAAUCCUUUCCUACUUAUUAUGAACGUUUUAAAUCUCUUAUUGCUUCAUGUCCACAGCAUCAAAUGAAGGAGGAACUACUUCUACAAUACUUCUACGAGGGACUUCUACCAAUUGAACGUCAAAUGCUAGAUGCCUCAGCGGGAGGAGCAUUGGUGGACAAGACCCCUACGGCUGCAAAGAUGUUGAUUGCUAAUCGAGCGUUGAACGCUCAACAAUACGAAGGUGUUGGACAAAGGAGCAUGCCACGGCAACAUCAAGUCAAUGAGGUAAGUGCCAUAACCGAACUUCAAAAUCAAAUGGCUAACCUUACUACGCUGCUUUCUCAGGUGGUGGAAAGUCCAAAAGUCAAAACCGUAGAUUCUUGCGGCGUAUGCUCCAUGCAAAACCACCAUACGGACAAGUGCCCACAAUUGAUCGAGAAUGGAGGGUGGGAGACACUCAAUGCCGUGGGAUAUGGCAACCAAUACCAAUCACGUGGUGAUCCGUUUUCCAAUACUUACAAUCCCGGUUGGCAUGAUCAUCCGAAUUUCAAAUGGCGAGACCCCCAACAAGGCCAACAACAAAGCGGAUUUAGGCAACAACCCCCGGGUUUCUAUCAAAAGCCGUUGGCACCACCACAAGCCCAAGCACAACCUGCCCAAAGCAAUGCAGGUAAUUCAAGUGAUAAUGAUAAGAUUUUUCAAUUACUUACUACUUUGACGCAUGAUAGGAGCAUAUUUAUGCGCCUUAGUUAGCUAGUUCUUAUGCAUUUUCGUUAUGUUUUCUUCGUUAAAGUAGUCUUUUGAGCUACUUUCAUGUGUUUUCAGGCUUAAAGGGCAUAUGACAUAAAAGAUGGCAAUUUGGAGUUUUUGGAGCAAAUUGUGAGCUUGGAUUAAAAAGUACAUGCUUGGGACACAAGGUUUGGAUGAAAUUGAAGAUUUGAAGAUUUGAGGAUUCCUAGUACAAGAAGGAUUCCUAGUCCGAGGAAGAGUCCUAAUUGACGAAGGAUUCCUAAUCAACGAGGGAUUCCUAGUUGAAGAUGAUUCCGAGAAGAACGAAGAUUCCUACUCAAAUGAGGUUUCCUACUUGAAGUAGGAAAGCUAAGCCUAAAAGUUUCCAUUUUGGGUUGAUCUUUCCUAAACCUAAAUGGCCUUGCGUUUUAGCAACAUUAGAAGGUUCCUAAGCGUUGGAAGACACAAAGAGUGGUUCUAGAACAUUUUUCUCAUCCUUGCCGUGGGUUGGGUUCAUUUUCUCUUGGUUUUGGGCUUUCUAGAAGACCUAUCUAGAAGCCCUAACCCUUUGCCGCACCUAGCCUUCUAGAAGAACUUGUUUGCCUUGCCUUGCAAGGCAUUCUAGAAGCCUUAACCCUAGCCCACUAAACCAGCCGAACCCUAGGCCUUUUCCCAUGCAAAAUUGAUGCGAAAUAGAUAAGCACACAAAUUAAACCCUCUUUUGUCAAAUUGUUGUAGAGAUGUAAGUAGGGAUCGUUCUAGACCGGGGAUUAGGAGGGAUUGCUAAACACUUGGAAACUGACUUAAAAACUCAAAAACAAAGUUUAAAACACUAAACUAGACUCAAAGAAUGCAAAAGUAAAGGUUAAAACACUUAAACAAACCAAAAACUCAAAACAGCAACUAGAAGGCUCAAAACUGCCUAAAAACCACUUUCUGGGCAGUUUUGAGCACCUACACUAAUUUGGACGAAAAUUGAUAAAAACUUGAAUCAAAAUACUUAGAAACACAAAUCAAAACACUUUCUAACUAAUCUAAGACUUCAAAUUAAAGGGGGAUUUGUUUUGGACGAAAAUUUAACACAAAACAGAAACUUAAACUAACACAGAUUGUAAAAACGAUUUUGGUGAAAUAGAUGGUUAAAAGGCUAGUUAGGAGGUUCUUCUCCACACAUGUCACACUUGCACACAAAACGAUUUUCAGUUGUUCUUCCAAUAAAUUAUGAAUACUCAACGCCCCAAAUUAACCGUGAAUUGCACUAAUUAACCCUCAGUUUUUCCACAAGUUAUUAGGUUGGAUGAUUGCAUACGACAACCCAAAACAUUCCCUACAAGUUCCCUACAUGAAUUGCAUAAUAGAGAUACAAGCACGAAUCAUUACGUUCUAUGAAAAACAUAAGCAUUGACAAAGCAUUUGUUACUAUGAAUUGCAUGAAACUUAUGCUAAGAAUUCAUUCAAUGCGAUCGUUUUCAAGCGACCUUCACUACUUGUGAUUAUAAGAUUGUAACUAUUAGGUGAAACUCCCUCAUAAUCUAGCAUCAUAUUCAUGCAUGAAAACUAAGCGUGCACUCUCAAUCAACAUACACAAAUAAGUCAUCAAUCAAAUAGAUGAAUGAAUUGAAUCCACAACUUAUGAAAUAACAACUGAAUGUAAUCAAAUCAUAUUGCAAGCAUAUACAUGGUUUCGAAUUACCCCCCAACUAAGGGGGUUUAGUUCGUCAUACUCACAACACAAAGUUUAUUGAAUUGAAACAUCGAAGACAUAAGAAAGAUUACACCUAAAACGCCCAAGAAUUCCACUUUGAAUUUCUGACUUCAAGCUCCUCUUUCUUCUUCUCCUUGCUGCGGCAGAGAGGGUUUAGGGUGUUUUUGGAUGUGAUUUUGGUUUUAGAAUGGAGUUAGGAUAGUAUGGUGGUGCGGCAAAGGGGUAAGGAUGGUGUAUGGAAGUGUAGAAUGGUGUAUGGAGGUGGAUGGUAGCUUCGGCAAGGAUGGGAAGUGGCUGGAAUGGAUGAAGGCUGCAGCAAGGUGUGGGAAUAGGGUUUAGACGAUUUUCUGAUUUGUAGAAUGGGAGAUGAUGUGCGGCAAGGUGUGUAGAACACAUAUAUAUAGGCACCUAAAAACCCUAAAGAAAUCAGAUUGGGCUAGGGUUAGGUGCGGCUACUUAAGUGGACUAGGGUUAAGGUUUGUAAAAUAGGGCUUCUAGGAUGGAAAGGUGCGGCAUGGGCUUAGGGUACAUAAUCAGAUUUUUGCAUGUGAACAAGGCCUAGGUGCGGCUGAUUAAGUGGCUAGGGUUAGGGUUUAGGUGCGGCAUAGGUCCAAGAAGUAAGGAUGGGUCAUCCAAAAGCCCAAAGCCGAGAAUAGAAACUCACGAAAAUGGAAACCUCCAAGAAUAGAAACUUCCAACUUUAGAAACUUUGGUUGCCAAUUCCGAUUUAGGAAAGAUCAACCCAAAAUGGAAACUUUUAGGCUUAGCUUUCCUACUUCAAGUAGGAAACCUCAAAUCUUCAACUCUUCAAUUCCAUCCCAACCUUGUGUUCCAAGCAUGUCCUUUUCAAACCAAGCUCAUAUUUUGCUCCAAAAGCUCCAACUUGCAUCAUUUCAUGUAAUAUGUCCUUUAAACCUGAAAACACAUGAAAGUAGCUUAAAAGACUACUUUAACGAAGAAAACAUAACAAAGAUGCAUCAGAACUAGCUAACUAAGGCGCAUAAAUAUGCUCCUAUCAAAUUCCCCCACACUUAGCUUUUGCUAGUCCUCGAGCAAAACAAACAAAAGAAAGGAAACAAAACGAAACCAACUUAACCAAAACAAAACCUAAACCUUCCAACGUUUGCCUCAGGGAUUUCCAAUGCACAUGACAUGUUAAAGAUUGUUGUCCCCACAGAUUUGAGUCAUCUUUACACAAGCAUACUUAAUUAAAGCCACCACUUACUAAUUCACAAGUAAUCAAUCAAAACAAUGCUUUGAAUGUAGUAACAUGUCUUAGAGAAUUCCCUCAAUUCCUUACAAGAUAUACACUCUAUUUUCACUCAGAUUUUCUAACUCCACACCCUACACUAGUCAUAUGUGAGAAGAUUGAUGUAGAUAUGAAAACGAAUGCUCACAUAUAUGUAUCACAAAGAACGCAAUUUCUAGAGUUAAGAAGCAUGUUUAGAUAUGAUCUCAUGAAUGGAAUGCUACUACUUAGAUGCGAGAACCAGUGACACCAUAUGCUCAUACCAAAUUCAAACUCCACAAAUUGAAACACAUAACACUCAAGAUAGAAGUUAAGGGUUGUAACGGGGCUUGGGGUAUUGGUUAACAAAGAAAGGAUAGGGAAAACAAACGUUCUUCAAGCAUUAGUAAGCAAAGUAGUGAAAUUGAGGCUUAGAAUUCACUUAGAUUGCAGAAAUUAACUUUAAAACACAAGGGAAAGAUUUAGAUAACUCUUUAGGGCCGAAUUCAUUGCUUUGGACCCUUACUUCAACAAACAAUACUUUGAAACUCUUUUUCACAUCUUUUCAACUCUUUUUUCAUACUUUUCACACUUUUUUCUUCAUUUUUUCUUUUUCCACGAAUUUUUUCUUUUCUUUUCUUUCCACACGUGCCUAUGGCACACAAAAUCACCAAAAGAAAUACUUCCCCCCACACUUGUUUUCUGCCAACAUAAAUCAAAAGGAAUUCAAUUCGAAUCAUGCAUUACUAGGCUUUAAGAACAAGGGUAUGGAUGGUCCUAAACUAGGCUAGGUGAGGUUAAUGUGGGUUAACAAAGAAAAGGCUAAACAAGGCUCAAUGGGGUUAAAACCUACAAAACAUAAUGACAUAGGGGAUUCAUGGCUUUUUGGCUAAGGUGGUGGUCACUACACAACUUCAUCUUGAAUAUGUGUUAUGCAAAUCAAUAACAUGCUUUCAAUGAAAUGGGCAUGAGUUUUAGCAUUUGGAACUUAAUGAUGAAACGCCUUCUAAAUAGUAACCAAGCAAGGAAUAAUGAGAUCAUGCAACGACUUAGAAAACAAAGAAUGCACAGAUUUUAACUCUCCAAAUAAACGUUUAGGCUCAAGUCUCACAAGGUUGUAGCGUUAGUUUGAGUUCCUUCCUUCAAGCAUGUUACAAAAACUGAUUUUUUCUUUUAUGAUUGCAUGUGAAUUCAUAAGUUAUAUCCACAACUAAGCAUAUCAAAGAGUAAAUCAAACUUUCAUCCAUGUUAAUCACUCUCUUUAACAGUCAUGCAAUUAAAAACCAAAUCCUCAUCAUUGUGUUGGAAGGUACCCUAAGACACAAACAAACACACAAAAACAACUCUUUUUGGGUUUUUAAAACAAAUUUUUCAAAUUUUUAUGUGAUUUUCGGAUUUUUGCAUCAAAACACACUAAAACACAUCAAAACUGCUCAAAAACACUUAAAAACAUCAAGGAACAAGUAUCCAAGUUAAGGGUGAUAAAAUCCCACGAAUUUGCAUCUAAAACACUUAGUUACCCCCCCCACACUUCAUUCAAACAUUGUCCUCAAUGUUUCAAGCAUAAAUACACACUAAACAAAAAGAAACACACAAACAGCAACUAAAACAACUAAAUAGGCAGAUUCGAAAUAAAUAACAAAGUGAAGAGUUUAGGAACACAAAUCUGGAAUUGGAGUAAGUCCUUGGUCUUCCUUUGUUGAAUUGCAUGGGUUGCCUCCCAAGUAGCGCUUUCUUUAACGUCGUACAGCCAGACGAAAAACACAAUCAUGCCCCAUUGGAGCCCACGGCAAGGAGUGGGAUCUCCACCACCACCUGCCCCACGGCACUCUCAUACAUUGCAUCUUUGAACGGUAAUGGAUAGUGAUGUUUGUUGAUGGGUGCGUUGUGUUGCCUAAGGUUCAUGUACAUGCGCCCACCAUCAGGGAUUUGCUUGGGUACCUGCACCAUAGAAGGGAACCACCUAUCAACAUUAAUGGGAAUUGGAUUUGGAUUAGGUGGCUUACCUAAGUGAUGUGAUGAAGUGGCAGCAAGGUAAACGUUCUUCCCCAUGGUGCUUUCGGCCACUGUGAGCACUUUGAGGGCAGUGGCCGUAUGGGCCUUGUACUCCACUCCAAUUCCCUCGUCUUGCAUGGUUCUUGAUGCAUCCUUUGUGCUUGGUGCUGAACGGUCCGGGCCUAUCUUUUCAAGUUUAUCAAUGGCACAACAAGAAUGAACAACAUUAGGAGUCUCAAUGGAUUCAGAAAUUUUAAAACUAAUCAUGUCACCACCAAAUGCCAUAGUUACUAAUCCUUUCGCCACAUCAAUCUUCGUUUGAGCCGUUUUCAUAAAUGGCCUUCCAAGGAGGAUGGGCAACGAAGGGGCAUGGUCCGAUUCAUCCAUUUCGAGGGACAUAGAAAUCCGCUGGGAAGACUAAACGAUCAACCUGCACUAAGACGUCUUCCAAAACUCCCUUUGGAUAAGCGUUAGAUCUAUCGGCCAAUUGUAUGAUUACACCAUCAUGUUUAAGUGCUCCUAGAUUCAUAGAUGCAUAAACAGAAUAUGGCAUAACAUUAAUAGAUGCUCCUAAAUCUAGCAUGGCAAAUUUGAAACGGGUAUUACCAAUGACACACGGAAUUGUAAAACUCCCCGGAUCUUUGCAUUUGGGGGGUAGUUUGCGUUGCAAGAUGGCGGAGACAUUCUCGCUUACAUGUACCACUUCUUUAUCCCGGACACGUUUCUUGGUUGUACAAAGCUUCUUUAAACACUUCGCAUACUUCGGGAUUUGCUUUAUGGCAUCAAGGAGGGGAAUGUUGACAUGCACCUUUCUAAAUGUCUCUAGAACAUCUAUUUCCUCCUCGUCGUUCUUUGAUUGCAAAAAUCUGCUAGGAAAGGGGACAUUCAAAGGAAAAACAUUAGUAGGAACCGAAUUUGACACAUUCUUACCUUUAUUGGCCGAUUUGGACAAUUUGGGGACAUUAGAAGCUUGUGGCAAAGAUGGAACCUCCUUUGCCGUGGGCAUGCUUGAUUCCUCCUCUUCAAUUUGCACAUUUACAUCACUUUGGGGACCUGUUUGUGUAGAACCUGCCCUAAUCUCUUUUCCACUCCUUAGCAUGAUUGCAUUUGCGCUUUCGAAACCUCCCUUCGGAUUUGGAAUGGUGGAACUAGGGAGUUGUCCGGGAUCUCGAAACUUACCUACAAACUCAGCAAUCUGCCCAAUUUGUUUCUCAAGUUGAUCCACCCUUUUGUCUUGGUUUUGCAUAGCUCUAGCUUGAUCUUCCUGCCCAUUAGACAACUUAGUUAGUAUCUUAAGAAGUGCAUCAUUGUCAAGAGACGUACCUGAGGCACUUGGGCCGGAUUGGGCUUGAUUUUGGGGUGGGCCGUAGGUUUUGGGAAAGAACCCCAGGGGUUGUUGCCUAAAGCCUCCUUGAUUUUGAGGUUGUUGGGGAUCCCUCCACUUGAAAUUUGGGUGGUCUCGCCACCCCGAAUUAUACGUGUUGGAGUAUGGAUCGUGUCUUGACUGAUUUUGGCUUUGAAACCCAAUGGCAUUCGCACUCUCCCAUCCGCCAUUCUCGAUGAGUUGAGGACAUUUUUCGGAGACAUGUCCUUGGAUAGAACAUACGCCACAUACCACAGGUCCUUGCAUCUUCAUUCCCUCGGCCAUCUGUGAAACAAUAGAAGUAAGAUUAGCCAAUUGUGAAUGAAGAUCGGAAGUCGCACUUACCUCAUGUACUUUGGUGCCGUGAGGGUCCUCUUUGGCCUACACCCUCGUACUGUUGAGCGUUCAACGCUCUAUUAGCAAUCAAGACCUUGGCAGCCAUGGGUGUUUUGUCCACCAAUGCUCCCCCCGCCGAAGCAUCAAGCAUUUGACGUUCUAGAGGUAGGAGGCCCUCGUAGAAAUAUUGCAAGAGCAAUUCCUCCUUCAUCUGAUGCUGUGGACAAGAAGCAACAAGUGAUUUAAAUCGUUCAUAAUAUGUAGGAAAAGACUCACCUUCUUCUUGCUGAAUUCCGCUUAUCUUUUUGCGUAGGAGGAUGAUGCGAGAAGUUGGAAAGAACUUCUCCAAGAACGCUCUCUUCAUACUCUCCCAAGAAGUGACAGUGCCGGGAGCUAACUCGUAUAACCAAUCCUUGGCUUUAUCCAUCAAAGAGAAUGGAAAAGCCUUCAUCUUCAAGAUACAUCCGUCAACAUUGACGGGAGUCAUACUAGAGCAAACCACUUCAAAUUCUUUCAAAUGUUUGUUAGGAUCUUCCAUGGACAAGCCAUGGUAUUUAGGAAUAUGAUGAAGCAAACUUGACUUUAAUUCAAACUCGUCCGUCUUACCUUGGGCAGCCACGGGGUAUUGGAUGCACAAGGGUGCGGCAUUAUCCAAACCCGAGGCGGAAAGCUCCUUGAGUGUACGAUUGUCCAUGGCCAUGCCUUGGACUUCUUCAAAUAUCCCUGCCGUGGCUUCCUCCUCCACUUCUUGUACGUUUUCUUCAAGGUCAGAUUCGGAAUUGGGUGAAUGGUAUUCUUGCUGGUUUCUAGCUCUUCUUAACUUCCUCUCAAAAUCGUCGUCAAAAUCCAAGAUGUUUGCACGAAUCGGUUGAGAGCUUCUAGUCAUACAUUAGUACCUAAGAAACAAGAAACAAAAUUAGGUCAGAAACUUAAACAAAGUCAGAAACAAAGUGAAAUAAAAGAAACAAAAACAAUCCAAGGGAUUUGCAAAAUUGCUAAUCCCCGGCAACGGCGCCAAAAAUUUGAUGCGAAAUAGAUAAGCACACAAAUUAAACCCUCUUUUGUCAAAUUGUAGUAGAGAUGUAAGUAGGGAUCGUUCUAGACCGGGGAUUAGGAGGGAUUGCUAAACACUUGGAAACUGACUUAAAAACUCAAAAACAAAGUUUAGAACACUAAACUAGACUCAAAGAAUGCAAAAGUAAAGGUUAAAACACUUAAACAAACCUAAAACUCAAAACAGCAACUAGAAGGCUCAAAACUGCCUAAAAACCACUUUCUGGGCAGUUUUGAGCACCUACACUAAUUUGGACGAAAAUUGAUGAAAACUUGAAUCAAAAUACUUAGAAACACAAAUCAAAACACUUUCUAACUAAUCUAAGACUUCAAAUUAAAGGGGGAUUUGUUUUGGACGAAAAUUUAACACAAAACAGAAACUUUAACUAACACAGAUUGUAAAAACGAUUUUGGUGAAAUAGAUGGUUAAAAGGCUAGUUAGGAGGUUCUUCUCCACACAUGUCACACUUGCACACAAAACGAUUUUCAGUUGUUCUUCCAAUAAAUUAUGAAUACUCAACGCCCCAAAUUAACCGUGAAUUGCACUAAUUAACCCUCAGUUUUUCCACAAGUUAUUAGGUUGGAUUGAUUGCAUACGACAACCCAAAACAUUCCCUACAAGUUCCCUACAUGAAUUGCAUAAUAGAGAUACAAGCACGAAUCAUUACGUUCUAUUGAAAAACAUAAGCAUUGACAAAGCAUUUGUUACUAUGAAUUGCAUGAAACUUAUGCUAAGAAUUCAUUCAACGCGAUCGUUUUCAAGCGACCUUCACUACUUGUGAUUAUAAGAUUGUAACUAUUAGGUGAAACUCCCUCAUAAUCUAGCAUCAUAUUCAUGCAUGAAAACUAAGCGUGCACUUCUCAAUCAACACACACAAAUAAAGUCAGUAUCAAUCAAAUAGAUGAACGAAUUGAAUCCACAACUUAUGAAAUAAUAACUGAAUGUAAUCAAAUCAUAUUGCAAGCAUAUACAUGGUUUCGAAUUACCCCCCAACUAAGGGGGUUUAGUUCUUCAUACUCACAACACAAAGUUUAUUGAAUUGAAACAUCGAAGACAUAAGAAAGAUUACACCUAAAACGCCCAAGAAUUCCACUUUGAAUUUCUGACUUCAAGCUCCUCUUUCUUCUUCUCCUUGCUGCGGCAGAGAGGGUUUAGGGUGUUUUUGGAUGUGAUUUUGGUUUUAGAAUGGAGUUAGGAUAGUAUGGUGGUGCGGCAAAGGGGUAAGGAUGGUGUAUGGAAGUGUAGAAUGGUGUAUGGAGGUGGAUGGUAGCUUCGGCAAAGGAUGGGAAGUGGCUGGAAUGGAUGAAGGCUGCGGCAAGGUGUGGGAAUAGGGUUUAGACGAUUUCUGAUUUGUAGAAUGGGAGAUGAUGUGCGGCAAGGGGGUAGAACACAUAUAUAUAGGCACCUAAAACCCUAAGAAAUCAGAUUGGGCUAGGGUUAGGUGCGGCUACAUAAGUGGACUAGGGUUAAGGUUUGUAAAAUAGGGCUUCUAGGAUGGAAAGUGCGGCAUGGGCUUAGGGUACAUAAUCAGAUUUUUGCAUGUGAACAAGGCCUAGGUGCGGCUGAUUAAGUGGCUAGGGUUAGGGUUUAGGUGCGACAUAGGUCCAAGAAGUAAGGAUGGGUCAUCCAAAAGCCCAAAGCCGAGAAUAGAAACUCACGAAAAUGGAAACCUCCAAGAAUAGAAACUUCCAACUUUUAGAAACUUUGGUUGCCAAUUCCGAUUUAGGAAAGAUCAACCCAAAAUGGAAACUUUUAGGCUUAGCUUUCCUACUUCAAGUAGGAAACCUCAAAUCUUCAACUCUUCAAUUCCAUCCCAACCUUGUGUUCCAAGCAUGUCUUUUUCAAACCAAGCUCAUAUUUUGCUCCAAAAGCUCCAACUUGCAUCAUUUCAUGUAAUAUGUCCUUUAAACCUGAAAACACAUGAAAGUAGCUUAAAAGACUACUUUAACGAAGAAAACAUAACAAAGAUGCAUCAGAACUAGCUAACUAAGGCGCAUAAAUAUGCUCCUAUCAAAAAUCUGAUUGUUUUAACCUAUUUUCUGUUGGAUUUGGGUUUCUAGAAACCCUAAUCUGAUUGCUAGGGUUUUUAAGUGCCUAUAUAUACUCCUUUAAAGCUUUUGGCUGAAGCUACCACCUCCCAUAUCAUCCAUUCACUCCAGAAAUUUACCCUAAGCCUUUGCCGCAACCACCAACAUCAUUCUCCCUAGUUCUAAGUUCUUGCCGUGCCCCCUAGUCCCCUUAACCCUUCUACCCUAUUCCAUAACCAUUCAUCCACCACAGCCGCACCUUUCCACCACCAUCACCACCUCGUGCAGCCACCAUUGAAGGAGAAAGAAGUAGUGCCGUGCAGUCCAAAGGGAGGGAGAAACCUUGCACAUGCAUCUGCCAUUAGUGGACUUUUGGAGUUUUUCUUCUUUGUUUCGGUUUUCAUGUUUAAUUUAACUUGCUUUUCAAUUAUGUUAGACAUGUGGAACUAAUUUCUUUUUAGUUAGAGGCGAAUUUGAAGCCAUGAUCAUAUGUUUUAUAUGACUUGAUUUCUUCCAAUUAUGAUUUCAUAAAUCGUGAAUGUGGUUUACUUAUCUAUUUGAUUGAUAACUUGUUUAUGUAUGUGGGUUGAGGGUCGACACUUAAUUUGCAUGCCUAGACUUGAUGCUAGAGUAUAAGGGAAUUUCACCUAAUUGCUAGAGGCAAAUUAAACCCUAUGGAAUACGAUUGUGUUAAGUAAACCCUAGGCAAGAGUAACAUGCGUUUCCCAUAGUUAUGAAUGCCUCGUCAAUGCUUAUGAUUUCCAUUGAACUUAAUGAUCUUUGAUAUGUGUCUCUAUCAUGCGUAUUCCAUAGUUAGGGUCCUUGAUAAGAAUAAUUUGGUUGUAAUGCGUAUUCCAUUCAAUUCAAUGAAUCUAGGGAAAUCUGAGAAUUAAUUGGUGCAAUCUAGUUAAUUUGGGGCAUUGUCAUUCAUGGUUUGUUGAAAGAGUAAUUGGAGAUCGAGUUGUAUGCAUAUGUUUCAUGUGUGGAUAAGGAACCCUCUAACUAGUUUCUCAUCAUUCUAUUUCAUCACAAUCUGUUUUGCUUUAAGUUUGUUUUCAAAGUUUAAGUUUUAAAGUUUUUAAGUUCGUCAAAAUCAAUCCCCCCCAUUUAUUUUAAAGUGUUAGAUUAGUUAGAAAUCAAUUUAGUUUGUGUUUUUAAGUGUCUUGAGUCAAGUUUUAGUCCAAUUUCGUCCAAAUUAGUGUUAGGUACUCAAAACUGCCCGAAAGUGGUUUUAAGGCAGUUUUGGUCUUUUAGUUGCUGUUUUGAGUUUUUGGUUGAUUUAAGGUGUUUAAAUCUAGUUUUGCAUUAAUUUGAGUCUAUUUUAGUGUUCUAAUUAUGUUUUUAUGUCUUGAGUCAGUUUCACAUUGAUUAGCAUCCCUAGUUAAUCCCCGGUUUAGAACGAUCCCUAUUUGCUCAUAUACUACAAUUGUCAUCCAUAGGUUUAAUUUGUGUGUCAAGUCAAUUUUCCAUCAAUUUUUGGCGCCGUUGCCGGGAUUAGCAAUGCUAAUCCCUUGUUUUUUUGCCGUGUGUUUUAGAUAAUUUACUAAUUUUCUGAUUUUGUUUUGUUUCUUGGUUAGUACUAGCAUGACGCGGAGUUCUCAAACUGUGCAUGCACAUAUCUUGGACUUUAACGAGAUUUGAACGUGAUUAGAGAAGACAGAGGAGGCAUCCCGACCUAGUGAACCUAGUUCAAAUUCAGAGGCCGAAUCUGAGUUUGAGAAGUGGAAGAAGAAGUUAUGGCAGGACAAUCGGACAUUAAAGAGCUUUCGGCCUCGGGGUUGCCAAUGCCGCACCAUUAUGCUUCAAUACCCGCGGCUGCCAAGGCAAGACCGAUGAAUUCGAGUUGAAGUAAGCUUGUUGCCCCACAUUCCGAAAUACCAUGGGUUUCCAUGGAAGAUCCCACAAGCAUUCAAGGAGUUCGAGGUUGUUUGUUCGAGCAUGACACCCAUAAAUGUCGACGGAAACAUUCUGAUGAUGAAGGCUUUUCCAUUCUCACUUUUGGAAAAGGCGAAGGAUUGGCUUUACGAGUUAGCCCCGAACGGUUACAUCUUGGAUAGUAGAAAAGAGCUUUCUUGGAGAAGUUUUUCCCAACUUUCAAGAGUCAUUCUCUUGAGGAAACGGAUUAGUGGCAUCCACAGAAUCAAGGUGAAUCGUUUCCUUCUUAUUAUGAACGUUUAAAUCAUUGUUGCUUCUUGUCCACAGCAUCAAAAUGAAGGAGGAGCUGCUCAUUCAAUACUUCUACGAAGGACUCCUUCCCAUGGAACGCCAAAUGCUUGAUGCCUCGGCGGGAGGUGCGUUGGUGGAUAAAACUCGGGGGCUGCAAAGUUCUAAUUGCCAACCGAGCACAUAAUGUACAACAAUACGAAGGUGUUGGACAAANNNNNNNNNNNNNNNNNNNNNNNNNNNNNNNNNNNNNNNNNNNNNNNNNNNNNNNNNNNNNNNNNNNNNNNNNNNNNNNNNNNNNNNNNNNNNNNNNNNNNNNNNNNNNNNNNNNNNNNNNNNNNNNNNNNNNNNNNNNNNNNNNNNNNNNNNNNNNNNNNNNNNNNNNNNNNNNNNNNNNNNNNNNNNNNNNNNNNNNNNNNNNNNNNNNNNNNNNNNNNNNNNNNNNNNNNNNNNNNNNNNNNNNNNNNNNNNNNNNNNNNNNNNNNNNNNNNNNNNNNNNNNNNNNNNNNNNNNNNNNNNNNNNNNNNNNNNNNNNNNNNNNNNNNNNNNNNNNNNNNNNNNNNNNNNNNNNNNNNNNNNNNNNNNNNNNNNNNNNNNNNNNNNNNNNNNNNNNNNNNNNNNNNNNNNNNNAAGUCAGUUUUCAAGUGUUUAGCAUCCUCCUAAUCCCGGUCUAGAACGAUCCCUACUUACAUCUUUACUACAAUUUGACAAAAAGAGGGUUUAAUUUGUGUGCUUAUCUAUUUCGCAUCACAUAACCACCCAUUUAAAUUUUACGGGUAAACGAUUAUACAUAUAACCGUUUAUUUAUUUAAAUGAUUACCCAUAACUGAUGGUUAAUUACCCAUCCUUAUGCACAAAUUCUAAUUUUUACUUUAUGUGGAAGAUUACAAAAGUAUAAAUUAAAAUUGGAAAGGAGCAAAUCUUUUACUUAUAAGAGUAUCUCUUUCAAAAUGUCCAAAUCAGUAAUAUAAAAAAGACAGCUACUGAGAAACCAAAUCUAAUGUAGGAUGACAUCAAAUAGCAGACAGCAACGUCAAUUUUUUUUUUUUAUUAAUAUUUUUAUCGACUGCAACUCUCCUCUCUCACUCCAAAUCGCCGCUCGUCCUUCUUCUUCCCUUUUCUCAGAACCAAACCCAGACACUAAAUCUCAACCUAAAACCCAAAUGUAAAAACUCCAUUUCGCACCGUUGCUCAAACAAGAGCUCCAGCGGCUCUAACCCUUAGCUGCGACCUAUACUCAUCCGUCUCCGAACGGCUCCCGUAGCAGUAGAAUGGAGCGGAGGAGUUGCGCGGGCGAGGAUCGGUGCGGGUUUAUUGGAAUUUGGUUGAGGCGUUGAGGAGUUGGGGGGUUUGAGGAUUCGAAUCCGAGGAUUGGAUUGAAUGUAUUUGAACGGGAUUCGUUUUCUUCAAUCCACAGAAAGUGGGGGGGGACGGAGGGAGAGAGAACGAACUGAGAGGUAGGGCGUGGGGAGUGGGGGAAUGACGGAGGGGAUUUCGGUUUUUCUGUCAAUCCAACAUAAGAGGGGGGAGGAGGGGGGGGAGAGGGAGAGGAGAACGGAACUGAGAUGGUUGGGGGGCGGUGGGGAGUGGGGGGAAGUGACGGAGAGUGUAAUAAAAUAAUAGUUUAAUGAAAAAAAUUAAAAAAAUAGUGUAAUAAAAUAAUAUUUAAUUUGACAUACGUGGAGAGCUAAAUUUUGAAAGAUGUCAAAAUGUUACAUAGGUUGUCAAAUUCAAAUUUUAUGUUUAAAAUUUGACAUCUCUUUUGAAGAUGUUCUUACUUUUCAAACGCCAUUUUUUUUAAUGUGGCCAAAUAUGAACUUUAUUUUGGAAGUCGUUAUAAUGUUACGAAUUUAUGUAAAAUUUUACAAAAACCUCUAUGGCAGAUUUAUUCGUUAAUUUUUUAGACAACUUAGUAAUAUCAUGGAAGGAUAUUGCUUUAUUUUGGCUGAACUACUUUGCACCUUUUUUGGUUUUUGAGUGAUUUUCAAAUUGGGUUACCGAGUUUUAUUCUAUCAAAUUGCACUAUGAAAUUUCAAAGUUAUUUCGAUUUAUGCCUUUCAUCUAUUUGAAUCUAUUAUCCUUCAAUAAAUUAAUGACAUGAUCAAGUAACUGUUUCUUAAGCUAUGUAGAAGCCACACUUGCACAUGUAUGGCCAAACUGGACUAGUGUUGGUUUGAGAUACGAAUUAUUGAUUGAGAAGUCAAAGCUAGACAAUGACUAAUUUGGGUCAAUGUUCAAAAAAGGCCUCACCUAAAUGUUAGGUGGUUGGUUAUCACCGCAAUUAAUCCCUAGUCGUUUAAAAAAUAACAAAGGGCAUCUAAACUUGCUAUCGGGACUCUCACUUAUACAAAAAUGAAUAACUUUUCAUUUUAUGUUUUCAUUUUGUUGUGGACUAGAUUUGUUUGAGUUACAAAUGAUUGAUUGGGCAGAAGUCAAAGGUACACAAUAACUAAUUUUGGUCAGUGUUCAAAAAGACAUCACCUAGGCACUAGGUGGCUAUUCACCGCCGCAAUUAUUCCUAGGCGUUUAAAAAAUACCAAAGGGUGUCUACACUCGCUUGGAAGCCCGCGUAGCUUGACUCGGUGAAAUAAUUGAAUUAGACGGGUCUAGGUGAGUCUAGAUGAUGAGAAGAUUGGGUUGAAGAAAAAGACCCUAAACAUUAGGAAAAUUCAAAGUGACUAAUUAGUAAUUUAGAACUAAACCACAAGAACCGAAUAUGUGUUUACCUAAUAAAAUUAUUUGUGACAUGUCUAAGAGUUGUGUGUGAGUUGAUGUUCAACAUAUUACUUUUUUAUUGUUUUGAUGGGUUAAGGUUAUCCGUGUAUACGUACAUUUCCCAACACCCUAAUGGAAUCUCUUUUUUUAUUUUCAUUUUUUAUUUUUUAUUUAUUUUUGCUAAAAUACUUCAUUCAAAUAGAAAACCCUUUAAUACAUCGGGUUCCAAUACAAUUGAAAUAGCGUUAUAAGUCUUUUCCAAGAUAUAGGACUCCUAAAUAUGUAAAUUUUCUACAUAAUGACCACCACUAGCAUGUAGAUAUGUAAAUUUUGUUGCAUACAAAUGAUGUAUCGCAAAGCUCCACGUGACAUAUGACUUAUCACAAAUGGACAAGUCAUCAAUGACAUGUGGCACAAAUCAAGCAAAUGAAGCUUAAACCUUCCCAAAAACUCGGCCAAAGAGAGAAAACCUCACUUAAAAAAAAAGGGCAAGGGAUCAAAAUGUUCUCAAAACCGGAAAGAAAGUUAAGGCAUCUUCAUAAAACAAGCAAGAAUUGAAGAUUGCUCAAAAAAUAGGCAACAAGGCUUCAUAAUUUAAGCCAAAUGAGUAAAGUGGCUGAAAUUAAGAGACAAAACAUGCUUAAAUUCUCCCAUGGAAAAGUUAGAUAAAUCAAAGCCAAAUCUACCCAAGGGCAAGCCUUGAGAAGCCUAUAAAUACAAGGUCCUCUCACAAGCAUAGGGGUCGAAAAAUCUCUACACAGAAGAACCUCUGUCAAACCUUUGAAGACUAAUAGUUGCCAAAGCUUGCUUCGAAGAACAUUCAACCAAAGCCAAAGCUUUCUCUUGACCAAAGUCGAAGCACUUCCUUGAAGAAUCAACAAGCGCUUAUGCCGAUUCCUUCAAGACUUUGUUGCAAGCUUAUAAACUUGUAGCAACAUUCGUUUCAAGAUCAAGUCGCCAAGACCCUUGAAGCAACGAAAUCCCGCAUCAAAUACUACCUUUGCCGCACCUUUAGGGUAAAGAUCAUUCACGUGUUUGUUUCAAACUCAAAACUUGAAGCAAUUGUUCAACUGUUCGUUCGAGAUCAAGUCAUCAAGACCCUUGGAUCAAUGAUCAAGCAUCUACAUCAAAUUUGAAGGCUUAAUUAGAGGAAAAGUUGUAAACAGAGAUUGUACAUGUGUUCUCAUUUCAUUCAUUACAAGAAUUUUUGUGCUUACAAAUUUGGCAUGCCUGGUGGGAUCUCUUUGCCUCUCAUCUCUAUCUUCAAAUCCACAAGAAACACACAUGACAUCAAGAAAAGAUCAAGCUGUUCCCGCAACCAACGCAAAGAACAAGGGCAUUGUUGCCGCAAGUGGUGGCACUUUGGGCUUCACAACUCGAAGCAAGGCAAAAACUUUCUCUACCCUGCCUUCCAUCCCUUCAUCAACUCUACCGAAUGAGAAAGAGCACCCGAGGCACGAACUUGUGAUCACCUUGGCCUUACUAAGAGCGCCAAGGGAAGAAAGCUUGAUGAGGUACUUUGAGUCUUUGACUUUUGACGUCGACUCAAGCAGCUCAUAUCCCGUAUCCAUGCAAGUCAUGACUACUGGCGUAACUUUCAUCGAUGAGCAACUGGCUCAAAUGAGUGAAGCAAUUGCAAGGUUGACAAGGACCGUGGAGAAGAAGAACUUACAAAUUGCUACGCUAAGUAACUGUUUAGAGGCGCAGCACGACGACAAAGCUGACUCGAAGGUUGACCCCCAAAAGGAAGAAACUGAAGAAAAGGAAGAGCCUCUGGUGGAGAAAGCCGAAGAGAAGCUUGACCAAGCAACAUCGCUCAUGCGAUCUCUCUCUAUACAACAAUAGCUGCAACAAAUGAUCACUAACACGAUCAAGGCACAAUAUAAAGGAAUCUCACACGACUCCGUGCUAUACUCAAAACCAUACUCUAAGAAGAUUGACACCUUGAGGAUACUAAGGGGUUAUCAGCUUCCAAAAUUCAUGCAAUUUGAUGGAAAAGGCAAUCUUAAACAACAUAUUGCCCAUUUCAUCGAAACUUGUAACAAAGUUGGGACAGAGGGAGACUACAUCGUCAAGCAGUUUGUGCGCUCACUGAAAGGUAAUGCCUUUGACUGGUACACCGACCUUGAGCCCGAAUCCAUCAACAGUUGGGACCAGCUUGAAAGGGAAUUCCUUAACCACUUCUACAGCACGCGCCGCACCGUAAGCAUGCUAGAGCUGAUAAGUACAAAGUAAUGGAAGGAUGAACCCGUUGUCGACUACAUCAACUCAUUAAGUCUAGAUUGCAAGGAUCGGCUUUCUGAAACCUCCACUAUUGAGAUGUGCAUUCAAGGCAUGCAUUGGGCCUACACUACAUCUUCUAAAGCAUAAAGCUGAGGACAUUUGAGGAACUAGCAACUCGUUUCCACGACAUGGAGCUGUGUAUUGCCAACCAUGUAAAAAAAUGAGCCAAUCACCGACUUCAAGAAGGUUAAGGUGUUCACUCCGAAGGUAGACAUGUAACAUCCCACAUCGCCCAGGGGAGUGGAUCCUCUAUGCCUUCUAUGUAUAUUCCCAUCUCUACCUAGCACGAGGCCUUUUGGGGAGCUCACUGGCUUUGGAUUCCACCGGAACUCUGAAGUUAAGCGAGUUCGGACAAAAGCAUUCCCAGGAUGGGUGACCUACUGGAAAGUUCUCGUGUGAGUUCCCAAAAACAAAACUGUGAGGGUGUGGUCAGGGCCUAAAGCAGAUAAUAUCGUGCUACGGUGGAUGAUGCGAAAUAGAUAAGCACACAAAUUAAACCCUCUUUUUGUCAAAUUGUAGCAAAGAUGUAAGUAGGGAUCGUUCUAAACCGGGGAUUAGGAGGGAUUGCUAAACACUUGGAAACUGACUUAAAAACUCAAAAACAAAGUUUAAAACACUAAACUAGACUCAAAGAAUGCAAAAGUAAAGGUUAAAACACUUAAACAAACCUAAAACUCAAAACAGCAACUAGAAGGCUCAAAACUGCCUAAAAACCACUUUCUGGGCAGUUUUGAGCACCUACACUAAUUUGGACGAAAUUUGAUGAAAACUUGAAUCAAAGUACUUAGAAACACAAAUCAAAACACUUUCUAACUAAUCUAAGGCUUCAAAUAAAAGGGGGAUUUGUUUUGGACGAAAAUUUAACACAAAACAGAAACUUUAACUAGCACAGAUUGUAAAAACGAUUUUUGGUGACCUAGAUGGAUAAAAGGCUAGUUAGGAGGUUCUUCUCCACACAUGUCACACUUGCAAACAAAACGAUUUUCAGUUGUUCUUCCGAUAAACUAUGAAUACUCAACGCCCCAAAUUAACCGUGAAUUGCACUAAUUAACUCUCAGUUUUUCCACAAGUUAUUAAGUUGGAUGCUUGCAUACGACAACCUAAAACAUUCCCUACGAGUUCCCUACAUGAAUUGCAUAAUAGAGAUACAAGCAAGAAUCAUUACGUUCUAUGAAAAACAUAAGCAUUGACGAAGCAUUCGUUACUAUGAAUUGCAUGAAACUUAUGCUAAGAAUUCAUUCAACGCGAUCGUUUUCAAGUGAUCUUCACUACUUGUGAUUAUAAGAUUGUAACUAUUAGGUGAAACUCCCUCAUAAUCUAGCAUCAUAUUCAUGCAUGAAAACUAAGCGUGCACUCUCAAUCAACAUACACAAAUAAGUUAUCAAUCAAAUAGAUGAACGAAUUGAAUCCACAACUUAUGAAAUAACAACUGAAUGUAAUCGAAUCAAAUUGCAAGCAUGUACAUGGUUUCGAAUUACCCCCCCAACUAAGGGGGUUUAGUUCCUCAUACUCACAACACAAAGUUUAUUGAAUUGAAACAUCGAAGACAUAAGAAAGAUUACACCUAAAACGCCCAAGAAUUCCACUUUGAAUUUCUGACUUCAAGCUCAUUUUUCUUCUUCUCCUUGCUGCAGCAGAGAGGGUUUAGGGUGUUUUUGGAUGUGAUUUUGGUUUUAGAAGGGAAUUAGGAUGAUAUGGUGGUGCGGCAAGAGGUAUGGGUGGUGUAUGGAGGUGUAGAAUGGUGUAUGGAGGUGUAGAAUGGUGGCUGGAGUUGUAGAAUGGUUGCGGCAAAGAGUGGGAAGUGGCUGGACGAAUUUUCUGAAUUAUGGAGAGGGUGAUGUUCGGCCAAAGGAUGUAAAACACAUAUAUAUAGGCACCUAAAACCCUAAAGAAAUCAGGUUAGACAAUGGGCUAGGGCUUAGGUGCGGCUAGGGUUAGAAAAUCCACAAGGAAUUAGGGUUUACAAUCAGAUUUUUGCAUGGGAAAAGGCCUAGGGUGCGGCUUGGGCUUAGGGUAGAUAGAUUAGGGUUUAACUUGGCAGAAUUUAAAUGAUUAGGCCCUAGGGUGUGGCUGAUUAAAUGGGCUAGGAUUAGGGUUAAGGUGCGGCAUAGGUCAAGAAGUGAGGAUGGGUCAUCCAAAAGCCCAAAGCCGAGAAUAGAAACUCACGAAAAUGGAAACCUCCAAGAAUAGAAACUUCCAACUUUAGAAACUUUGGUUGCCAAUUCCGAUUUAGGAAAGAUCAACCCAAAAUGGAAACUUUUAGGCUUAGCUUUCCUACUUCAAGUAGGAAACCUCAAAUCUUCAACUCUUCAAUUCCAUCCCAUCAUUGUGUUCCAAGCAUGUCCUUUUCAAUUCAAGCUCACAUUUUGCUCCAAAAGCUCCAACUUGCAUCAUUUCAUGUAAUAUGUCCUUUAAACCUGAAAACACAUGAAAGUAGCUUAAAAGACUACUUUAACGAAGAAAACAUAACAAAGAUGCAUAAGAACUAGCUAACUAAGGCGCAUAAAUAUGCUCCUAUCAGUGGAGUCAAGCCCGAUAUGUGGUGGGGGGCCUGGGACGGGAUGUGACAAUUUGGUAUCCGAGCCAAUCCCUGGCCAAAUGUGUCCCGACGAGGAUGUCGGGCCCUAAGGGGGGUGGAUCGUAACAUCCCACAUCGCCCAGAGUAGUGGAUCCUCUAUACCUUAUAUGUAUAUUCACAUCUCUACCUAGCAUGAAGCCUUUUGGGAGCUCACUGGCUUUGGAUUCCAUCGAAACUCCGAAGUUAAGCGAGUUCGGGAUAUGACAAGACAAGACUGGGAAGAAGCCCACCAAGGAAGCUUUUAUCGUAAACACUACCCCUGUCAAGACCUUCCUUGUGCUUGUUAAGAUCUCUUCCAAGAACAAAGCAAAAGAGAUAAAAAAAAGGAACUUUCUCUCACCUAAGAUAGGCACAAAAACACUUUGAGGGAGAUGGAGCAAAAGCCGUAUCCUGUUUCAGACUCUAACAUGGCCGCAAUGCUAGACAAUGCUAGACGUAUCUUGUUUUGAACUUGACCAUGAAAACACGACUGUAACACACACUACUACGAUUAUGUUUGGUCCUUCGAUCACGUGCCUCUCCAAGUGAUGCAUGCCCACUCACACGCCUGAAGAAAGCUUGGCAUCAUACUUUAGCAUUGAAAAGGCACUGCAAUUUCCCAAAGAGAUACGAAGAUCACUAAUAGCGGUCUUGGCGAGUCCUAAUGUCUACGAAGCGCAAGAAAGCAAUGAUGAAAGCUUGAAGCUUCGACCACACGAAUAUGCCACAUGCUGUGCCACCCAUGACACAAUCAACUUCAUUGACGAAGACCUGCUGCUGCAAUCAAAGGCUUACAACCAUCAUCUCUUUGUCUCUGGAUACAUAAGGGAGCACAAAAUCAACCGUAUGCUUGUGGAUAGAGGAUCAGCCAUAAACAUCAUGCCAAAGUCAACAAUGACUACAAUUAGCAUCAAGGUGGAUGAACUAUCUCAGAGCCACCUCUUAAUCCAAGGGUUUAACCAAAGAAGACAAAGAGCGAUAUGCAUGGUCCGCGUGAAGAUAACCAUUGGCGAACUCAAAUCAAGCAUGCUAUUCCACGUGAUUGAUGCGAGAACUUCCUACAACUUGCUCUUGGGAAGCCUUGGAUCCAUGAGAAUGGAGUGGUGCCGUCCACCCUCCACCAAUGCUUAAAAUACUACUGAGAAUGAGUGAAGGUGAUAUAAGGCGACACUAAGACAUUCACCGAAGUCGAAUCACACUUCACGGAUGCCAAGUUCUACAUGGAUGAAGAUACGGAGCCUGAAGCUUUUCCAAAAGAGAUUAAGCCCACAUGCAAAGCUGCACCCAAAAAGAAUUAGUGGCAAGUCGUGCCUAAAAAGCAAGAAGAGAAAUCUGUGCCAUCUUCAAGCAAAAAUGACGAUGAGCUUGCUAAGCCCGCAACAACCAAAGAGAAUGUGACACCCUCAAAAGGAUCAAACAUACCCGUCUUCCGAUACACCUCAAUGUCGAGAAUAAAGUGUGGGCAAUCCCAGUUCGAAACAAGCAAAGUCGACACGCAGCUACACAAGGACGACAUAAAGCUGCUCAAGGCAAAUACAAUUUUACCUCUGACACAACUAGGUAAUGGUAAAAUCUCAAAGCCACUGCAAGGCUUCGUAUAACCCUUGCCAAAAGGGAUGGAAUCAAUCUCUCUUCCAACGAAGAAGACCGAAGAAGGCUUUGACCUAAACGCCUACAAACUCAUGUCAAAACCUGGGUACGAUUUCACUUCCUUUCCAAAUCUCAGAAAGAAGAAUGCAAACACCGUUAACGACAAAGAAUGUGACCUCACCGAGACUCAAAAAAGAUUGAAGAAGCAUGGUUAUAGAGUUGACAACAACAAAGCUGGACGUGGCUUCACACCAAAUACACCUGUGAAGAUUUCAAGAAAAGUGAAAAACGUUAGCGCUCAACACAUCAGCGUAAGUUUGACAAAAUCAAGAGGAGCCUAAACCUACCUCUCGAACAUCAGUCUUUGAUAGGUUGAAUCGUUCAAAACCUAGAGUUUUGACACUUGAUUCCAUUGGAGGUCAAGAACGAACUUCCGUCUUCAAACGACUUAACACGCUAACACCCAAAAGCUCUGUCUUCGAAAGGUUGUCAAAACCUAAGAAACAAAACAACACGGCUAGCUCUCCUCCGCGGAGGUUUGCCUUGGAAAGACUUGUAUAGACCAAAAAGACUUCUAGAAAGAGGAAAACAAUGCCAAAGGAAGAAAAGCUCGACAGUCUAGCAGGAAAUGACGACACUCGUAACUCGAUUCCUUCAAGGAUGAAACGCCAAACAACCUUAGAAACGGACAUAAAAGGACAACUGAAGGUAAAGAAACGCACCAUCAUCUACACUGGCCAAUCUUCACGCCUACAAGCCCAAGUGGACGACACUGAAGAGGAGGACCAAGAUGUUUUCCACAUCACAAUCCAAGAGGAUGAAGCAGAAAAAGUUCUCAAGGAGGAUGUCACUGAUGUACCACCACAACUCGAAGACGGGGGACAAGCCACGAUUAAUGAUCUCAAAUAGCUCAACCUAGGCACAAGCAAGGAGCCAAAGCCUAUUUUUGUAAGUGCACUACUAAGCAUAGAUGAGAUCGAGGAGUACUACAAACUACUUUUGGAGUACAAAGACAUAUUUUCUUGGACCUACAAGGAAAUGCCCAGCCUUGACUCUACCAUUGCCAUGCAUCGUCUAGCAGUCAAGCCUGGAACACGACCAAUAAAGCAAACUAAAAGACGCUAUCGAUCUAAACUCAUCCCAUAAAUUGAGGCGGAGAUUGACAAGCUAAUCGAAGCAGGCUUCAUUCGAUAGGUCCAAUACCCUAAGUGGAUCUUUAACAUCAUCAUUGUCCUUAAAAAAUCUGGACAAAUACGUGUUUGUGUACACUUCCGAGAGCUUAACAACGCUUGCCUAAAUGAUGACUUUCCCUUGCCAAUCAUUUAAAUCAUGACUUUCCGAGAGCCACAUAUCAACGUGCCAUGCAAAAGAUCUUAAAUGACAUGCUACAUGAAAACGUUGAAUGUUACAUAGAUGACAUAGUUGCCAAGACCAAGAAGAUAUCCGAUCACUUGAAGGAUUUACAAAUGGUGUUCGACAAACUACAGCACCACAACCUCAAGAUAAACCCAUUAAAAUGUGCAUUUGGCGUCACCUCUGGGAAAUUCUUCGGCUUUAUUGUCAAGCAUCGUGGCAUUGAAGUGGACUAGUCAAAGAUUAAGGCCAUUCCAAGCAUGCCCAAGCCAAGGAAUCUACACAAGCUGAAAAGUCUACAAGGACGGCUUGCCUUCAUAAGACGCUUCAUCUCCAACCUCGCCGGACGUUGUUAACCCUUCAGUUGACUUAUGAAGAAGGACGUUCCAUUCGUAUGGGAUGACACAUGCUGCAAUGCCUUUGAAAGCAAAAAAAUGUACCUAGUAAGCCCACCUGUCUUAGGAGCUCCCAUGCUUGGAAAGCCGUUCAUCUUGUACAUUGUUGCACAAGAAGGUUCCAUUGGAGCACUCUUAGCGCAAGAAAAUGAAGAUCAAAAGGAAAAAGCACUCUACUACCUAAGUAGAACCCUUACUGGGGCCGAACUCAAUGAUAGGAGCAUGUUUAUGCGACUUAGUUAGCUUGUUCUUGUGCAUUUGUGUUGUUAUUUCUUAGUUAAUUAUGUAUUUUAAGCUAUUUUCGUGUGUUUGUAGGUUCAAAUAACAAAGUUGGCAACAAAGUGCUAUUUUGAGCACUUUGGAGCAUUUUUGUGCCAAGAUUGGAUAGUGCAAGCAUGGAGACAUGAGGAUGGAUGUUUUCGAAGAUUAGAAGGCUAGAAAUCAGCAUGUGUGUGUGCAAGUGUGUUGACCUACAACUACAAACACCCAUCCACUACACCCAUUACAUCCACUCAUUACCAAACAUCCAUCCACUACACCCACAACCCACUCAUUACCAAACAUCCAUCCACUACACCCAUUACAUCUACUCAUUACCAAACACUCAUCCACUACACCCAUUACAUCCACUCAUUACCAAACACUCAUCCACUACACCCAUUACAUCCACUCAUUACCAUAACACUCACCCACUACACCCAUUACAUCCACUCAUUACCACAACAUACACCACUACCACCUUAAUUAGAUGAUGGUCCUCUCCCUAGCCUAUAAAUACAUCCACCCUUCACCAUAACAAAAGGAGGAGAAAAGAUCCAUCAAAAGACACUACAUUCACAUCUCACAACUCCAUACACGUACACUUUCAUUCCUUGGCCGGGAGAACACAAUCCACCCAUCCACCCUUCACCAUAACUCACCUAUAUCCAUCCACCACCAUAAUUUACCACUCAUCCAUCAAACCACACCUUGUGCCGUAACAAAGAGAAGAAGGAGGACCCUUGGAUGUGCUUGCCAUUCAAGUUGGAUUGUUGGAGCAUUUUUAGGUGUUUUCAUUCUUUUGUUUUCAAUUUCUAAAUUUGUUUAUCUUUGCUUUGUGAGUAUGAGGAACUAAACUCCCCUUAGGCAGGGGGGAAUUCGAAACCAUGUUCAUGCUUGCAAUAUGAUUUGAUUACCUUCAGUUGUGAUUUCAUAAGUUGUGAAUUCAAUUUGUUUAACUGCUUGAUUGAUAACUUAUUCGUGUAUGUUUAUUAAGAGUGCACACUUAGUUUGCAUGCAUGAAUAUGAUGCUAGAGUAUAAGGGAGUUUCACCUAAUAGUUACAAACUUAUAUUCACAAGUAGUGGAGGUCGCUUAUAAACGAUCGCGUUAAAUAAAUUCUUGGCAGAAGUUUCAUGCUCGUCAUAGUAACGAAUGCCUCGUCAAUACUUCUAGUUUUCAUAAUGCUUAAUGAUCUUUGAUUGUAUCUUUAUUGUGUUGUUCACGUAAAGAACUUUUGAAGAAUGUUUGAAUUGUUGUAUGCGUUUUCCCAUCCAAUUCAAUAACUUAAAGAGAACUUGAAGGUUAAUUUAAGCGGACUUAAUUAACCUGGGGUGUUGAGUUUCAUGAUUGAUCAAAAGAACAACUGAAAAUUGGUUUAUGUGCAAGUAUGUCAUGUGUGGAGAAGAACCUCCUAGCUAGCCUUCCAUCAUUUCAAUUUACUUAAAUUCGUGCAGAUUUCAUUAGUUCUUUAAUUUACUUGUUUUGUUUUCAAAUUCGUCAAAACCAAAACCCCCUUUACUUUAAAGUGUUUUAUUAGUCAAAAUCUGUUUUGAUUUGUGUUUUUAGAUGUCCCAAAAGUGUGUUAGAGUCCAAAUUUGCCCAGUUUGUGUUUUUCGGCAGAUUUGAGCGUUUUUAGCUUGUUCUGAGUCCUUUGAGUUUGUUUUAAGUUCUUUGAGUCUAGUUUAGUAUUUUUAACUUUGUUUAUAUGUUUUUAAGUCAGUUUAGAGGUUUUAGCAAGCCCUCCUAAUCCCCGGUUUAGAACGAUCCCUACUUGCAUUUAUACUACAAUUUGACAACAAGAGGGUUUAAUUUGUGUGUUAAGAUAAUUUUCGCAUCACUCAACUACACCCUAAUCGAGAAAAUGUGCCUUGCCUUAUUCUUUGCUAUCCAAAAGCUUAGACACUACAUGCAUGCUUACACCAUCCACUUGGUUGCUAAAGCUAACCCAGCCAAAUAUGUCAUGCCGAAGCCAGUUUUGACAGGGCGACUAGCAAAAUGGGCAUUGUUUCUCAAUCAAUACGAGAUCAUCUAAAAUCCUGCUAAAGCCAUCAAGGGGUAAGUGCUAGCAAACUUCCUUGCCGAUCAUCAAAUCCCAGCCGAUUGGAAAAUCUUAGAUGACUUGCCUGACAAGGAGGUGUUCUACGUCAACAUCUUCUCGACAUGGACAAUGUUCUUCGAGUGAUCCGGACGAGCAAAUGGAGUGGGGGCAAGAGUAGUAUUUAUGUCACCAUAAAGACAAAUACUACCAUAUUCCUUCAAGAUAAGGGAGCUAUGCUCCAACAACGUCGUUGAAUACCAAGCGCUAAUUAUCGAACUCUAAAUGGUGGACAUGGAAAUCACAACACUAGAAGUGUAUGGUGACUCUAAGCUCAUAAUCAAUCAACUAUUGACUGAACAUGAAGUGUGGAACUCGUCCCGUACUUCAUGCUAGCAACUGAACUGCUUCGAAAGUUUGAGGCCAUAACGCUAGAACAUGUGCCAAGAAAAGAAAAUCAAAUGGCAGACAAUUUCGCUAACUUAGCCUCAAGUAUAACGCUAGGAGAAGACAAAGCUACAGACGUGCCAGUUUGUCAAAGAUGGAUGAUCCCGCCCGUCACUAAAAUGAUACUGGAUGAUAUAAACAUUAUUUCAAUACUUCUAGUCGAUAGUGAAGAGUGGACAUUGCCGCUGAUCAACUACUUGGAGCAUGGAAAGCUUCCGGACGAUCCUAGACACCAUUCUGAAAUACGUUGACAAGCACCUUGCUUCCUCUACUAUAAAGGAACACUCCACCGACACUCUUUUGAAGGAGUACUUUUAAGAUGCUUAGGUGAGGAAAAAGUUAAUCAAGCCAUGGAAAAAGCACACUCAGGCAUAUGCGGAGCGCAUCAAUCUGGACUAAAGUUGCAUUUCCAGCUUAAAAGGAUGGGCUACUACUAGCCAAGUAUGGUGAAGGAUUACUUGGAAAAUGCCAAAAGGUGCCAAGCUUGCCAAUUCCACGCCAACUUUAUACCUUAACCACAUGAGUCAUUACACCCUGCGAUUGCUUCAUGGCCAUUUAAUGCAUGGGGAUUGGAUGUCGUAGGACCAAUCACACCAAAGUCAUAUGCCAGAAAAGCCUACAUCCUAGCUGCAACAGACUACUUCUCCAAGUGGGCUGAAGUCAUACCCCUAAGGGAAGUUAAGAAGGAAACUAUCAUCUGUUUCAUCAUAGAGCAUAUCAUCUAUCAAUAUGGUGUGCAUCGCUACAUCAUCACCGACAAUGAAAAAUAGUUCUCUAACCGACUCGUGGAUGAGCUCUGCGAGAAAUACAAGUUCAUGAGGAUAACAAAACACUAUGCGAGCCAACGGUCUUGCAGAAACAUUCAACAAAACACUAAGCAACCUCCUAAAGAAUGUGAUCGGCCGAACAAAGAAAGACUGGCACGAAAGAAUAAGUGAAGCACUUUGGGCAUGUAGGACAACAUAUAGGACUCUUACGCAAGUUAUGCCUUAUUCUCUUGUAUAUAGCAUGGAAAUUGUUUUGCCACUCGAAAAUUAAAUCCCCUCACUAAUGAUGGCAAUACAAAAAGGCUUGACUGAAAAGGAAAACGCAAAAUUGCGACUUCAAUAGUUAGAAGCACUCAAUGAAAUGAGGCUUGAACCUCAACAACACCUGCAAUGCUACCAAGCACGGCUAUCUAAGGCAUUCAACAAGAAGGUUUGCCUAAGGUCUUUCCAAACUGGAGAUCUUACCUUGGCAUUACGAAAACCCAUCAUCACAACUCACAAAAUAAAAAGUAAAUUCCCAUCAAAGUGGGAUGGACCUUACGUAAUACAAGAGGUUUACACCAACGAUCCCUACUUAAUCAUGGCGGAAGAAGGCUUGAAAAUAGACCCCAUCAACGCAUGAUUCUUAAAGCGUUACUAUCCUUAAACCAAAAACAAGCAAUGCUCCUCGCCUGUAUAAGCCUAAACUGCACAUGGCACAAUGCUCCUUGUUCACACGAGCUUAAAAGGUGACACUCGACGCUCCUUGUUCGCACAAGCUUAAAAGGUGACACUCGACGCUCCUUGUUCCCACAAGGUUUAAAAGGUGACAGUCAACGCUCCUGGCCCAUAAGAGCAUAAAAUGUGUAUGACUUAACAAAAACAAAACAAAAAAAUCACCAUCAAAAUCGCCAAAACCCAUCACUUCCUUGAACUACGUCAUCACUUGAUCCCUCCUUAACCGAGGAUAUGUAGGCAACUUGAAACUUCAAAAACUCAAGUACAGUCACAUCAUCAACAAAAACACAAACACUUUGAAGAAUAAAGAGCAAAUUCAAGAAUGUGAAUACUUUAUUUCUUUAAAGAAAGAAUUCAGCUACAAAGCUAUAUUACAAAAUGAGUAAAAAACAAAGACGACUUCUCCAGUAGUCAACAAGGUGCUAUUCUAAGUUAUAGCUCCAUUACGGAUGCGAUCGCCAGGAAACUCAAACUAAGCCGGUGGAUUGUCACGAACAUGUUGUGAAAGAUUCAAAAUAAGAAUCCUCGACGUGCAAGCCUUCUUUUUCAUAUUCGGACGACCAAAAUCUGUCACCUUCUAAGACACUUCAGAAGACCACGACUUGAUAUUCAUCAAGUUGUCUUUUGCAGGAAGAACAAGCACCUUAAGGCCAGUCAACGGCACACUAUAGUAGCAAAGAAAACCAAAAACCACGUAAUCGCACUACAUGAUGGUCCUUCAAAGCGUGUUAUAGUAGCAAAGAAAACCAAAAUGCCAAGUAAUUACACUAUGCAACCCCGCAGCGAUUACGCAAGCAGUUUCUUGCACUACACAACAAUGUCACCACCGAGGAAAGCUAUGACCAAAGGGCACUACACAACAUAAACUUGCUGUAGUCUUUUGCAUAGCCCCACAUGGUAAAAGUGAUGCAUUGCAACAAGCUUCAAGUAGCUACAACUCGCACCAAAGCAGCAAAAAGGGCAGGGCAAUGUCAAUACCAAGGGAAUACUGUGACCAAAAGGCACUACAAAACAUAAACAUGCUGCAGUCUUUUGCACAGCACCAAGUGGUAAACAACGACACACUGCAACAAGCUCUAAGCAGUAGUAACAAGCAAAACCUACGGUAAAAGCUCAAAGCAAGCCCACGGCAAGAAUUGUGUGUUGUGAAAAAAAUGCACACCCAAUUAUCCUAUAAAUAUGGGUCAAUUGCUUCCUAAUGCUAUAAGGGAAAUACAUACCCAAAUAGAAAAAGCAAAAAUCAAAACAAGGAAGCACAUUCCAACCAAAAAGAAGGAAGCAAAUAAAAAAAAAGGGGUAAGUUUCAGCCAAUCUGCGUAAGCAGGACGUUUUUGGUGAUAAUUCAACUUUCCAAAGGAGUUUUGAUGCAAGGGCAAUUGGAGAAGGAAGCUAAGUGGCUGAUGAUCAUUAUAUACAAAUUUCAUAAUUUUCCCUAAAGCCAAGCCAAACGUCCUAGUUUUCAAAGUUAUUCCCGCAGAAGUUGUUUCUGUCAGGACUAUGCAGCUGUAAGAAACUGCAAAGUUGAAGGCUUUCCUGAUUUUUCCUAGUGGCAUGCGAUAUAUGCCUGAAACGAUAAGGGAUAAGGCUACGUUUCCUAUAUUUUUACAAUUUUUUUCCGAAGAGAAAUCAACCUUGAACUGGGCGUGCAAGUCAGAUGACAUGUUUCCCCAAAAAAAAAAAGGAAAGGAAAAAUACCUCCUUGCCAUGGGGAAUCAAAAGAAACAAACAAUACCCCUCCUUGCUAUAGGAAAUCAAAAGGGGAAAGAAAAACUCCUUUCUUGCCAUGGGAAUAAAAAAGAGGAAAGAAAGUUGUCCUUCUAGCCAUGGAAAUCAAAACAAGAAACAAACAAAUAUCCUCCUUGUCGUGGGGAAUCAAAAGGGGAAAGGACAAAACACCCUCCUUGCUGCAGGAAAUCAAAAGGGGAAAGAAAAACUCCUCCUUGCUGUGGGAAAAGAAAAAAAAGGAAAGUGAAAAAAAUGCACAUCCUACUUACUUUUCCAAAACCUUGAAGGAAGUAACAAAACUUUAUUUGGAGAGUUAUUAAUCUUUGAUUUUUUGUUUUCUUAAGUCAUUGCAUGAUCUCAUUAUUCUUUGCUUGGUUGCUACUUAGAAUGCGUUUUAUCACUUUAGUUCUAAAUAUUAGAACUCAUGCCCGUUUCAUUCAAAGCUUAAAAUUGAGUGCAUAACAUAUAACAAGAUGAAGUUGUUUAGUAGUUACCACCAGAGCCAAAAAGCCUUCACCCCAUGCAUUUGUUUUGUAGGUUUAACCCCUUUGAGCCUUAUUUAGCCUAUUUUCUUUGUUAGCUACAUUACCCCCGACCUAGCCUAGAAUAGGACUAUCCAUACCCUUGGUCUUAAAGUAUAGUGGAGCAUGACUUAGAGGGAAUUCAUUUUGAUCAAACAUAUUGCAGAUAUCAAGUGUGGGGGAAGGUUAUGUACAGGGGUAGAAAGAAAACAAAAAGAGAAGAAAAAAAGAGAAAAAAAAUGUGAAAAAGAAAAAAAGAAAAAAAAUUUGUGAAAUAAGUGAGAAUGAGCUCACAAGGAUUGGUUGUUGAAGAAAGGGUCCAAAAAGUUUGAAUAUGACCCUAAGUAUGUACGAAAUCCCCUUAGUGUUUCAAGUUAUUUGCUGCAUUCAAGAGUGAAUUCUAAGUUGAUUUCAUUGCUUUGCUUACUAUUGCUUUAAGAACCUUUGUUUAUCCUUACCUUUCCUUGUUAGCCAAUACCCUUAGCCCCAUUACAACUCAUAGACUUUAAUCUUGGUUGUUGUGUGUUUCAAUAUGUGGAGUUUGGGAUUGGUAUAAGCAUAUGGUAUCCCUGGUUUUCGCAUCUAAGUAGUGGCAUUCCAUUCAUGAGAUCAUAUUUAUACAUGCAUUAAUAAUUCCAGAAAGUGCCUUCUUUGAUUAUAACAUAUGUGAGUGCUAGUCUACAUGUUUACAUUAAUCUUCUCACAUAUACCUAGUAUAGGGAGUAUAGUCAAAAGAUCUGUGUGAAAAUAGAGUGUAUAUCCGGUGAGGAAAUUGAGGGAAUUCUCUAAGGCAUGUUACUACAUUCAAAAUGUUGUUUUAAGGAUAGCUAAAAUCUAUGUGAGUAGUGAUUUUUAAUAUGUCAUGUGUCAUUGGAAAUCCCUGAGGCGAAUGUUGGAAGGUCUAGGUAUUGUUUUGUUUAUUUUGUUUUGCUCGAGGACUAGCAAAAGCUAAGUGUGGGGGAAUUUGAUAGGAGCAUAUUUAUGCAAUUUAGUUAGCUUGAUUCUUGCAUUUUCAUAAUUAGUUUGUGCUUAUUUUAGUGUUUUAAGCUAUUUUCAUGUGUUUGUAGGUCCCAAUGACAAAGUUGGCAAUAAAGUGCAAAUUGGAGCAUUUUGAAGCAGUUUUGGGCACCAAAUGGAUAGCAUAUGAAUGUAGCAAGAUGGAUGGAUGAAUUUGAAGUUCAAGAUGCUAGGAAUGUGCUGAAAAUAUGAAGAAAAUAAAUCCAAGACAAAGAAGAUAAGGAAUCAACACAAAAGAAGGAAUAUUAUCCAAAACCUUAUCCAACCUUAUCUUAUCUUAUCUUAUCCUAAUCCUAUCCUACCUUAAUUCCAGCUGCAAGGGGGGAUUAUUUUCAGACUUGGACACAUAAAAAUAUGACUCUAGAAGCCUUAUCUCAUCUCCUACAAAAAUGGCACCUCAUUCCUUCUUGAACCCCUAUUUAGGUGCCGCAUCCUUUAAGCUCUUCUAGAAGCUCUAGAACCUGCAACCCUAAUCCUUUUCCCUCUUGAAUUAGGUCAAAUUUAUCCUUUUCCUUGCAGGAAUUUGUGCCGCACUUUUCUAACCUAAUUCCCCUUGGUUUCUAAUUGUUUUAACCCAUUCCACUUAGGUUUUGGUUACAUAAUCUUAUUCCUAUUCAGCCAUGCCGUGCCUAGCCCUAUAUAUACACAUCUAUGCGCCUAUUUUAGAACCACCACCCUCUACCAUAUUCUUCUACACCACACACCCAUAUAUUCAUAUACAAUUAAGAGAGAAUGAGCCCUUUGCCAUGCCUUAUCAUUCACAUUGGAUUGUCGAAGCGUUCUUAGUUGUUUUCUAUCUUUUACUUUUAAUGUCUAAUUUAAUGUUAUCUUCAGUUUCUAAAGACAUGUGGAACUACUUUCUUAUAGUUAGAGGUGAAUUUGAAGCCAUGAUUAUAUGCUUUAUAUGAAUUGAUUACAUCCAAUUAUUGUUUCGUGAGUCUUGAAUGUGAUUUGCUUAUCUGAGUUAUUAAAACUUGUUUAUGUAUGUUGAUUGAGGGUCGACACUUAGUUUGCAUGCAUGAAUUUGAUGCUAGAGUAUAAGGGAGUUUCACCUAAUCGUUAUGAACUUAUAGUUACAAGUAGUGGAGGUCACUAGUCACGAUCGUGUUAAGUGAAUCCUUGGCAGGAGUAUCAUGCUUUUCAUAGUUACAAAUGCCUCGUCAAUGCUUAUGGUUUUCAAAGAACUUAAUAACCUUUGAUAUGUUUUCUAUCAUGCUUUUCAUAGUUAGGGAACUUGAGAAGGAUAAUUUGGUUGUGAUGCGUAUCCCCUCCAAUUCAAUGAAAUAAGAAAAAUUUGAUGGUUAAUUUGUGCUGUCACGGUUAACUUGGGGUGUUGUCAUUCAUGGUUUAAAGGAACAAUACUGGAAAUUGGUUCGUAUGUAUAUGUCAUGCGUGGAGAAGGACCGUCUAACUAGCCUUUCACUUUUUUUUAAUUCACCAAUUUCGUUUUCUUAAAGUGUUUUAUGCAAAGUUUCUGUUUUAAGUUUUAAAUUCUUCAAAAACAAUCCCCUUUUCAUUAAGUCUUGUUAGUUGAGUCAUAAUCUGUUUUCUUUUAGUCUUUUGAGUCAAGUUAAGUUUUAUUUUCGUCCAAUUCACUUGUUAGGUCUAGAAUUGAGUCUUUCUUAUUGUUUGUUGCUGUUUUGAGUGUUUUGAGUUAGUUUUGAGUCUAUAGAGUCUAGUUUAGUGUUUUUGAGUCUUAUUUGUGUUGAUUAGCAUCCCUAAUUAAUUCCCGAUCUAGAACGAUCAAUACUUACAUCUUUACUACAAUUGUCAACAAUAGGGUUUAAUUUCUGUGUCAAGUUAAUUCUCACAUCAAUAACUUAUUGGGUCAUUAUCGGGUGACCCAUUAACAGGUAUACACGAGGGUAACACGUGGGUAACCCGUUUCGACCUGUUAAGAAAAAAUUUAUUUUGAUAAUUUUAAAGUUUAAUUACUAAAAGAUUUAUUAUAAAAUACAAUAGCCAUAUUAAUAUAUACAAUAUAUUCUAUAUUAACUAUAUAGUUUUCUAUUAUUAUUCUAUAUAAGUUUAAAAAAAAAGUUUUGGUCAUUAUUUAUUUUUAUUAUGAGAGUUCCUUAAAUGGAUGGAUGGGAGGCUAGCUAAGGGGUUCAUCUCCACACAUGUCACACUUGCAUAUAAAAUGAUCUCUAAUUGCUUUUCAAUAAACCAUGAAUUCCCAACGCCUCAAGUUAAUUAGGUCCGCUUAAAUUAACCUUCAGAUUUUCCUAAUGUUAUUGAAUUGGAUGAUUGCAUACGACAACCCAAAGCAUUCCCCACAAGUCCCCUACAUGAUUGCAUAAUAGAGAUACAAGCAAGAAUCAUUAAGUUCUAUGAAAACCAUAAGCAUUGACGAAGCACUUGUUACUAUGAUUGCAUGAAACUUAUGCCAAGAAUUUACUUAACGCGAUUGAGAUCAUCAACCUUUACUACUUGUGAAUAUAAGUUCAUAACGAUUAGGUGAAAUUCCCUUAUAUUCUAGCAUCAAAUUCAUGCAUGCAAAUUAAGUGUCGACCCUCAACUAACAUACACAAAUCAGUUUUAAUUCUUGUAGAUGAGCAAAUUGAAUUCACAACUUAUGAAACGCAAUUAGAAGUAAUCAAAUCAUAUAGCAAGCAUAAACAUGGUUUUGAAUCCCCCCCUAGCCAAGGGGGGGUUUAGUUCCUCAUAUGCACAAAACAAAGAGUAUAGAAUUUAAACAUUGAAAUAAAAGGAAAGGAAACACCUAGAAAUUCCACAACUUAAACUUGAAUGGCAUGAACUUCCAAGCUUCCUUCUCCUCCUCCUUGGUGCGGCAAAGGGUCUAUGGUCAGGUUUAGGGAUUUAGGUGUAUGGGUGAAUGGGUAUGGACUAGGGUAGAGGUGUUUAGGAAGGAUGGGGGGUGCGGCAAAGCUUAAAAACUAGGGAGAAAGGUGUUUGGUGGCUGCGGCAAGAGUGUGGAGAGGGUUGGACGAAUUUCUGGAGUGAAUUGUGAAUUGUGCUGAGUGGUGUCAAUGAAUGGGUGCGGCACCAUGUAUUUAUAGAGUCCUAAAAGUCUAGCAAAUCAGAUUAGGACUUGGAGGAUUAAAUCCCAUCAGGAAAGGGCUAAAACAAUCAGAUUUUGGGUAGGAAAGGUCCUCCUAGGUGCGGCAGGAAUGGAUUAGAAGGAUAAGGCUUCUAGAUGGCCUUGCAAGGCAAGGAAAUCAGGUUUCUAGAAGGCCUAGGGUGCGGCACUAAGGGAUAAGGAUAAGGUUUAGGUGUCCUAAAUGGAUAAGGUGCCCUAAAUGGAUAAGGACUCCUCAUUUCACUUGGAAACUUUGCCUAUUAGGAUUAGGAAACCAUGUCUUUGUCUUUCCUUCUUCAUCUUGGAAUCCUUUUCCUUCUUGGACUUGGAAAACUUCUUUGUUGCUUCUCUUGAGACCAUUUGGAUUUUGACUUUCCUACUCCAAGUAGGAAACUUUGUUUGAGUAGGAAUCUUUAUCUUCUAGGAAUCCCAAUUUCACUAGGAAACCUAUUUCAACUAGGAAUCCUAAUUCAACUAGGAUUCCAUCUUCAAUUAGGGACUUUCCUACUUCGACUAUGAAACCUUGUUCAAGUAGGGAACAUCAUCUUCAAAUCUUCAGUUUCGUCCAUCCUCAUGGCUCCAAGCAUAUGAUCUUCAUUCCAAGCUCUAAUUUGCUCCAACAAGCUCCAAAAUGCACCCUUUUGCAUACUUUGCCCUUAAAACCUGAAAACACAUAAAACUAGCUUAACGGACUACUUUAACUAAGGAAAAACAAUGUAAAUGUACAAGAAGAAGCUAACUAAGGCGCAUAAAUAUGCUCCUAUCAAUGUCAUGUAGGGAACUUUUGCAGAAUGUUUUGGGUUGUCGAAUGAUGUCAUCCAAUCCAAUAAAACAAGGAAAAUCUGAAGGUUAACUAGUGAUGUCAUAGUUAAUUUAGGGCAUUGUCAUUCAUAAUUCAAUGAAGUAGUAACUGGAAAUCGAGUUGUUUGCAUACAUGUCAUGUGUGGAGAAAAAGCCUCUAGCUAUCCCAUCCAUCAUCUUAUUUCUCAAAUUUGUUUUACAAUCUGUCUAGUUUUUCAUACUUGUUUCUUUGUUUCAACUUCAUCCUAAUCAAAACCCUCCCUUUUAGUUUCUUGUUUCUAAGUGUUUCAAAUCUAUUUUAGUUUGUGUUUUUAAGUGUUUUGAUUCAAGUAAAAGUCAAUUUUUGUCCAAAGUCAUUCCUAGUGUCUAGUUUAAGUUUAUUUAGUUGUUUUAAGCUGUUUUGAGUAUUUUAAGUUUUCUUUAAGUCUUGUGAGUCUUGUUAAGUGUUUUUAAGUUUAGUUUUAUGUUUUUGAGUCAGUUUAGAGGUUAUUAGCAAGCCCUCCUAAUCCUCGGUCCAGAACGAUCCCUACUUAUACUUAUACUACAAUUGUCAAAAGAGGGUUAAAUUUGUUUGUUAAGUUAAUUUUCGCAUCAAGUUUUUGGUGCUGUUGCCGGGGAUUAGCAAUUUUGCUAAUCCCUUGUUAUUUCUUUUUGUAUAUUUUCAUGUGUUUUUGUUCCUAGUUGCUAACUUUACUUGUUUUCUUGUUUUAGGUGGUUUAUGACUCGAAGUUCUCAGCUUGUUCAUAAGCACAUCAUUGACUUUGACGACGAUUUUGAACGAACUUUGAGACGAGCAAGGAAUCAACAAGAACCCAACCAUCUCAACCUGCACCAGAUCUUGAAGAAGACAAAGUAGAAGAGCAAGAGGAGACCACAACAAGGACUUUUGAAGAAGUCCAAGAUAUGGCAGUGGACAAUUGAAAUAAUCAAGGAGCUUUCCGCUUCGGGAUUGGACAAUGCUCUGCCUUUAUGCAUUCAAUAUCCAAGGGCGGACCAAAACAAGACCGAUGAGUUCGAAUUAAAGUCCAGUUUAUUGCACCAUAUUCCUAAGUUCCAUGGGUUGUCCAUGGAAGAUCCUAAUAAACAUUUGAAGGAGUUCGAGGUUGUUUGUUCAAGCAUGACCCCUAUGAAUAUUGAUGGGAGCACUCUGAAAAUGAAGGUUUUUCCCUUUUCUCUCUUGGAAAAGGUUAAAGAUUGGUUGUAUGAGCUAGCCCCCGGAGCUGUCACAUCAUGGGAGAGUAUGAAACGGGCAUUUUUGGAGAAGUUUUUCCUAACUUCUCGAGUCAUUCUACUACGCAAAAGGAUUAGUGGCAUUCAGCAAAACCAAGUUGAAUAUUUUCCCACUUACGAUAAGCGUUUUAAAACCCUUGUUGCUUCAUGUCCACAGCACCAAAUGAAGGAGGAGCUUCUUCUUCUUCAAUAUUUCUACGAAUGGCUUCUACCAAUUGAACGCCAAAUGCUAGACUCCUCAGCGGGAGGAGCUUUGGUGGACAAAACACCUAUGGCUGCCAAGACCUUAAUUGCUAACCGAGCAUUGAAUGCUCAACAAUAUGAAGGCAUUGGUCAAAGAGACAACCCACGACAGCAAUGAGUUAAUGAGGUAAGUGCUAUUUCCGAACUUCAAAAUCAAAUGGCUAAUCUUACUACUCUUCUUUCACAGGUGGUUGAAAUAACAAAAGAACAAAGUGUAGCUGCUUGUGGCGUGUGCUCAAUGAAUGAACAUCUGAUAGAAGCAUAUUUAUGCGACUGAGUUAGCUUGUUCUCAUGCAUUUAUGUUGUUAUUUCUUAGUUAAUUAUGUAUUUUAAGCUAUUUUCGUGUGUUUGUAGGUUCAAAGGGUUAAUGUGGCAAAAAAGUGCAUUUUGGAGCGUUUUGGAGCAUUUUUGGGCAUGGAAUGGAUAGCUUAUGCUUGGAGCAAAAGGAAUGGAUGAAAUUUGAAGUUUGUGCAUCAUCCUCUCCCUAUAAAUAACUAUUUUAGCACACUCAUUUCACCCAACACAUUCACCUACCACUACAUCCACUCAUUUCACCUAACACAUCCACUCAUUUCUACCACCCAACGCAUUCACCUACCAUUACAUCCACUCUUUUCAACCACCCAACACAUUCACCUACCACUACAUCCACUCAUUUCACCCAACACAUCCACUCAUUUCUACCACCUAACACAUUCACCUACCACUACAUCCAUUCAUUUCACCCAACACAUUCACCUACCACUACAUCCACUCAUUUCACCCAACACAUCCACUCCUUUCAACCACCCAACACUCCAAGGAAGAGGGCUUCGAAAAAAGUCCCCAAGUAUGCUAAGUUCCUGAAGGAGUUGUGCACUACAAGAAAGAGGGCUUCGAACAAAGAGGUGGUAAGGGUAAGUGAGAAUGUCUCAGCUGUGUUGCAACGAAAAUUACCUCCUAAAUGCAAAGAUCCAGGUAGUUUUACAAUUCCUUGUGUUAUAGGAAAUACUCGCUUUGAAUCUGCCAUGUUAGAUCUAGGUGCAUCAAUAAAUGUCAUGCCUUAUUCAAUUUAUGCAUCUAUGAACUUGGGAGAAUUAAAAAAUGAUGGAGUGAUCAUUCAACUGGCCGAUAGAUCUAAUGCGUAUCCAAAAGGUGUUUUGGAGGAUGUUUUAGUGCAGGCGAAUCACCUAGUCUUUCCGGCAGACUUCUACGUGCUUGAAAUGGAAGACUCGAACCAUUCCUCUCAAUUACCAAUAUUACUUGGCCGACCAUUCAUGAAGACUAUCCGUACAAAGAUAGAUGUAUUCAAGGGAACAUUGACCAUGGAAUUUGAUGGGGAAGUUAUUGAUUUCAAUAUUUCUGAUGCUAUGAGAUAUCCUCAUGAUGGUCACUCUUGUUUCUCUAUUGAUGUGAUUGACUCUUGGGCACAGGAAUUCCUUGAUGAUUUGAGUGAGGAUGCACUUGAAAAGACUCUCACGCAAAGCAUUGGACUAAAAAAUGAAGGGUUAGCACUUAGGCAUGCACACGGCAACAACAAGGAACAUCUUGCCGUGCCUAUUCAAGAAGAAUUGGUGGAGAUGGUUGCUGCCCUAGAGUCAAAUCCAAGGCAUAUUGGUAAGUCUCCUAACCUAAUUUCAAUUCCCAAUUCGACUAACAAGUUGCUUCCUUCUGUAAUCCAACCCCCUUCCUUAGAGCUUAAACCAUUGCCGAGCCAUUUGAAAUAUGUGUUUUUGGGAGAACAAGAGGCGCUGCCCGUCAUCAUUUCUUCUUCACUCACUGCACAAGAGGAGGACAAGUUGGUGAGGGUGCUUCGGGAAUACAGAACUGCCAUUGGGUGGACAUUGGCCUAUAUCAAGGGAAUUAGCCCUACCACUUGCAUGCAUCGAAUACUCUUGGAAGAAGGAGCCAAACCAUCUGGAGAAGCACAACGCCGGCUCAAUCCACCCAUGAUGGACGUUGUGAAGAAGGAAAUCAUCAAGCUACUAGAUUGUGGAGUGAUUUACCCAAUUUCUGGUAGCCAUUGGGUCUCACCGGUCCAAGUUGUUCCUAAGAAGUCCGGAGUCACUGUGGUAAAAAAUGAAGAUAAUGAGCUUGUUCCCACCUGAAUCCAAACCGGAUGGAGAGUUUGUAUUGACUAUCGAAAGCUCAACGCUCGACGACAAGAAAGAAACACUUCCCCAUUUUGCCGCUGCCCUUAUUGAUCUCAAAUGCUGGAAAGGUUAGCCGGUCAUUCAUUUUAAUGUUUUCUUGAUAGCUAUUCAGGUUAUAAUCAGAUUGUGAUAGCUCCUGAUGACCAAGAAAAGACUACCUUCACAUGUCCCUUUGGUACCUUUGCAUAUCAACGUAUGCCAUUUGGGCUAUGCAAUGCACCAGCCACAUUCGAAAGGUGUAUGGUAAGUAUUUUCUCAGAUUUUGUGGAAAAGAUCAGUGAAGUGUUUAUGGAUGACUUUAGCGUCUUUGGUGACUCAUUUGAUGCAUGCUUGAAUAAUCUUACUCUGAUCUUACAACGAUGCAUCAAAACUAAUCUUGUCUUGAAUUGGGAAAAGUGCCAUUUUAUGGUAAAACAAGGUAUAGUUUUGGGGCAUAUCAUAUCAGAAAAAAGGGAUUGAGGUUGAUAAAUCUAAAAUAGAUCUUGUACGUCACUUACUCUCUCCCACUUCGGUGAGGGAGGUUCAUUCUUUUCUUGGCCAUAUAGGAUUUAAUAGGAGAUUCAUCUAGGAUUUCUCAAAAAUUGCCCAACCCUUUUGCCGUUUACUCCAAAAGGAAGUAGCCUUCGAGUUCAACAAGGAGUGUAAGACCACUUUCAAAACCCUCAAGGACAUGUUGACUUCAGCCCCCAUCAUCAUGCCACCAGAUUGGAGCCUUCCAUUUGAGCUAAUGUGUGAUGCAUCCUAUUAUGCCAUUGGUGCUGUUUUAGGCCAAAGGAGGAACAAACAACCCCACGUCCACUACGUUUCCCGGACCCUGAAUGAUGCUCAAUUUAAUUAUUCUACCACUGAGAAAGAACUUCUUACAGUUGUAUUUGCUUUAGAUAAAUUUCAUCCAUACUUACUUGGCACUAAAUUGAUUGUAUAUUCUGACCAUGCAGCGUUGAAGUAUCUUCUCACCAAGAAGGAGGACAAACCAAGGCUGAUUCGUUGGAUGCUCCUACUUCAAGAGUUCAACAUUGAAAUAAGAGAUAAAAAGGGGAGUGAAAAUGUGGUGGCUGACCACCUUAGCCGUUUGGUGCACGAGGAGGACUCCUUACCCAUUCUAGAAACCUUCCCUGACGAGCAAUUGCUAUCCCUAGAGGUAAGUGAGCCCUGGUAUGCUGAUUUGGUCAAUUAUUUGGUCACAAAACAAGUUCCUAGCACUCUAGAUAAGUACAAGCGUGAUAAACAUAGAAAUGAUGCACGAUUUUAUGUGUCGGAUGAUCCAUAUUUAUGGAAGUAUUGUCCUGACCAGAUUAUUCGUAGAUGUGUGCACAAUUCCGAGUUUAAUUCAAUUUUUGCAUUUUGCCAUAGUUAUGCAUGUGGGGGUCAUUUUGGCAACCAAAUGACAGCCCUUAAGGUUUUAGAGAGCGGUUUCUAUUGCCCUACAUUGUUUAAGGAUGCUAGAACAUUUUGUAUAACUUGUGAUAGAUGCCAAAGAACAUGUACAAUAGGUGCCAAGGACCAAAUGCCGCAAACACCCAUCUUUAAUAUAAAGAUCUUUGAUGUAUGGGGUAUGGAUUUCAUGGGACCCUUUCCGCCCUCAUAUGGUUUUACUUAUGUUCUGCUAGCCGUUGAUUAUGUGUCGAAAUGGGAGGAUGCCAAAGCCACCCGUACUAACGAUUCUAAAGUGGUGGCAGAUUUUAUCAAGGCUAACAUCUUUUCCAGAUUUGGCAUGCCGAGGGUGUUCAUAAGCGAUGGAGGCUCCCAUUUUGCAAUCGCACCAUUGAAGCGCUGUUUAAAAAGUACAAUGUGAAACAUCGGGUUUCCACACCAUACCACCCUCAAACAAGUGGCCAAGCUGAAGUCUCAAAUAGAGAAAUCAAGCAAAUCUUGGAGAAGACAGUUGGGCCAAACCAGAAGGAUUGCAGCUUGCGUUUAGAAGAUGCAUUGUGGGCAUAUCGCAUUGCCUACAAAACACCUAUAGGGAUGUCUCCAUUUCGACUAAUCUACGGCAAGCCCUGUCACCUACCUGUGGAACUGGAGCACAAAGUGCAUUGGGCUGUGAAAACAUUUAAUUUGGACUUAAAUACUGAUGGAAUGAAUAGAAAGCUCCAACUGAAUGAACUUGAGGAGAUACGGAACGAAGCUUAUGAGAAUGAGCGAAUUUACAGGGAGAAAACAAAGGCGUUUCAUGACAAAAUGAUUCGGGGAAAAACAUUCUUAAUUGGACAGAAAGUGCUACUAUUCAAUUCCUGUCUACGAUUGUUCCCUGGUAAGUUACGGUCUAAAUGGAUUGGGCCAUUUUUUGUCACCAAUGUUUUUCCCCAUAGUGCAGUCCAAGUUAAAAGCUUAAGGAACGGUGAUGAAUUCAAAGUGAAUGGGCAUCGUCCGAAGCUAUACUAUGAGAGUGAUUUGGGGAAAAUUAUGGAAGAAAUCCCACUCAGUGCCGUGGGCCCUAUCCAAGCUUAGAAGGAAGUUUCGUCCGGCUGCAAGAUGUUAAAGCAAGCGCUUCUUGGGAGGCAACCCAUGUUUUGCAUUCCUAAAAACCUUCCAUUUUCUGCAAUUUUAUUUUGCCAUAAUUGUCAUUUUACUUAUUUCUUGUUUAAUUGUUUUUUGUGUGAGUUUAUUUUUGAAACAUUGACAGAUAUGCAAGGUAUUUUACAUUAAAAUUCGUUGAAAAUAAACAGGAGGCAGAAAAAUCCAAGAGGGAACCUUCACAAAGGUUGUUUAGGAGAAGUCUCAGUAGUCGGCGGCAUCAGCAGUCGGCAGAGCCACAGAAGGAGGAGGUAUCAGAGGUUGAUCAUUUGGAGCUUCACUACGUGGUACAGCCCCAGAAAACAAAGGCAAAUGCUGUUGGAACAAACCCACAAACCUCUGAUGAUCAAGUAAAAUCUGACCAUCAGAUUCCUGCAUCUGGUCAAUCUUCCUCUUCAUGUUUGUAGCAUAGUUAUGUGCAAGCUUGUGCAACUGUUUAUUCUCAUGCUUGAGCCCUCUAAUCUCCUGUUUUAGACUCAUCACUUCAGCCUCCAAUGAUUCAACUUGACGGGUUCGAGCAAAUAGACGUUGGGCCAUAUUGGACACAGAACCUGCACACUGCACACUGAGAGCCAGAGAAUCCUUAACAACCAACUCAUCAGAUCGUUUGGAAAGAAGUCUGUUAUCUUUGGGAGUGACAAGGUUCCGGGCGACCACCGCGGCGGUCAUAUCAUUUUUCAUCACCGAAUCCCCAACGAUAAGAGGACCAGUAGGGGAUAUGAAUGAUGGGCGCCAUAUGUUGUCUGAAGAAGACGGGACUGCCUCUUCACCAAGGUUCAAGCCAAAACGACAGUCAGAGGGGCCAGACAUUUUCAGAGGUGUUAAAGAAAGAAGAGGUCAAACAAGUCAAGAUUGUAGAAGUGCAAGAAGGGAGUUUCUACAUGCAGAAAUUCAAGUGUGCUUUGAACGUCCUGCAUACCUCUAUAAAAAUCAGCACUCGACGGGAUUUCAGAGAUCGAAGAGGCGAGCUAAGAAAUCGAAGAGGCCAACUCAAAAAUCGAAGAGGCGCUAGCUUUCUCAAAAUCUGGGCUUGCUCAGAAACCACGACCAAUCUUCUUUUCCAGAUUUGUCCGCACUUGUCACAUGCACCCUCUGCACUCGACGGGAUUUCAGAGAUCGAAGAGGCAAGCUCAGAUAUCGGAGAGGCAUCUGCUUUUCCAGACGUGUCAGCAUCUGUCACAUGCAGAGUCAGCUUUGCGGAAAUCACUGGCAGUUUGUCGAAGUGCCGAGUCCAGAUAUUUAAGAGGCACUUGCUUUUCCAGACAUGUCAGCACCUGUCACAUGCACACUCAGCCUUGCGAAAAUUAUGGGUAAUUUGUUGAAGAUUUCUGGUGACGUAGAAAGCACGUGAAGAAUUACUGUUCAAUCAUCCAACGGUUGCCGACAAGAGUGAAAGAAUAGUACCGGUUAUUAAUUCAUAUACAUGUCGACCUUCACCCUCCCUUGCAAUGCAGACAUACAUAACCCUUCUUCUCCGAGAAUGCCUUCCCAACAAAGCCUCUCAAGUCACUUAGUGUUCCUUAUUCCCUGGGAUACCUAUGCAAACAACUCAUCCAAAGCGAAAGUAUUUCAUAUCAUGAAGGUUGAAAGCAAGAGUAUCUCAUAUCAUGCUUUCUCCUUGUCCUUCUUCUUGACGUUGUUUUGGGACAAGGAGAAAGAGAGCAAUCAACCAGCACUUGGUAUCAAUCUUCCGAUCUGGAACCGACUGCCUGGAACCCCUUCCUCAUUGCUUACCUAGCCUUGCUCUCGAGUACUCAUCUUCAUCAUUUUAUGCUUCCUUUUCGUCUACCACAUCUGCCUGGGGAACAGAUAAGGGAAGUGAAAAUGAUACCUCGAAGCAUGUGGAGACAAUUUGCCAAUUCAUCCUCAGCUAGGGACAAGGAGAAAGAAAGCAAGAGGUGGGCACUUGGAAAGAUUGAAGAAAGAAACAGACCAUCACCUCUACCUCGUGCCUACCUGCCGUGCAGAAGAAACAGCAGAGAAGAAUGCAGACUGCACAACCAAGGAACCCUAAUAUUCCUCGCUCAGAAUUCCAAACUAGUUCAAGAUCAACGCUGUGGAAAGUCAACAAGAUCAUCUAUCUCUAAAACCAGAUUUGCGUUCUUAAACUCUACUCUGUCUAGUUUUUACUUUGCUAUACUUGUCAUGUUUAUUUGUUGUUUGUUUGUUUGCUUGUUUUUGUGUGAGUUUAUGCUUAAAACAUUGAGGAUAAUGUUUGAUUUAAGUGUGGGGGGUAACUAUUGUUUUGCAUGAAAUUCAUAGGAGUUUAUCACCCAUUACUUCUAGUGUUGUUCCUUGCUAUUUUUAAGUGUUUUUAAGCUGUUUUGGAGUGUUUUAGUGUGUUUUGACAUAAAAAUCUGAAAAUCUCAUAAAAAUUUGAAAAAUUGUUUUGAAAAACCCAAAAAGAGUUGUUUUUGUGUGUCUAUUUGUAUCUUAGGGUACCUUCCAACACAAUGAUGAGGAUUUGGUUUUUAAUUACAUGACUGUUAAAGAGAAUUAUAAACAUGGAUAAAAAUUUGAUUUACUCUUUGGUGUAUGCUUGGUUGUGGUUAUAAUUUAUGAAUUCACAUGCAAUCAUAAAGGAAAAAUCAGUUUUUGUAACAUGCUUGAAGGAAGGAACUCAAAUGAACGCUACAACCUUGUGAGACUUGAGCCUAAACGUUUAUUUGGAGAGUUAAUAAUAUGUGCAUCAUUGUUUUCUAAAGUCGUUGCAUGAUCUCAUUAUUCUUUGCUUGGUUGCUACUUAGAAGGCAAUUCAUCAUUUAGUUCUAAAUGCUAGAACUCAUGCCUAUUUCAUUCAAAACAUGCUAUUGAUUUGCAUAACACAUAUUCAAGAUGAAGUUGUGUAGUGACCACCAAAGCCAAAUUGUUGUGCCCUUAUUUCUUUAUGUGUUUAAGUUUAACCCUGUUGAGCCUUGUUAAGCCUAUGUUCUUUGUUAAUCCACACUAUCCUUACCUAGCCUAGUUUUAGGACCAUCCAUACCCUUGUUCUUGAAGCAUAGUAAAGCAUGACUUAAAAUGAACUUUUUUUUUUUUAAUCAAUGUAUUGCAGAAAGCAAGUGUGGGGGAAGUGAUUCUUGUGUGUGUGUGUGUGCGCCAAAGUCCUUAAUAAGGCACGGGUAAAAAAAAAAAAAAAAAAAAAAAAGAGUGAAAAAAAAAAAAAAAAACGUUUGUUAAAAAAAAAAAAGGUCCAAAAUAUUGAAUUCGGCCCUAAGUGUUGCAUGAAUCUUCCCUUUGUAUUUAAAAGUUGAUUUCUGCAUUCUAAAGUGAAUUCUAAGUUUCAAUUUCAUUACUUUGCUUGCUAUUGCUUUAAGAACGUUUGUUAUCCCUAUCCUUUCUUUGUUAGCCAUUACCUUUAGCCCCGUUACAACCUUUAACUUCUAUCUUGAGUGUUAUGUGUUUCAAUUUGUGGAGUUUGAAGUUGGUAUGAGCAUAUGGUGUCACUAGUUCUCGCAUCUAAGUAGUAGCAUUCCAUUCAUGAGAUCAUUACUAAACAUGCUUAAUAACUCCAGAAAAUUGCUUUCUUUGUUAUAACACAUGUGAGUCCUAGUCUUUCGUGUUUACAUUAAUCUUCUCACAUAUACUAGUGUAGGGUGUGUAGUCAGAAAAUGUGUGUGAAAAUAGAGAGUAUGUUGUAAGAAAUUGAGCAAAUUCUCUAAGGCAUGUUACUACAUUCAAAACAUCGUUUUAAUUGGUUAAUUGUGAACUAGUAAGUGGUGACUGUGAUUUAGUAUGUGCUCAAGUGUAAAGAUGACCAAAAUCUGUGGGAAUGAUGAUUGCUAUCCAACUUGGAUCGUUGGAGUGUUUAGGUGUUUUCUUUCUUUUGUUUCCAAUGUUUAAAUUCAUUUUACUUUGUUUUGUUGUGAAGAUGAGUGGUUAAACCCCUCUUGGCUAGGGGUGAUUUCAAAGCCAUGAUUAUGUGUGUAAUAUGAUUUGAUAAAUUCCAGUUAUGAACUCUUGAAUCGUAAAUGCAAUUGGCUUAACUAUUUGAUUGAUAACUUAUUUGUAUUUGUUGAUUAAGGGUCGACACUUAAUGGGCAUGCAUAAAUCCGUUGCUCGAAUAUAAGGAAGUUUCACAUAAUUGUUACAAACUUAUAUUCACAUGUAGUGAAGGUCGCUUAUAAACGAUCGCGUUAAGUUCAAUUCCUAGCAUGAGUGACAUGAUGUCAUAGUUGCAAGUGCUUUGUCAAUGCUUAUGAUUUUCAUUAAACGUAAUGAUCUUUGAUUGUAUCUCUAUUAUGAUGUCAUGUAAGGAACUUUUGAAGAAUGUUUUGGGUUGUCGAAUGAUGUCAUCCAAUCCAAUAAAACAAGGAAAAUCUGAGGGUUAACUAGUGAUGUCACAGUUAAUUUGGGGCAUUGUCGUUCAUAAUUCAAUGAAGUAGUAACUGGAAAUCGAGUUGUUUGCAUACAUGUUAUGUGUGGAGAAAAAGCCUCUAGCUAUCCCAUCCAUCAUCUUAUUUCUCAAAUUUGUUUUACAAUCUUUCUAGUUUUUCAUACUUGUUUGUUUGUUUCAACUUCAUCCAAAUUAAAACCCCCCCUUUUAGUUUCUUGUUUCAAAGUAUUUCAAAUCUAUUUUAGUUUGUGUUUUUAAGUGUUUUGAUUCAAGUAAAAGUCAAUUUUCGUCCAAAGUCAUUCCUAGUGUCUAGUUUAAGUUUAUUUAGUUGUUUUAAGCUGUUUUGAGUAUUUUAAGUUUUCUUUGAGUCUUGUGAGUCUUGUUAAGUGUUUUUAAGUUUAGUUUUAUGCUUUUGAGUCAGUUUAGAGGUUAUUAGCAAGCCCUCCUAAUCCCCGGUCCAGAACGAUCCCUACUUAUACUUAUACUACAAUUGUCAAAAGAGGGUUAAAUUUGUGUGUUAAGUUAAUUUUCGCAUCCCUUAACCAUCAAAAUAGACUUUCAAAACUACUAUAAUCCUACAUUAAAACGUGCUCCAAGGAAGUUUAGGUUGGUUUUGAGGCUCACCUUUGCCGGGAAUGGCGAGCAAUCGUCGAGGGAAUUUAUUGAACAGUAGUGGCACCACCGCUCAGAGAGAGAGAAAGAGAUAUGUCAUGUUCCCGGGGCUUGGGUUUCAUGACGUAGAGUCAUAUGGUGGUGUGGUCACACUUGAGGGAGCAAUGACAGUGUGAUGGUGGUGGUGGCGUGUGGUUCCCGAAGGAGGAAAGUGAAUGAGAGGGGAAGUGACAGAGAGAGGAACGAGAGAAGGGUCGGAAAAGAAGGAUCCCGAAGAGUGAAGGAAGAAGGCUAGGUGGCGAGAGAGGAGAGGAGAGUUAUGUGAGGCGUGGACCCAACGGGCCAAAAUAAAUUAUUAACAUAUUUAAAAUAUCCAAAUCAGAAAUAUUAAAAUAAUAAUAUAUUAAUUUCGAAAAAUAUAUAAAACAUAAAAUAACAAUUUUUCACAAAAGUAUUUAUCGAAUUUGUAGUUCCGUAAAAUCUUCAUUGUAACUCCAAUUUUGAUGCCGCUUACGCCUAUGUGUUCAUACCAUCAAGUACUUUGAGAAUAAGCUAAAAGAAUGUUUCAUACGUUUCCAAAUAUGCAGGUCAACGAAAGUCAAUACCCUCAUCUCUAGGGGCAUUUUCGUCAAUUCACUCAUUUAAAAUUAAUAAAAUCGUAAAAUUAGGGACAAUUGUCACAAUCUACCCACCUUAAAAAAAUUCAUCCUUGAAAUUUGAAAUAAAUUGAUAUACAUAAAAUACUCAAGGAUAGAAAGAAAUAUAUAUAAAGAAGAAAUCAAGUUAGUUUGCAUAAAAGAGAAUAUCAUUCCAUUGCAAUCGAAUUGCAGUGAUUCCUCUUUCAUGCCUCCAAACUCAUAUACUUUCCUUCUCCUUCAAUACGAUACCAAAAUAUAAAACCUUUCUUAAAACAUAAGGUCAAAAAUAGAUACAUAGUAACAUAUCGUCCAAAUACGUGUAUAUUUUAAAAUGAAGUUAAAAUAAUUAUAUAGAAAUUAGAAUUGAAAAUAGAAAAAUUUUCACCCACGUAUUUGUAGCAUCACGUACCUCGAAGAUAAAUAUGUUGUAUCUUUGGGUCAAGCCCAAACAAUUAAUAAAUAAACUAUUGUACAUAGUCUAAUUGUCCACUUGCUUAACGAAUCCAACAAAUAAGUUAUCAAUAUUACAGUCUACAGCCCGCAAUACUAACAACUCACUGUUGUCACGAUAAGCAAGCAAAUAAUUCAUGAGGGUGCAACAUUACCAUUUUGCCUUUCAUUGGGAAAUGCACGUAAAUCGUCCAAUUAGCACCUCGAUCGUGCUCACGUACUACGCUCUCGGGCAACAUCAUUAACACUACACAAUUUCCUGUAUCACAAUCUUGAUCAUUCGAAUACCUUUUCGCAAUACUCCUCGGUCAGUCAUGUGUUAGGCAUAAAUCUCUAUACAAUGCCUUAAAUGGUACCAUACCCAAAAACCGAAAGUGUAACCGUAGUUACACGCAACUCUCACAAAGAUAAGUGUCUACUCUACUAAAACUAUAGAACAGAUAAACGAAACAUCCCACGAAGAUCAAGAUAAUUCAUUCAUACUAGCCGUUAGUCUAAGGAUGAAGUGUGGUAUCGGACAACAACUUGUGCCCAUAGUCUUCAAGAAGAUUUCCCAAGGCUUGUAAGUGAAACACGUGUCAUGAUGAGACAUAUUAGUGACAUGCAUACCAAGUGAUCGAACCAUGUAGUUCACAAUACCAUAAUGAACAAAUUCGUAUUGAAUUUCUCUCAAAUUAGCAAAACAUUAUGUCUAGAAGGCUAAAAUAAUACUCAAGAAUUUGAGGGUCAAAACAAGUCCAUGAAAUAUAGAGUAUAAGAUAAUUAGAUUGAAUGCAUAACAUUUUGCUACAACGGUAGCUUCCGAAAUAAUCAACCACCAACGAUAAAGAUUCGUUCAACAUAGUAUUUGUAGGGUGAUUGAAGCAUUAAAUGUCAAAACUAAAAAUUUAAAUGUUCGAGCGAUUCACCUAAACUGUCUGUCUGCUUCAAAAUUAAGACAAAGUGUGGUAAGGUAGACAUGUGCUCAAGGUUGACCAGAAUGCCUUCAGGACAAUGAGGUGACUAUGAAAUCAUGGUCAAAGUAGAUAUCGCUCGAAGUGACAGAAUAUCCAAUAAAUUCAAGGAUGAGUAAUUUUACCCAGUGGUAAAAAUGCAAUCUCUCUGGACCAAUGAAAGGUGGGGUAAUUUGUCAAGUUGAUCUAUAAUCACCGAAACGUCACCAUAACCUCCACUCGUACAAGAUCACUUGUAUCAGUAGCUUAUGGUGAUAGUUCCCCAUUUCCAUUGGGAUAAAGGAAGUGAUUAUAACCAUUCGAAUGAUUUCUUGAUGGUUUGUUGGUAAUGCCAUAUCAAUACUCAUGAAUUCCAAUUGAAAUGAGAUAAGACAAACUGAAGGUGUGCAAGGGUACAUAUGUCUUUUGAUGCGGUAAAUAGAAUAACGUUUGCACAAUCAAGAUGAUACAUAAUAGUGCAAAUGUAGAUGUUGAUUUGGUUCUUCCACUGCCGCUAUCAGAAAUUUAGCUUAUUUCAAAUGAGGAUGUAUUUGAAAAGUCUAAGAUUGAUAAAGGUCAUGGACAUGUUUCUCCAUUGAGAAGUACCAUUCAAUUUUCAAAUGAAGAUGAAAAUUGUUGACUCUAGAUCGUAUAUAUGAUGGUUUAUUUCAAAUGGUUCAAACCGUUGGAAAAUAUAAGCAAUACUCCAUCAUGCUGCCUCUGCAUAGUUGAAACAUCCAAAGAACACAUCAUCAUGGAUUUCCAAGAUGAUCAAUGUCAUCGAAAGGUGUAAAACCAAGGUGAGAUGAGACAAUAGUUUGAUUACUUUAUUGAUAUCCAACUUCCUAAACUAAACUAACUUUCCUCAGUCGAUAAGUGGGGAAAAACACUAUAGCCGAAAAAAUCGCUAACAAAUUGUUGCAAGACUAAAGAUGUCUCGAAUUUCACAACACUUUGUGAGAAUUCCAACUUUCUUCCGCUACAACCUUUUUGGGAAAAAGAAAAGAAUAUCGUCCACUGAGAGCACAUCUCCUAAGAAACGUACCUGCUUUAAACAAAUUUAACAUUUGAAGAAUUUGGUAUAAAGCUGACUAUUGGUGGUUAGAGAAUUUGGUCUCACUACCAAAGUAGAUGAGAAAGUCGUUGAUAAGACCACUAUAAAUUCAUCAGACUACAGAGGAAAACUCGGGUUAUAAAGGUUGGUUGGCUGGACCAUCAAUUCAAAGUAUGGGUUAACAGUUUUAAUCAUCACCCAAUUGAGUUGCUAAAAUCUAGGUACAAUCCGAAGGUUCGGUCUUUUGCUUCCCGAAUAGGUUCUAGGUUCCCUAGAUAAAGUGUUUGGUUAGGUAAAUUCCUAAUCGAUAAGCUUUCGCAACUAAGUUUCCUCAAUGUCAAAGGAGUCGUUUGAAAAGGUGUAAAGAAAACUGGUGUAGUACACGAAAGUAGAUCAAUAAUGUAUUCAACUUCCCGCUCUAGUGAUAUCUUAGGUAAAAUUUUGAAAAAUGAUGCUAGAGAUAUAUGUCCUCAGAACGUACAACACUACAUCCUUUCUCUAUGCCACGUACUAAUGGGUCUUCAUAAUUUUCUCAAUUAUCAUUCAACUCAAAAGUGGGAAAUUAACUCGUGCUUCGAUUCUGCUGUCUACCAGUGGAAGUGAUCGCAAAGCUGGCUAGUCGAAGAGGUUUUGUUUACCUAGAUAGGUGAUAAGGUAAAAACAACCAUGAGUUUACUAUCCUAAUAUAAAGCUUGCUCCUAAGUUUCCACAAUUUAGGUUCUUCGGCUCAAGUAGUCACUGUUAAUCAGUCUAUUAAUCACGCCGCUACUUAACACACAUGAUAUUUGAUAUUAUUCGCUACUCUGAAACUGUGAACCGAUGUUCUGGCACAAAGGUAUCACUCCUAAAUACUAGCAUGUGUCCGGUAUCAAAAAUCAUACCACCUGAAUACUGGUUCACAGUUCCUGGAUAUCGGACAGUAUCAUCGAUUAGUAGUGCCACCAUAGGCUGAUUACAGGUUAGAGCCCGCUCAGGUAGAUGGUUUCAAAUGAUUGGUAAUGAUUAGUGCUAUCGGGGACCAAAAGUGAUUGUCUCUAGAUGUUCUUCCAUCAAGUGCUUCCACUUUAGCACCAUAUUGUCACUCAAGACAUUUCUGAGAAUUUUGAUUAAUGUAAAACUUCGUAUGGAUUCUAAUAGAUUGUAUGCUAACGGAUACUGCCAAGGAAUCAAAACUAUUUAUAGUUUCCUAUCUCGAGAGGGUUGGUAGAAAUGACUAGAUGGUAGUGGGAUCGAUUGGUAAAUCUCUAGUAGCACACAAUUAUCCAUACAUUAGCCAUAUUUUAGGGCCAUCAACUUGUCUUAAAUCAGAAAUUUCCUUGGCAAGAAUGUUCUUCGUUUAAAUCUAGAGGCGGUCACCAAAAUUUUUCUUUUAGAAGGUCGAUAAGUCGACUAGGUCCCUCAAUACUUAAAAAAAAACUUAACACAUUUUUCGUAUUCAACGAGGUGGCAAGAUUCGAGAAUUAGGCUCAAGAACUAAGAAUGCUUACAUCACACGUGUGAUGAACGCAAUACUGCCCAAACUUAUGCUCUGAUACCAAACUGACACACCCUGACCCAAAAUGUCCAUUAUGACUCCGAAUCGAGCUGUGCUGGCUGACACCUGGAAGGUGACGAAGCCAUAAAGUGUAGUGAUGUGGAAAAUGUGAAUAAAUUUAAACCUAAAAGUAUCUAAGUAUAAAAGUGCGCUGGUGAGCGGGAAUGAACCCAUAUCACACAUGAUGUAAAAGCAUAAGUAAAGUACAGUAGAGUGGUUUGAGAAUUAUGCCAUCGGAGGUAGUCUCCAAUACCAUAUUUGCAAAGAAUCCUCGUCGAUACAAAACCUGAGCUGCUAAAACCUAGAGGGGGGCAAAACAAAGGUGAGUGGGCCUGAAAAUAAAGUUUUAAUAAAAACCUUUUGAAAACUUUAUGACCCCUUACCGUAAAACAAGUAUAGUUUCCAAAAUAUACAUGCUACGUGCAGUAAGAAAAUACCUACAGUAGCCUGCAAAAUCACAAGAUUGCCAUAGGUCGCAAUAUUGCGUAAAUGAACAUAUAAUAACCGAUAUCACAUAAUCUCGCAUAAGCAAACAUAUCAUAUCGGGUGCUUAUCGACACAUGUUGACACACGAGUUCAUGUAAAGGUAUUCUGACAUGAACAGGACUGGGUGUAACAAUAAUAUACACUCUAGUACUACAAUCACGUGAAAACUCGCACUGUGCGCAGCACAUACAAGUCGGAGUUGCCUAUUGCAACCUAUACGACAGGAUUGGCAGCUACAAUGGAUCGAAAGUGAGUGUAUGGUGUGAUGUGCAUAUACACGUGAAAGACUGGUCCUGGCCCGGACGAGUACUAACACUGAGGCAGCAAACAAUGAGCAGAUAUCAUAAAUGUAGUCAUGCCACAGUGACUCGAGAACUCUAGUCAACAUUGCAUUAUUUAUGAACAUAAAUAUAAUUAAGGAAUCCCCUUAUAGUAAGCCUACCUAAGCAUCCCAUAGGAUUAUUUCAUACUUUCCAACAAUAAGGCAUUUCUUAUAAACAUUACUUUAAUCAUGGCACUCUCGUAGAGAAUUUAUUAAUAUUUGUAUAUAUGGAAACUAACAAAUAUAUAUGUGUGUAUAUAUAUAUAUAUAUAUAUAAAGAAAAGAUUCACUCAUAGAUCAUGUUGUCGGGUCGAAGCCUUCAGUUAUGCAUCUCCAUUCUAGGUUCGAUCUGUUUUUGUGUAGCCUCCCGGUCUCUCUUUCUUUGUAAAAUAAAAAAAUUGCUUCCAGGAGGUCUUAAUUUUGAUGUAAAUUUGAAUGGCAUUAUUAUUCUUUUUAGAUUUGCUUGUUUCGAUUUCAUUAACACCCAGUUAAUAUGCAAAACAUGUGUAAUUUCCACUACCUGUUUUGGUCUGCUUUGGUUGGUUCAAUCUGCUUUGGCCCUUGCAUAUUAUUCAAAACAUUUGUAAUUUCCACUGCCUGUUGCUCGACUUUAUCCUUCCAUGUCAUUAAUUCCUCAGACUGAGCUUUCCAUUUUGCUAAAUCCUCGAGCCUCUUUUGAUUCUGUUGAAUUUCUUUGUAUUUUGUAGUGCUUCGAUUUCUUUGUAUUCUUUUGAAGGUCUUAAAACAUUAAGCACUUCAGAACUAAUGAUGCAGCACAUUAUUGGUCUCUGUAAUGCCAUCAAAUUAGAUUAUUUGCUUCUAUCUCAUUCCAUUGUCUUGGAGUAUGUUGUGCUUUCACUUCAAUCAAUAUGAUGCUUUAUCAGAAACUUAAAGGUUUGUUAUCUAUAACAGGCUUAUCAAGAGUCAACCAAAGAAAAGCAGCAUGCUCAAAUUGCUCAAGGUUUCACUCCAUCUCCCUUCUAUAAUAAUUGAACUUUUUAUUAUUUCCAGUAGGUUUUUAAUCUCAAUGAACACAUCAGGUAUUCUCUUCUCUAUUAAAAUUUAUCACUGAGAAGGAACAUAAUUACCAGAAGAAAAAAAAACUGCACAAUUUGGAUUGACUUCAAUCUUUAGAUAACGAUUCAAUUCAUAGUUUGGGGAGAAAAAGUUUGAUAUGCUUGCCGUCUGAAGACUUCUAGGAAUUGAAAUAUGCUCAUAUGGUCAUAAAAUGGCAUAAUGCAUAAGAAAAAUAAAAGAUUUCUUGUUACUAAAUUUUCUGUUCAACAUUUCCUUUGAUUUAUUUUUUAUUGUUCUUGUUUAUAGAUUUAGACCAGGCCCUGGGUAUGGAGAGUUUAAAUGUGAGCUUUUGCAUCUGUUAUUUUGUUUUGUUGGUUAUUCGGUAUGAGGCUCUCUUUGAAAAUUAUCCUCUUGUGGAUGUGUUGCUUAUCGUUCAUUUUUCCUUUACUAUUUUUCCCUCCCUCCCUUUUAUUUUCUUCCUUUCCAUAGAUGAAUACUUUUUAUUUGUUAUAGAUACCCUUUAUGGAUGUAAAAUUCAUAUUCACUUUUAUGCAUGGUGAAUUUUUAGUGCCACUAAAACCAAGUUUUAUAUGUCCACAAGAAGUUUUCUCCAUAUAUGUUAAGUGAGGAAACAAAGAUUUUCGUUGUUGAUCUAGGUUCGGCAUUUUACCAUUCCAUGGAAUAGAAAUCCUAGCUACAUGAAUCAUUUGAUGGAAUCCCAUGUAUAUAUCCAUGUAAUAUAUACCUUGUGGGAUGGUACUUUCUCAAUAUUACAUUCCUUAGAUUUGCUUGUUUCGAUUUCUUUGUAUUUUGUAGUGGUUUGAUCUACCCAAUACUGUACUUACAACCAAAGAUCCGCCUCUAUUUAUCUGCUUCCACUCCUCCUAUUAAGCAGUACUGGAUUCAGAGAUAUCUCUAUCUGGAUUCAUUUUUUCAGUGUUCAAGUUUCGAUUUUUAUGUGCUAAAAUCUAUAAAUCUAAUGUCUUGGGGUUCUGUUGGAUUGGAUUGGGUUACAAGUUUCAGAUUUUCCGCUGUUGGAUUGUGUUCUGUGUUAUUCUUAAAAAACCAAAUUAAAUUGCUUCUAUGCUCACGAACCACUCCCAACAUAUCUUGAAUAUGGACACAAACAAAUGCAAGGAUAGAAGGAAGAAAAAAACAACUCAACAUAUAUAUCAUUCAUGUUACAAUCGUCCAAGUUAGCAGUGAAAAUUGUUGUCAGUAGGGUCAAUGCUGGACCACAUGUGGAAAUAAUUUUGGGGGUUGGUUUGGGGUUUGAGGUAAAGAGAAUAAAAUAUGGUUUCGUUCACAAUUCCAAAAUAAAAUAUUUGCACAUGAGUUUCUAUUUCAAUUCAACCAAAAAACAAAAUGAAUUUGUAGUAAAACUCUUAUCAUUAAUUUUACCAAGUCCAAGUAUCUAAAAUGAAUUUAGCGUAUGUUGAUGCUCCACUCAUUCAUGUGUUGUUUUUUUGCAUGUGAAUGUAUGGAUGAAUAUGAGACUCAAUUCUUUGUUCUUUUGAACGUUUGGAUUAUAAUGGCACAAGUCUUUACUAUGAAUGCACAAUUGUUGAGGUAUAGACAACAACCAAGGAGACAACAGGAAAUAGCUAGUUUAGAGCAAAGGACAUUUGUUAGACUUCAUGUUAGGAGAGAGGACAUAAAUCGUAUCACAUGAUUGUGUGAUACUAACUGUUUGUGGGAGCUACGAAUGGAUAGGAAUGCAUUUGCAGUUUUAUGUGACUGAUAAGCUCAUAUUUAUAUAUAUUUUACAUAAAAUUCACUUGUCUUUUCUUAGUUAGUUCCUUAUAUUUUUGAGCUAUUUACUAUGUUUUUUUAUUUUGUGUGAUUUAUCAAGCAAAGAAAAGAAAAGUAGCAGAAAUGAGAUAUUAAGUAACAAAUUCGUCAAAACUGCCUGUGCAGAUUAGCUGACUUUGGAAGCAUAUUAUGAACAGCUCAGAAUGAAUGAGAGAAUGAGCCUUAUAUGCUUGGAAAGCUACGGAUGUCUAUUUUCUGGAACAAUUUACGGAUUGUUAAUAUCCUUUUUCUAGAAAACGUUAUGGGCAUUGUAACACUAAAAGGUUCAGAAAAGGGCUAAGCAGAUUUGGCUAAUAAAAUGAGAAAGUAAAGGCACUUGUUUUGUGUUUUGCUUUGUCAUCAACACUCAGCAGCAAAUGGGGUUAUGAUUGCACUCAUUUGGCUUUGGAGCAAAUGGAAUUGCACAGCUAGAAAGAGAAGGCACGGCACAUGAAAAAGAGAAACAUGGACAGCUACACACAUGCAAACUGCACAGGUUGGAGGGCAUACACACACUCCACAGGGACAGUUUGGAAAAAUAAAGCAGGAAACAUAGAAUGAAAGCACAUGGGCAGCAGGAAAUGUAGAAUGAAGGCACAUGGGUAGUAGGAAAUCAAAAAAUGAAGAAUGAAGAAGUGGAAAUAAUGAUAACUUGACAGCAAUGACACAUGCAAAGAGGCAUUGAGCACCAUCUUUCACACUUGUGCAGCAGCAACCCUUCAUCAUUACUUAACAUUUCUGCCACAAGAACAUGGAACAAAUACAUGCAAAGGGAAAGAAAGACACACGGCAUGAGCAGAAAGUGUAGUGAUUUGUGGUUGAAAUGAUGAGUGCAUGUGUGUGCAAAUGUAAAAUGAAACAUGGACAACACACACCCAUGCAAACUGCACAUGCAAAGGAAAUGGAAUGGUCCUCAUACUAGCCUAUAAAUGCAUCCACCAUUCCCAUUCCUAAAAAAAAAAAUUAUCUUGAUCCAUAAUUUUGACAUUCCACAAACACUUUCAUUGCCUUUGCCGUGACCUCCAUCAUUCAUCCAGCCAUUCCCCAUUCACCAUACAUUCAACCACAUUCACUAUACAUUCAUCCAACAUAUCCCAAAACACAAAGCAUACAUUGUCAUCUUCCCUUGGCCGAGACAUUCACCAAUCCUAAAUACAUUCCUAACCUUUCCAAAUAUCCAUACACAUCCUAGACACUUGUGCUGCAACAAGGUGGUGAAAACGAAGGUCCUUGGCGUUUCAAGCUUGGAACUUUUGAGCAUUUUAGGUGUACUUCAUUCUUGCUUUCAAUGUCUACUUUGUUAUUUUCUGAUUUUGUUGCAAUUAUGAGUAGCUAAACCCCCCUUAGCUAGGGGGGAAUUCAAAGCCAUGAACAUAUUUGCAAUAUGAAUUGAUUACCUUCAGUUGUGAUUUCAUAAGUUGUGAAUUCAAUUUGUUUAACUGCUUGUUUGAUAACUUAUUCGUGUAUGUUUAUUAAGAGUGCACACUUAGUUUGCAGGCAUGAAUAUGAUGCUAGUGUAUAAGGGAGUUUCACCUAAUAGUUACAAACUUAUAUUCACAAGUAGUGGAGGUCGCUUAUAAUUGAUCGCGUUAAAUGAAUUCUUGGCAGGAGUUUCAUGCUCAUCAUAGUAACGAAUGCCUCGUCAAUACUUAUAGUUUUCAUAAUGCUUAAUGAUCUUUGAUUGUAUCUUUAUUGUGUUGUUCACGAAAAAGACUUUUGAAGAAUGCUUGAAUUGUUGUAUGCGCUUUCCUAUCCAAUUCAAUAACUUAAGGAGAACUUGAAGGUUAAUUUAAGCGGACUUAAUUAACCUGGGGUGUUGAGUUGCAUGAUUUAUCGAAAGAACAAUUGAAAAUUGGUUUAUGUGCAAGUGUGUCAUGUGGAGAAGAACCCUCUAGCUAGCCCAUCAUCCAUAGUUUACCCAAAUUCGUCCAACAUCUGUUUUAGUUUACAAUCUGUUUGUUUUGCUUUCAAAUUCGUCAAAAUCAAAUCCCCCUUUACUUUAAAGUGUUUUAUUAGUCAAAAUCUGUUUUGAUUUGUGUUUUUAAGUGUCUUGAGUCAUGUUAGAACCUAAUUUCAUCCAAAACCAUCCCUAGAGUCAGUUUAGAGUCUAAUUCAUUGUUUUAAGCUGUUUU